rnacentral:lncRNA from 1 species
ACUUGAAGAAGGUACAUGCACAUAUAACUUUCAAAUACUCGUUUUCAACCAACAGAAACUCUUUUAAUUUUGCACACAAUCAUAUGGUGAAAUUGCACUCUGGCGAGGAAAUCAACCUACAAUAGAUUUGAAAAUCUACCAACGCAAGACUUCGAAAAUACAUUUCUACAACUAGCACAAGAGUUCCAUAUGCCUACAAAAAGUUUGUGAAGCAGAAAAUACCGACUUCACAUAAAUUCUUAGCAUUUAUGAUUAGGCGUGUAUGAAGCUGACAAAGCAAAAACAAAGUACACAUUGCACUAAUAAAAUAUUCCAUGUGCCAUGAAAAUGAUCUGAAAUUCAAACUAAUACGAACUAACAGCCUAGUUGUGAACAAGAACGCCAGAACACAUUCCCUCAAACAAUUUCAUCAGAUAACAAGUUCACCUUGGGGCACCAUACAUCUGAUUAGCAUCAUACUGUGCAUAACCAGGCUGGGGCGAGACACUCUUCACGUAACCAGCAGCAGCAGGUACAGUUGCAUAACCACCUGAUUGAGCCAUGGAUUGAUCAUAACCAGGCUGAGCCGGGGCUGCAGCAGGAACUGUAGCUGGUUGAGCAUAAGCUUGCUGUCCAGUAUAUGGUGCGCUAUAAGUAGUUGAAGCCUGAGCACCACUGUAAGUUUGGUCAACUGGUGCCUGAUAAUAGCCUGCACUGCCUGUCGCCUGCUGUUCAGUGUAAGCAGGCUGCGAAGGGUAGGAACUGUAACCUCCAGCAGGGGCUGCUUGGGCAUAAGCAGGAGGUUGUUGUGGUACAGGCUGACCAUAUCCUGUACCAGAAGCUGCUGAGGAUACCUGCUGAGGAUACCCAGGACCAGAAGCUGGAGCAGCUUGUGGGUGAUUGUAUCCAUCGGCGGUAACGGUGGAUCCAUAUGCAGGGUAAGUUUGUUGCAUUUGCCCACUAGAUGCAUAGGGGUAUUGCUGCUGCUGCUGCUGCUGCUGCGGCAUACUAGCACCAUAUCCUUGAGUUGAUGGAGCUGGACCCUGCUGAUAUGGCACUUCUCCAGGUUGAUUAGCCCUGGGAUGGCUGUAAGGUUGCGAAUGGGAAGCCUGUGGAUGCAUACCAUAUGAAGGAGGUUUACCAUAUUGUUCAUGUGUGCCAUAGCUGGGAUGUGCAGCACUUUGAGGGUAAGAUGUCGGCUGAGAAGGUCCAUGUCCUCCAUACUGAUUCUGUGGUGCCAUCUGGUGAUCAUAUUUUACAUCAGUGUAUCCAUGCCCAUAGCCUUGUCCAUGCUGUGCUUGAUGAUGAGGGUAUGACUGGCCAUAAUCUGGACCAUGUGCCUGCCCAUAGCUGUAGUUUGCCUGAGAAGACAGACCCAUUAAAGGACCAGAAAGAAUGAGUACGAAUUUUAAAGAGGGAAGCAAAUGCUGAGGCAUUGGCUAUAUAGUGCAAUUAAUAAUUAUAAACACUAACCUGUGACUGAGGGCCCUGCAUAGAGGCUGGAGGCCUUUGCUCCCAACCCUGACCAAAUCCGCCUCUUGGUGCUUGCUGUGGAGGAUAAUUUCCAUAAGCAGGAGGUGGAUAUUGUGGGCUGCGAGAUGAAUAUUGUCCUCUUUGAUGGUAAUCAUAACCUGGAAACUGCCCAGGAUGACCACCUCGGGGUCCCCAUUGUGGGGGAGCAGCUCCGCCACGUGGGCGAAAUGCCUGCUGACCAUAACCCGAAGAUUGUGUUGAUGGCCUUACAACAGGCUAUCACGCCAUUGUGAAAAAGAAAGACAUCUAGAGAAGUUAGCACAUGAUUGCAGAUUUAAACAGAAAAUAUAAGCAUAAAAAUAAGACAAGCUCAGGAAUAGCUGCCAGGAAACGAAGUAAAUGAAACUUGUAGAUGCUUGAACUGUAGCAGGGUGACAACUGCAAGAAAACACACAUACACAGAUCCAAAGAUUGUACUUGCAUUGAGUUAUAAUAAAACAUGAAUAGUAGAUAGCAAGAGCAUUGAUGAAAAUGUAAAGAAUAAAAGCAGAAUUAGCAAUCUAAUGACGCUUCAAGAAAAUAUCAAACACAACUGCCAAAAUGGGAUCAGAUGAGUCUCCCAUAACACUAUCAAGGAAAAGAAAUUGAUGUUUCUUGAUACAUAUCAAGCAUCUUAAAAUAUACAUGCACAUAAGAAGCAGAACUAUCAAUAUCCAGUCUUGAAUAAAAGAACAUCUUUUUUAUUGCAUUCAAUUGUGUAAUACCAUGGUAGUCAUACUACUUCCAAACACCACGUGUUAAUGCAAGUCAAAAGGCCGGCUAUUCAGUUCUCCUAUGUUUAAGAUAUUAUGAGAUCAGAUUGCAUCAUGGAUAUAGUACACUCAAUAAAGAUGAUUUAACUAGUGAUGGCAUUCUGCAACAUGGUGUCUUGCAUAGAGCAUGGUAUCCAGAGAGUACUCUUCUAAUAUAAUAACCUUGCUAUUAUUAUCAUUUUUAGUUUUUAAGUCUCGAAGCAAUCUUACCAAAACUAUUAACAUCUGCAAUGGCGAGGGUUAAUGCUUGAUACCUCUCUUCGGUGGUCGAGAGUGAAUAGUAGUUGUCUAUGGCUACACCAACGCAAUGCUGUGAUGUCAAAGACAAAAUCCAAAUCUGCAUUUUUAAAGCCAACCAAUUCGAAAUUGGCACCCAUUGACAAAUAUAAAUCACGGCAACCGACAUCCCAUUUCAACACAACAUUCUCUUUAACUGUAUUCAAUUGACCCGGCACACAAACUUUUAUGAACGUUCACUAAGAAACAAGCUCCCAUCAUGUGACAUUUUUCUUCAUCUCAUGCAAAACGCCUACUCACCACACAUAACAGAGUAACCACUACAAGAUAGGCAAUUAAUUUAAUCCUAAGAGUACAUUAAUACAUUCCUUCAGCAGUUCAGAUCUAGCAAAGUCACCAACUGGAACUUGUAAACAAUGAAUAGCAAGGCAGUAGUACAGCACCAUAUUCUACCUAAACAAGUGCCUCAAGUAAAACCAUUAAGAGAGUUUUCACACUGACCCCUUGUAAGCAGAGAACUUUAUGCCCCCUUAGUGACACUAAGAAACAUGCAAAUGUUCCAAAAACUCGUUGGUACCCUCCUACUGGUAAGAGCCAUACUAUUACUUCAGAAGAUCAGCUAAAUACGUUUAUUCUUAACAUGUAACUUCUAAUUGAACUAGUAAAAUUGUCAUUUUAUACGAGAAUAAAUCAACUGCUAAACAGAAAACAGGAGGCAUAAUUUCAUUCUACACGAUUUUCCAUAACACAUACAUCAAAUUCAACAGAUGUUGCACAUCAACAAAUUAUACUGAGUUAUUUUUUGAUAACUGAGUAAACUCAGGGCAGCCGUCCAUCAUCUACCCUUCUCAACUUAAACAUUAGGCUUUUUCCGGUAUCAGGGUUUGAGCUCGUGACAUACGCCUAACUCACACGUCAUGCAUUGGGCUCUUACCACUAAAGUAAAGCCAUGAGGGCUCAAAAUAUACUAUGUUAUAUAAAGAACACAUUGCUUUAUGUUACUUAAGUCCGAGAUUUGCAUCUGAAAUUUACUGAUAGUUCCUAAAACAUACAUUUCUGUCCAAAAUUCCAGGCUCAAACCUGAUUGUAGGCAUGUCACAGUAUCAACUAUGCGUAUUCAAGAAACAGUUACUUAUAGAAAAAGUGUUCAAGAAAUGGCCAUUAACAAAAAUGAAAUGAAAUACGCUUAUAUCAGAAAUACUGAUCUGAAAUAUUAAACUGCAUUGAAUACACCUAAAUGGACCUCACACAAGCGCACUUAAAGAAUAAGGCAGAACAUCCAAACAAACCUGACUCAUGACUUCUUUGAUCAUCUCUCUUGCCAUAUCAAUUUGCUUUUUAUCACCAGUCACUCGCACUGUUCUUUCUUUAGAUUCUUUUCCAUCAGAAGGAAGUGGAACCAGCUAGGGAAAUAGUAGAGCAUUAAUUUUGAUAAUUUAACCAAGUGAAUUGAUUGCCUCUAAUAGUAAAACUACUUUGCACAAAAUAUGUGCCAACAGAAAUCAUAGGGUUAUCAAUACCUGAAUUCGUGCCCCUGAUCUUGUCUGAAGACUCUUGAUAGUUUCCCCACCUUUUCCAAUAAUUAAACCAACCUAGAGCAAGAGGAGAAGACAGGCCCUUGUCAAUCAUGGAAACUAAAGAAUCAAAAAUAAUAACCUCCUCUGCCCCCACAAAGUCCCCAGUCGAAUUGGGGAGGGACGAAAGGUAAAGAGAGUGGAACAAGUAACAAAUACAACCUUCUCAUUUGGAACUUGUAUCUCGAUCUGUUCUCCAACCACAGCCUGCACAGUGCCAAAGCCUCUAGCCACAAGUGCAGGAGAACCACCCGCAUCCGCCUAGAGAGCCAACAUUGUGAACCAUAAAAGUUGGGAAGAUGACAAAAGGAAAUGGUCACAAGACAAACCACAUACCUCAGCUAUGACAUCCUUUAUUAAUUUUUCAGCUUUAUUUAUAUUUUCUAAUGUUCCAAUCAGUUCGACAGGUCUGGUUGCAGCAUGUGGAUCUGUAUCAGCAUCACGCAUUAUCUGAAUUUUAGCUCCCGAGUUGUAUUGCAGGUAUCGAAUAGUAUCCCCGGAUUUUCCAAUAAGAACCCCAACCUGUACCAGUUUUACAUAGAACUCUAUAAGAUUCAAGUCAAAUGCUGGACAAGGUGAAAUAGCACACAGGAGGACCAAAUAAUAUCCACUGCAAAUUCUACAAGGGUCAACUUAAUCAUAACCAAAUAUUAUCACCAGGUUUUCUUGAUUUAAAAUUUUCACCUUGUGUAGCUCAGAAAAUAUCCAUUUCUGCUGCACUCUUUAACAUCAAAAGAAAUAAUCAUUUCCCACAUGAAAGUGACUCAAUUCAGCACACAAUUGAUAUACUUUAGAGCUUGUUAAACUGGCUGCUUAUGUUACGAAACGCCAGGAGUUCUCCACGUGCCUAGCUGAUUACUCCCCACUAGGAGAAUAUAAAUUCAGACUUCAUAAUUAAUAAAACAAAUUUUUCAACAAGAUGUCGUCUUCUCAUCACCUUAUUAUUGGGGACCUCCAUUUUGCGUGUAAAUGUUUGAUCAUCAGAGGCUGGAUGCUCUUGAUCGAGCUGAACACCCUCUGUUUCAGGCGCUUCAGCUGAUGGCUCCUGAAUGUCACCUUUAGACGGCUCAUCGACCUGUGUACUCUUCUCUGCAUCAGGCUCCCCAAUGUCACCUUCACCUUUAGAUGGCUCAUCGACCUGUGUACUCUUCUCUACAUCAAGCUCCUGAAUGUCACCUUUAGAUGGUUCAUCUACCUGUGAACUCUUCUCUGCCUCAGAAAUUUUUUCAGCAUCAGAAUGUUCAACAUCCCCUGUUUUCUGAUCAGUAUCAGCAGGUUGUUCCCUAACUGAUUCGGCAGCUUCCGUGGCUACUUCUUGAGACACCUCUGGGUGAGUAUCAUUCUUUUCAGCCUCUGACGGCUGCACAUUGUCAUCUUCUUUCGGCUCUUCCUCUAUCUUCUCCUCAUAACCAUUUUGGGCUGCUGAAAAAACAGUAAAAACAUGGAAACAAGCUUUAACACAUCAGACUUCCCAUACACAGUCUUUGAUAUUUCUCACAUUUUACAACAAUUCCAAAUCCCUAAGAGAACUCUUCCAUAAAAUAUCAACUCACUAUAAACAUUCACUACACAGAUAUCCACUCUUUCUACACAGCCCACUUCAAGUGGGCAGCACGAAAAACAAUUCCCUUUCUCAAGCAUUUCCCAGAAAGAUCAAAAGUAGUUCGUCAAAACAAUUUUCCACCACAAUAUCAUAAGGACCUACGCCUCAGUCCCAAAUAAGUUGAGGUCAGCUAUAUGAAUCAGUGAGCAUGUUAUCCCAUUUAAACUCAUAUAUGCAAAAUGCAAAUAAGAAGUCGUAGAAGUUCUGUAUAUUUUCUAAACGUAUAAAUCUCUGAAAGGCUCCAAGAAAUGCAAGACAUAAAGCAAACCACAUAAGAAAAUAAACCAAAAUGAUCAGCUUUAUCUCUGUACAAGCAAAAAAAAAAAACCAAUAACGACCAAAAAACACCCAAGAAACUGCACAAAAAUCACAAUGCAAAACUUUAAAACAAACUAAAUUCUACCAAGGGUUAGCUCUAAUACCUAAUCCAUUAGCUUUGUUAUCCUCCAAACGAGGUCUUUUAGCUUCAGACCCAUCAACAUCUUCCUCAUCAGCAGGAGGUUUUUGCACGGAAUCCGACUCCGCUUCCGGUUUCGGGUCCGACCCGACUUCUUCAGGUUCGAAAUCUUCCAGCUUUCUCUUGUGAUGAUCCGAUGGAACCGGGCCGCUUGUUGUUGUUGCUUCCACCAUCACUUCUUCCUCUGCCAUUUUCUCUGAUCCGAAAUCUAACGACUAUGCUUUUCACUAUAUCAGACUGUGUAGCAAAAGUGCAAUCCGAAAAAAAAUUGGUUGAAGAGAGAAGAGACAGCAAAAUAAAGAUAUGCCUAUGAGAUUUUUAUAUACAGGGGAAGUUGGUAGAUUUUUUUCUUUUCUUUUUUGUCAGUACGUCGAGAUUGAUUAGGGUUGGGUUACUAGGGUUUGUAGCCCAUGUUGGUGAUAGGAUAUUUGGGCUAUCCGUAAUGGGUUACUUGGGCUUUUUCUUAGUAGGCCCAUGGCUUUUACCCAGAAAUAGUUUCAACUAGCAAAAAAUUAGGGGAGAAAUUCAAAAAUAGCCAGACUUACAAGUAGUUAUUUAAAAAUAGUUACAGUUUCAAAAGUAAUUGAAAAAUUCAAACGAAAACACUAUUUAAAAUCCGAAAAAUACUCCAGCAUAUUAUGGAGUAUGUUGUUCAACAUAAGUAGUGAAGUUUCAAUUAUACUUCACAUUCAAACGUUGUUGUUGUUGUACUCCAGCAUAUUAUACUGAAGUUUCAACAUAAGUAUAUUGGAACUCUAGCAUAUUAUACUGGAGUUCCAGCAUAAGUAUACUGGAACACCAGCAUAUUAUAAUGGAGUUCCAGCAUAAGUAUACUAGAACUCCAGCAUAAUAUACUAAAGUUCCAGUAUAAUACACCGGUCCAGUAUAAUAUGCUGAAAUUUUAUACACAAGUGCUCCAAUCUCCAGUAUAUUAUGCUGGAACUUUCCGCGUGUUGGAGUUCCAACAUAAUAUGCUGGAAGUUCAUACACAGGUGCAUCGAUCUCUAGUAUAUUGUGUUGGGCAGGUCCCUGUUGCGGUAAAAUAGUGGCUAUUUUUUAAUGACUUUGCAAACGCUAGUUAUUUUUGAAUGACCAAUCUGAAAAUUGGCUAGCCCGUGCUAUUUUUACAAAAAUUAAGGAAUUUGGUACCAGGUGACAACUUCCCUAACAAUUAGCAAAAAAGAGCCUCACUUAAAGAUAUUGGCACCCUUCAGCCAAACACACAUUAAGAAAUAUAACUAUUUGUAAUCAAAAUUACUUUUAUCCAAAAAUAUAGCACAAAUCAGCGCACAUAUCUAUCCCCCCCCCCCCCCUCUCUUUAUUCUAAAUGUUUUCUCUCUUUCUUCUUAAACUUUUCUCCCCAAAACUCCCCCACUCUCUCUCACACACACACUCAUUUUACUUCUCAAAUACAUAAACAGUCCCUUUAAGUUGUUCUCAACGAUCAAAUCAAUUAAGUUUUUUUUUAUUUUGACACUUCAAGUGGUUAUUAAGUAGAUCAAGUAAACACCCGAUUACAGCAAAGCAUAUACGUGAGUUACACUUGCCAAUGACAUGUCAAAUGAACCAAUUAAAAAAUGACAUAUGUAAUUUUGCCAUAAAAACUUGAAACAUGUAACCAACCAAAAAAAUACACUUAAAGAAGAAAAAAUACGUUUUUCUUAAACCAUCCCCCCCUCAUCUUCUUCCGCUCGUCCCCGUUUCCCAAAUCUACUCGACUGUCCCAAAAUAAUACAUUCAUCCAAAAGAUGAUAGACUAGACAAUAACUAAUAAAUUGAUAAUUAACAAUCAAUUUUCACCAAUAAUUUGUCAAAUUGGGAUGAUGCAAAUAUCUCAAAAUCGAUUUAAGAAUCAACCAGCUAGUGGAUUUCUUCCAAAUUGAAAGAAAAAAAAAACUGAAGUUCUUGAGGAUUUGAAGGAAGCUGGCCAUAAGUUCUUUGAGUUACUAGCCGAAGAAAAAAUCAAAUAUUUCUAAAGAGAAUGAUGGACCUGAUGAAUUAUGCUCUUGUUUUGGAACGAGUUUUUUUGCCUAAUAAGCUAAAGCUCACAAUUUUUUUCCAAUUAAAAGAAAAGGUCACCAACAAUGGAGGAGGGAAAGGUGCGACUAGCAAAAAUGAUGAAGUAAAAAUUAGGGUUUGGGUAUUGGGCUUAAAUUAGAGACUUCAUUAAGGGUAUAUUCAGAAUUACACAUACGAUUACCAUUUAUUACUAUUUGGGAUGGGUAGACAAUGUGCGUCACCGAAAGUGUAUUACACGCGAGGUGAGCUAACUGGAUCGAGUGUUUACUUGAUCUACUUAAUAACCACUUGAAGUAUCAAAAUGAAAAAGGGCUUAGUUGAGGUGUUUAUUUGAUCGUUGAGGACAACUUAAAAGGGCGACUUAUGUAUUUCGCAUAAAUAAUAUGUUAGGUUUCAACUUCAUCUUUUUCUUUUUGGCUAGUACUCUAUAUUAGGCCUAUUUUCUUUUAGUUUACAAAGACUUUUUCUAACUAUGUAGAAGAUGAGAAAGAAAUAUGGGAAGAAGAAAUUGGCAUGUAUAUCAUAAAUUCACUUGUAUCCCUUGCAUAUAACAGAUAUAUAUUGUAAAGGUUUGUCCUGAUUUCUUACCAUAUUUGAUUUUCAUAUCUCUUGAAGAAAAUAACAACAUGUUUACCAUAAUUAAUUUUUCCUUUUACCAAAAGCAAAAUAUAAUUCUUCAAUAUUUGGCUAGUCUUUUUUCUUGGAGGAAAAAGUGUUGUACUUCUAUAAAUUAAGGAUCCUUCCUUCCCAUUUAGUAGCAUCCACAAUGUAGCCAUAUGGGGUUUGAUAGUCUUGUUUAGGGGGAGAAUUUCGGGGCAAGUGUUAGCCUACCACUUAUGUUUGCCUCUUUGUGAGGUUGUUCUCUCGAUAUUUUGUAUUCUCUUUUAUAUAAUGGAUUGCUUAUCUCCGCCUUUGGACGUAGGCCAAUUUACUGAACCACGCUAAAUGCUUGUGUCUCUUUUGGUAUAUUUCUCUUUUGUUGUCUGAUUUAUCGUCGUUCAAGUUUUGCUUUACUAGCUUCUGCAUGAAACCUGAUUAUUUUUAUCCUAACAAGUGGUACUAGAGUGAGGUUCAAGACAAGUUCAUCUAGGUGGGUUUAGUUCUUACCGCAACCUAUUUGAUGAUAAUCAUAACUUUUGUUUGAGAAAUUUGACCGGAGUACUACGCAAGUUGAGGCGAACUUUGUAGUGGAGAUUUGGAGAUACGACCUAUUGAAGGUUAUUUGAAGAAGGUGGAUCAAGUUUAUUUUGUCAGAAAAUUCAGGCCAAAAAGGAGAAUUGUUAGGUGUUUGUCCUUAUUUUCUUACCAUAUUUGAUUUUCCUAUUUCUUGAAGGAAAAGACAACAUGUUUACCAUAAUUAAUUUUUUCUUUUAUCAAAAGAAAAAUAUAAUUCUUCCAUAUUUGGCUACUCCUUUUUUUGGAGGAAAAUAUUUUGUACUUCUAUAAAUUGAGGAUCCUUCCUUCUCAUUUAGCAGCAUCCACAAUGUAGCCAUAUGUGGUUUGAGAGUCUUGUUUAGGAGGAGAAUUUCGAGACAAAUGUUAGUCUGCCACUUGUGUAUGCCUCUUUAUGAGGUUGUCCUCUCGAUAUUUUGUAUUAUCUUUUAUAUAAUGGAUUGCUCAUCUCAGUAUAUGGACGUAGGUUAAUUGACCGAACCACGUUAAAUGUUUGUGUCUCUUUUGAUAUAUUUCUCUUUUAUUGUCUGAUUUAUCGUCGUUCAAGAUUUGCUUUACUAGCUUCCGCAUGGCGCCUGAUAAUUUUGAUCCUAACAUGUAUAACUUCAUGUAUAUCAUGAACUUAACUAGAUAUCAUGAACUUAAUUGUAUAACUGAUAUAUAUAACUCCAUGUAUAUUAUGAAUUUAACUGUAGAACUAAUAUUUAAAUCUUGUAUCAUCGCACAUAUAACACCAUGUAUAUGAUGAGCUUAAAUGAAUAAUUGAUCUCUAUAUCGUCAUGUAUAUCAAAGACUAAACUGUAUAUAAUGUAUAUACAACAAAUUUUAUGGAUACACAUAUAUACAUGCUAGAGAUACAUCUAUGGUGUAUAACACCAUUUAAAUUGUCAACUCAUCCAGAAAAGUUGGAAGCUGAUAUACUUCGAGGAUAGGUCUCCAAAAUUUCCAUACGGGAUAAAGACAGUGGGUUUUAAGGUUGACUUAGCAGUGACGACAACUUCAUAUUCAUCUAAUAUCUAAUUGCAAACAUCAAUACUUGCACCACCUAGCCCACCCAAAAUUACGUCAAAUGGUACCCUCCAAAUCCGGGAUAUUUUAAGCUAAAUACUAAUGGAGCAUGUAAAAUCAUCCAAUCAAAAAAUGGUCUUGGCGGAGUAUUCAGAGACUCAAUAGGUCACUGGAUACUAGGGUAUAUAGGUGAGAGAAAAACGGGGAACCAUACAUAUAUGGAACUCAAUGCACUCCUUGAAGGAUUAUAAUUUGCCUUACGUCACCAACUAAAACCAUUGGAAGUCAAUGUUGACUCAAAUGGGGUAAUUUCUCUACUUCAAUCUCCCAGUCUGCAAUACUCAUCAAUACUAUAUGAAUGCGAGUAUCUGUAAUCCAAAUUGGUUAGGUCUCGAGUGAUACACACAUACAAUGAGCAAAAUCGGUAGCAGAUAAACUGACAAAACAUGGAGCAACUACGGAUAAUGGUUCUCCAACUACUAUCAUAUGGUAGCCGCCACCUUUGGUUUUAUAAGAUUUGCUAGCAGAUCAACCGGGAACGCCACACUUGCGUAGAUCAGCUAUACCAGCACAACUGGAGCCAACCUCUUUUUGUUUAGAUAUGCUGGCAAAUGAUUGUAAUAUUAACCAUGGAUCUUUUUGUAAUACAGUACCAAUGGGCUACAGUACUCAUCACACUUUUUGUAACUCAAUGCCAACGGGGGACAUUUCUCCCUGUAAUAUUACGUAAUUUAUAAUAUAAGUUCCUUUGGUUGACCAAAAAAAAAAAUUCGAAGUUUGUUGUUGGAAGCAUCAAUACAAUCCGACUAAGGUCAAUGUCAAUAUUGGAAGGUGUUGAGAAAGUGAAAGAUACGGGAGAGAGAGGUGGGGAGGAAUAACUAUUAUAUUGGUCUUUGAGGGGGUUACAAAAUUGUAUGUUGUGGGAUAUGGUUAUUUGACGCCAAACAUUUUGGGCUUCUAUUGCCGAACCUAAUGUAAGGCCAACAAAUUGACAAUUUUCUUUAUGCGUUGUCAUACCUUUUCAAUUUUACAAAAAUUUAGGGGACUUUUUCGUAUAUAUACAAAAUUUAAAAUUUAUUUACUCAGUUUAUCUAAGUUUUCCUACUUACAGAAAGUAAUUUUUUUUUAUAUAAAAUAUAUACAAAUUCUGCCCAAAUCUACAAUUUGAAUACAAUGUUUUUGUAUAGAAUUCGAUCAAAAAAAUGACAAUUUACAUAUAAUUUAUAUGCAAUGUGUAUACAAGUAUGUUAGUUGUAUAUAUUUUGUAUGGCAUUUCUACAUCCGACAUACAAAAUAUAUACAAUUUGUUAAUAUCUUCUUCUUCGAGUUUCAAUCUGAAAUUGUAACCAAAACCACCUCGAAUCUUCACCAAGUUCUAUCAAAAUUGAGAUAUAAACUUCAAAAGAUAUUCCCAAUCCAAACAAAUAAUAAUUUCACAAAAUUUGAUUUUUGAAUUCUGUCACGACCCUAAACCCGGACGCGGUCGUGAUGGCGCCUCUUGUGAAGACAAGGCCAGCCGACACUUCCCAUAUCCAAUUAUUAACAGUUAAACCAUAAGAAAUAAAUCUAAAGCAUGAUAAGAUAAUCCAAAGUUAACAAAUAAUAGCAUAAUUCGCGAAAAAUAACCCAACACAGCCCGAUACCGGGGUGUCACUAGUCAUGAGCAUUUAAACAAUCCGGAAUACUCCAAACCAAACUAUAGAGUUUAAUACAGAAACUAAGAACAUGAAGAAGUAAGAUGGGAAGAGCUCCAGGCUACGAACGCUAACAGCUACCUAAAGACUCCUCGGAUCCGCCUGAGCCGGAAAUGAUCAACACUCGGGAGCGGGACCAGAUACACCUGAAUCUAUACACAGGGUGCAGGGAGUAAAGUGAGUACUCCAACUCAGCGAGUAAUAAUCAUAAAUAAAGGCUGAAAGCAGGAAAUCACGUAAGGCACAAAAGCAUACUAUAAUGAAGCAGUAAAAUCAUUAAAACAGUAAACCAGUGAAAGAUAAGUAAAAUCCUUUAACUCAAAUUUAACUUCAUGAAAAGCCUUUAUCAAUAAUUAAGCAUGGUAAUUGACAGGAAAUUAAGAAAAGAUAACACAUAAAGAACCGCCCCUCGGGCACAAUACCAACAGAAUCAGCCCCUCGGGCAAUCACAGAGAACAAUACUAGCCCCUCGGGCAAUCACAUAGAACAAUACCAGCCCCUCGGGCUCAAUCUCAGAAUAGUACCAGCCCCUCGGGCUCAAUCUCAAAAUAGUACCAGCCCCUCGGGCUCAAUCUCAGAUCACAAUGGGUACCCGCGCUCACUGGGGGUGUACAGACUCCUGGAGAGGCCCCUUACGGCCCAAGCGCAAUAUCAAGCCACCUCGUGGCAUCAUCACUAGGCCCUCGACCUCAUAUCAAUCCAGCCACCUCGUGGCGUACAUAUCUUAGGCCCUCGGCCUCAUAAUCAAUAUCAAAUGUUUCCCUCACAACAUAGGCCCUCGGCCUUACUUAGUCAAAAUCCUCACAAGCCACUCGGGCAAUAGUAAAACAUGAUUCUUAGCCCAAAAAUAUCAUUUAAAAGAUCAUGUAAGUGUUAAAAUAGAGUAAACAUGGCUGAGUAUGAAAAACAAUGAAAUAUAACAUGACUGAGUUCAAGUAUAAAGUCAAAACAGUGAGGAAAUACCAGUAAAAAUCCCCGAAGGGUUCAAAUAGUUGGCACAAGGCCCAAAUAUGGCAUUCAACCCAAAUCAUGAUGAUAACAAAUAGAUUUCAGUCGAAUACGCGGCAAAAUAGUCAUUCGGGACGGACUAAGUCACAAUCCCCAACAGUGCACAACCCCACGCUCGUCAUCAAGCGUGUGCGUAACCUCAAUACAGCACAACGAUGUGCAAGUCCGGGGUUUCAUACCCUCAGAACAUCAUUUACAGUCAUUACUCACUUCGAACCGGUCAAAUCUCUAGCUCGCGACGCCUUUACCCCUCGAAUAGGCCUCCACUCACGUCGAAUCUAUCCAAAAUCAGAACGAGGACGUCAAAAUAUGCUAAGGGAACGAAGCCCAAGCGACAAUAAUCAAUUUACAACAUAAAUCUCGAAAUUACCAAAACCCGACUCCUGGUCCCACGUCUCGAAAUUCGAUAAUUUUUACAUCAAUAGAUUCCUUAUCUCGCUAUGAGUUCACACAUAUCAAAAGUUCUGAAAUCCGACCUCAAAUGGUCCUUCAAAUCCUCAAUCAAAGGUCUAAAUUUCCAAGCCCUAAUUCUUAAAUUUUUGGCUUAAUUUCCAUGAUUAUUUAGGUGGAAUUCACAUUAGAAUCGAGUUUUAAGUCCAAGAAUCUUACCUCCAAGUGAUUCCCCUUAAAUCCCUCUUCAAUCCCCUUCAAAAAGCUCCAAAAAUGACCAACAAUGGAAGAAAUAAACCCCAAAAUCGCGGACAAGACGAGUAUUUAAACAUUCUGCCCAGGCCUUAAUUCCUUCUUCGCGAACGCGGUCAACGCCUCGCGUUCGUGAAGCACAAAAAUGACUUUGACCGAAAAAUUCUCUACGCGAACGCGACAUGCCCAUCACGAACACAAUAGCUCCUCAGAUUGACCCUUCGCGAACGCUCUCCCUCACCCGCGAACGCGAUGAACAAAACACCUCAACACCCAGCUGGCCAAUUUCCUCUAUGCGAACACGAAGCUUACCUCGCGAACGCGAUGAAUCGCUUCCCAGCCCUUCGCAAACGCGGAGACUCCCUCGCAAAUGCGAAGGCCAAAGUCUUAGCCUUCUCCAGCUAACCCUUCGUGAUUGCGGCUCCUCUCUCGCGAACGCAUAGGUCAAUUGUCUGCAACACUGAACAGCAGAUUUUUGCAAUUCCAAACUUCAUAAAAUGGUCCGAUUGACCACCUGAAACUCACCCGAGGCCCCCGGGACCUCAACCAAACAUACCAACAUAUCCCAUAACCUCAUUCAAACUUUUUCCAACCUUCGGAAUGCUCAAAACAACAUCGAAACACCAAAUUCACAUCGGAUUCAAGCCUAAGAAUUCCAAAAUCUUCUAAAUUACGCUUUUGAUAAAAAACCCAAUCAAACCACGUCCGAAUGACCUGAAAUUUUGCACACACAUCCCAAAUGACACAACAGAACUACUAAAAUAUAUCGGACUCUCACAUUUAUACUAAAAUAUAGCUAAGAUAAUUUUUGUAUAUUUUUACAAAUUUAUUUAGUAUUUUUAAGGCUAAAUUGCAUAUAAUUGCAAUACUAGCCUCUCUUAGAUUUAAUUAUGUUUAUGUCUAUAAAAAAUUAACUCCAGUAUUUUAAUUUGAUACUUAUGUAUUAUUAAUUAUUUUAGUACCUUUAAUUUAUUUUCAAAAAUUAUUUUACUAUUUUUAUAAAAUGAACAAGGGAAAAAUGGCUAUUUAAAUGCUAACCCCGUUUAUUUCAAUUUAGCCUUAUUUGAACCUCCAAUUUGAACCCAAUCUAAGACCCAAUUACCCUGACCCAAACCCCGUUCAAACCGACCUAGACCCGUUUCCCACCUACGCUCUCUAAUCUCAACCGUUGAUCUCCCAGAUCAACGGUCCAUAUUUCCCUUACCAUUUUUAAACCCCGAACUGCCCCAAACCCUAAUCAUUUUUCAUCUGUAGCCGCCUUUGAAUUCCCCCAUCCUCCCAAUUAUCUCUCAAGCUCCUCUCAAACCCUAGCCUCCUCCCUCAGCUUCCACCCUAAAACUACCUAAAUCAAUGGCUUCCAAGGCCAUUGAAGGCCUGUAUCUACCUCCUUUGGCUUCCACAUGCCCGAUUAUCAUGUUUUCAAGGCUAGUUCCUGGAAAGAUUUGGUCCAGACCUUGGUCGAUCCCAGUUCUUAUGGCUGUCUCCGGUCAUCUUUAACCUUGCUCCGGCCAGCCAUGGCUAUUCGAGCCUGACUCUCGACUUCUCCGGCUUAGAUCGAUGGUUUCCAAGCCUUUCUCACCAUCUGAGUUUCUUCUGAAACCCUAACCUUCGAGGUUCCUCCGAUUUCUUUUAGAUCCAUUUUUUAUCUAUGUUUACUCUAAACUCUUAAACGUUUUCUCAAAGUUUCUUUCCAAAACUUUACCUUCGAAACCCCUUUUAUCUUUUCCGAUUAGGGUUUUGUUAAGUCAUUUCAAAAUUUUCUCUGAUUUUAAACAUGUUCUACUGUGUUUCUUUAUGUUGCUCUUCUACUGGAGGGUGCAUGUUAAAAGUCUUAGUUUCUUUUGAGGUUUUUGAAUCUAUUUCGUUAAGUAUUUGAUCGAUUUAUUUGCUUUUCAUCUCUAGACUCGAUUGUGUUGAAAACCCUAAAACUUUGGGGUUCAUUCGAGUUCGGAGACUAUUUGCUAUGUGAUUUAGUUGUUAGUCAUGCUCUAAACUCGACUGGUUUCAAAACCCUAAUUUCUUUGGACCUAUUCGAGUUUCUGAAGUUGCUUCAUCUGUUGCUUAACUGAAUUUCGAAAUCUUUUGUUUCAGCCUUUGUUUCUUUAUGUGAUUUUGACUUCUUGCUACCAUUGAAUCUCUACUAUAAGUUCUUUUCAUUUGACCCCUUUACAUGCUAUUUGAUACUCUCUCUUUUCUCUAUUACUGAGUUACUAAGAUUGACCUAUGUGACUACCAUGUUUCGAUAGUCCACUACUUAUUGACUUUGUGAUUGCAUGACGCUUCUUGUCCUAAAUUCAGCCUUGCAUGCCUAAUACUUAUGCAGUCUUUUAUAUGCUGAAUUUCCCUCUGAAAUGACCUUCAAUUUUGGACUGAUUUCAAACUUUCUUGUGUAAUUUUGAUUACAUUCAUGUGUUAAGUGAUUGACUCUUUCCUUGUUUCGCUUUACUGAUUUCCCUGUUUCUUGGGUUAAUUUGAAAACUUUCCUUAGACUUUCAAUUCUCCUAUUUCUGACUUGGUUUAUUCGUUUAUUCAUGGGAACCCCUGUUAUUCUCCCCAAAUCAGUAAUUUCAAAUCCCUGACUCCUUGAUUUACUAUGUGAUGAUUGUCUCCAUAUUUUGCAACUUUACUUUGUUUUCUUACCUUAUUUGGUUAACCGAGUAUUUCAAAGAUUCUUUCCUUAAUUAAACCCCUAUGUAUUUACCCCUAAUUGUCUACUCUGCAUAAGAUGCCUACUUGAUUUCCUUCCUUAAAUGUUUUCUGUCCAUUAUCGUUUAAGUUUACCUCCUUAAUUAAAGGAAAUCCUUGAUACUGAUUUGAUUUUUAAUUGACACAUAGUUCCAUAAUUACUGCUAAACUAUGAUUCUUGCCUUAUUUUCUACCUAUUUUCAAACUAUAAAUACCUUGUUCUUUCAUUAACAUGGAGACACACGGACACUUUUAGCUUCUGAACUCACACUCAUACUCAAAAUAUUCUCUCUUGCUACUUGUACUAUGACCUGUUCUCAAGUCCUGCUACCUGCUUUUACUAUAUUCUGCUUCUCCGAACUGGUAUGUUCUGAUUAAGAUUCCAGCAUCACAACACUUAAUACUUUUACCUUCUUGUCUGUCUAUUGCUGAUGUUCAGUUUUGUACUUAUUUUAGUAUACUAUAAUUUCCUUCUACCUGUUCUGAAUUUAUUAUGAAUCCUAAACCCCCACCCCAAUAUGUUCGAUGCUAUGGUUUGUUUGAGGCAUGACAGUACUGAAUAUUAUUGCCCAUGACUCAAGCUUGAUCCCUGGUAUCCUAACCUCUAUGUUUCUCUGCUAUUGUGUGUUCUGGUAGGCUUAUAGGCAUGCUAACAUCUUCUAUUGCUGUGCAUUCCCAAAGCUCACCCUUGCCUAAGCAUAGACUCUUUGCAACUUCCCAACCCCCCUAAACCCCUUUUGUAUGAAUUAUCAACUUGUUUGUGGCUGUUUCCCUCUCCUUUAUUCCCUCAGAACUCUGUUUCUUCACUUGCACUCUCUCUUAUACUUAAGUUCUGCCUCCCUCUUGUGAGCCUUGCCUUGGGACCCAUUGAGCUUCCUCUGAACUUGGACACUUGAGGGCUGGCCCUUCCACACUAUACUCGUCCCCAUUUUGAUGAUACAAUUUGGGUGUGAGCACUGCCCGGAGUCCCAUUAAGGCUCUUAGGGAACUCUGACACACUCAAAUUGGAGAAAGGCUAUGGAUCAAUGGUCUUUGAGUUGGUCUAUCUCAUAACUCAGAGAGGAAGUCAAGAAUCAGGCCUUUUCUGGUUGUACUUUUCUUUGUACUUUUUUUGAUGUAAUUUUAUUCAUUCUGAUUUAUAAUAAGUUAUAAUAAACACUUGGGGCUGAAUAGUGAAAAGAGUGAGAUAUUUAUGCAUGUCAAGGGUAGAAAUCAUGCCUAUAGGACUGUUCUAAUUCUGUAUAUUCAACUACAUGUAGAAAUCAUGCCUAUAGGGCUGUUCUAAAUUCUGCAUAUUCGACUACAUAUAGAAAUUAUGCUAUAAGGUUUAAAACAAAGUUUCUGCAUUUAGAUACCAUGUCUCUAAAACUUCCGCAUAUAGAUACCCUAUCUACAAGGUUUUCUGCAUUUCGACACCACGUCUAUAAGAGUUUAAAAUCAGCAAUGCAUAGAAAGCAUGCCUAUAGGAGCUUCUAAAUAAAUCUGAUUCGCUUCACUCAAUGUUAGCUGUAAAAUCAGUAAUAUUAGGUGCUAUCACCUACAGAACCUAUGACCCAUUUAUUUAACUUUGUACGCUCUACAUUUUUUAAUAAUUUGAGUCCCUCGCUGAAUAAGUAUGCAUAUAGAAUAAUUCAUUUCGAGUUUUACUGUCUUAUCACCUUCUGAAUUCAGUAGAUACCAUGCCUAUAGGAUCCUCGUCUAAACACUUAGGCAAGCCUUAGAGUAAUAAUUGAGAGUUGAAUCAACUUCUAUUAAUUAUUACAACCAACAGGCAGGCCUGAUUCGGACUUCUUAUCUGAGUUAUGAAAUAAACUAAAACUGUCCCAACAAUCUCCUCCCCCUCGUCUUUAAUACUUUAAAAUCACACCUAAACAGUAUGUGCAAGUCAUGCUAAUUAUAUGCUUUCUUUGUUUAAGGAGGUAUAUCUGAGCCUUUGUUUGUUUAAUGCUUUUCCCCAAAAUGUGCAAUAUGUGUUUUUGUAUGUCGCCUUAGAGUUUUACCUUUGAAACUCCAAAUAAGCCCAACAUCCAUUUCUUUAGGAUUAGUAGUCCUAAAUGCCUCUGAGACUGAUAGGAACGGGACAGGUAAUAACAUGCAAUAAGUAAUCGAGACCAAUUCGCGCUUUAAACACCUUAACGGGGUGGGAAGGGUAGAUAUGUAUAUGAUGACCACGCGAUAAUAUCACGUGUAGCCCCUCAUUGAGGAGUGAUUACCGGACAUUGUGUNNNNNNNNNNNNNNNNNNNNNNNNNGGAGUCAUCUGAAUACUCGACUGGUAGCUGUUGUUAUAAGCAAAACUCUGCAAGCGGUAGAAAUUGAUCCCAUAACUCUCCGAAAUCAAUGACACAAGCACACAACAUGUCCUCUAAUACCUGAAUAGUGCGCUCGGACUGCCCGUUGUAGACAUGUGAUUUUUGACCCUCCCCAAGAUUUUUUAUAUUUUAGCAUGUAAAUAUUUAAUUUAGGCCUAAUAUAGCUAUUUUAAUUAAUUUGACUCUUUUACUUUAUUUUAUUACAAGAAAAUAAAAAUUUCAAAAAAAUAGUUUCAUUAAUAUUUUUGUAGUCAUUUUUAAUCUUGAAAAAAUACAAAAAAUAGUUUUUGCUUUAACGGUCAGUAUUUUUUCUUUAAUAAUUAUUUUUACUUAAGUAAGGCUAAUUAAUAUUUUUGAUAGUAUUUUUAGUUAAUUAAGCUAAUUUGAAGCAUAGCUAGUCAUAAAUGCCCAAGUUUCUAGCCCAUUCCUUAAGCCCAAUACCCAAUAUCCAUUAAGCUAAUCCAAGGGACCCUUCUAGACUCUUCUUGGGAACAAAAGAUAAAUAAAAAAACCUAGGGACCUAAUACACAAAAGACCUAGGGACUAAUUGACAAAAUACACAAAAAAAUAACAUAAAUCUAGACUCUACAUAUAGAGUAAUGCCUAAGAGUUGAAAGGGAGAGGAAUCAGAAACGAAGAGGGGAGUAAAAACUCCUAAGAAAAUUAGUCGUACUCCUCUUCUUCCUCAUCAAGUCACCAUCAUCUUCACAACACCAAAAAUAGAUAAAAUUUAUCUUCUUCCCUACUCAUUCUCACCAUAAAAAUGUAGCAGAUCCAUCACCAAAAUUUCAGCCCGAAAUCCCCCCAAAACACCCCAAAUUCCAGCUCAAAAACUACCUCAACAAAGCCCCAUAGCUGCUGCAAAAUCAGCCAUGAAACAACCUUGAAACCAACUACUUUUCCUCCACGAAAUCUAACCUAUUCUAACCAAAAUGGAAUAGAUCGAGUGAAGCUUUCUGUUGAGCCCGGUUUUUGAUUUUCGAGAGCUUCGUUUGAGUUUGUCGGCGAGGAUGUCCGGUCUGGUGUUGAAGAAAGAUCCAUGGCCAUUAUUUUCGCUGUAUUACACAUCCAUCAAUAAAGGUCCGAUUUCUCCGUAUUUAUCCCUUUGUUACGAGUUCCUUUAAGUUGUUCUACUUUUGAUCUUGAACAAAUAAUACUUUUACUUUGAGUGUUUAUUUCGAUUUGUAUUUGCACCGUCUUUGAUUGAUGAGUCAUUUAUUUGUGAAUUUUUAGUUAUAUAGAUGAACUUUUUUGUCUUAUAUGAAUACUUUCUGUCAAUUUUAAAAUUCAUGUAGUAUACAAAGUUUUUUCUUGGUUUUGAGUCUUAACUUCUUGAAGUAAAUAAUAUUUUCCUUAUUGUGGCAAGAAUCUGAAACUGUUAACUUGGGCCACGGGAUUUGCAAUUAACUUGGUCUAGUCUGCUUUUCAGCAAGCUGCCUUCUACAAUAAUAACUUGUCACUCUUCAUUUGUGUUUAAUGAACAAAUUAUAUAUGGUUUGAUCUUGUUGGUGAUAAAUUUAUAUGAUAUUCGGAUGCUUGAAGUAGCCUCUGGUUACCAUUUUGGAUUCCAGGAAUAAUUGGAUCUAUUAUGUGGAUCGGUAUGGAUGUUCUUUGCCAUUUCUUGCCAUGAAAUGUUUUAGUAUCUCUCGUUAUAUGGUUGCCAUUUAAAAUAUUGAGUCUAAUUCAAGAUAAACCCUCCAGUGGUAACUAUAAGUACAUAUAUAUUAAAUAAUUUGUCUUCUCUGUAAAAAGUACACAUAAUUUGGGUUGUUAGAUAAGAAUUAAUAUGCCAUCAGAACUAAUGUUGUUGUAAGCCUUCCCAUAUUCCUUCCAUAAAUAAUCUUUAGAUAAUUCUAAUGCGCUAGUUGCUUUAGGUGCGUUAAUUAAAUAAAUUAUCAUGGCUACGAGUACGAUUCCCGUGACGUAGUUGUGAUUUGUAAUUGCUAACAUUUGGGUGUGCAUUUAUGUGACCCAAAAUCCAAAUCUCAACAACGUUAGAUAAAAUGUGUCGUGGACCGCGGGUGCAUUUAUGUGACGUGGUUCAAGACGUGUUUUAGAUGAUGUUGAAUCUUUCUUCUAAAAAAUAAUUAAUUAAAGCGGUUAUAAAGUUAAAAUUGUACCAUAGGUUAGAACAUGUAUUAAAAUCAGAUAAUAGGCCUCAUACCCCUUCUCAGGGUGUAGUGAAAAAGGAGGUGUGACAGCUCUGGCGACUCUGCUGGGGAUCAGAACCCAGAAUCCCUAGUUCAGGGUUCAAGAAUUGANNNNNNNNNNNNNNNNNNNNNNNNNNNNNNNNNNNNNNNNNNNNNNNNNNNNNNNNNNNNNNNNNNNNNNNNNNNNNNNNNNNNNNNNNNNNNNNNNNNNNNNNNNNNNNNNNNNNNNNNNNNNNNNNNNNNNNNNNNNNNNNNNNNNNNNNNNNNNNNNNNNNNNNNNNNNNNNNNNNNNNNNNNNNNNNNNNNNNNNNNNNNNNNNNNNNNNNNNNNNNNNNNNNNNNNNNNNNNNNNNNNNNNNNNNNNNNNNNNNNNNNNNNNNNNNNNNNNNNNNNNNNNNNNNNNNNNNNNNNNNNNNNNNNNNNNNNNNNNNNNNNNNNNNNNNNNNNNNNNNNNNNNNNNNNNNNNNNNNNNNNNNNNNNNNNNNNNNNNNNNNNNNNNNNNNNNNNNNNNNNNNNNNNNNNNNNNNNNNNNNNNNNNNNNNNNNNNNNNNNNNNNNNNNNNNNNNNNNNNNNNNNNNNNNNNNNNNNNNNNNNNNNNNNNNNNNNNNNNNNNNNNNNNNNNNNNNNNNNNNNNNNNNNNNNNNNNNNNNNNNNNNNNNNNNNNNNNNNNNNNNNNNNNNNNNNNNNNNNNNNNNNNNNNNNNNNNNNNNNNNNNNNNNNNNNNNNNNNNNNNNNNNNNNNNNNNNNNNNNNNNNNNNNNNNNNNNNNNNNNNNNNNNNNNNNNNNNNNNNNNNNNNNNNNNNNNNNNNNNNNNNNNNNNNNNNNNNNNNNNNNNNNNNNNNNNNNNNNNNNNNNNNNNNNNNNNNNNNNNNNNNNNNNNNNNNNNNNNNNNNNNNNNNNNNNNNNNNNNNNNNNNNNNNNNNNNNNNNNNNNNNNNNNNNNNNNNNNNNNNNNNNNNNNNNNNNNNNNNNNNNNNNNNNNNNNNNNNNNNNNNNNNNNNNNNNNNNNNNNNNNNNNNNNNNNNNNNNNNNNNNNNNNNNNNNNNNNNNNNNNNNNNNNNNNNNNNNNNNNNNNNNNNNNNNNNNNNNNNNNNNNNNNNNNNNNNNNNNNNNNNNNNNNNNNNNNNNNNNNNNNNNNNNNNNNNNNNNNNNNNNNNNNNNNNNNNNNNNNNNNNNNNNNNNNNNNNNNNNNNNNNNNNNNNNNNNNNNNNNNNNNNNNNNNNNNNNNNNNNNNNNNNNNNNNNNNNNNNNNNNNNNNNNNNNNNNNNNNNNNNNNNNNNNNNNNNNNUCGAGUUGUCCGCUCGGGUAAGCCAGGUCUAGAACAAUACACCCAGGUUUUUAAACCUAGAAUAACUCAGCCUCAUACUGGAUCCCUAGUAGGAACGUUUGUUUGCAUCACGUGCAUUUGACUUUGGAGACUCAACACAAGGGUUGAGUCUGUCUAGGACAGGUGUACCCAAAAAUCAAAAGACCAUCUUGAUGCAUCUUACGUGCUACUUGCGUAUCUGUCUAUUUUGGCUUGCAUGUUGACUGGCUUCUGAAUAGGGAAAGAAAAUGAAAAAAAAGAAAAAAAAAUCAAAAAAGAGGAGAAAGAAGAAAAAAGAAACAAAAAAGUGAGAUGUAGAUAUUUAGAAAAUUCUGAAAAUCUGCCAAAAUUCUGGGAAAAAAAGUCAUUUCAAAAUGAGCCAAAAUUUUCAAGUGUCAUGUUUUCCUGUUCUGUCAAAACUGGGCAAACUACGCGGGUCUGAUUCUCACCGGAUGUGAGAUACGUAGGCAAACCUCAUCGGUUCCGGCCUAUAAUUUUUAAAAAAUCCAAAAAUAUUUUCCUUUACUUCCUCUCUAGAAAAGUCUUUUUUGAGACCCCAAUUUUCAAAAAAUCCAAAAAUAUUUUCCAUUGCUUGCUUCUUUACAAAACCUUUCUUUUAGACCCUAAUUGUUUUUUUUUAAAAAAUAUAUACAAAAAUAUUUUCUUUUAAUUCCUUCCAAAAAUCCAAAAAUAUUUUCAUUCUUCUUUCAAAAUUGAAAAGAAAAUUCAAAAUUCAAAAAUAUUUUCUUUUUUUUUAGAAGCAUUUCUUUCAUAAAUUCAAAAUAAAAUUCUAAAAAUAUUUUCUUUCUUCUUUAGAAGUUUUUCUUCCAAAAUUCCAGAAAAAAAAUUCAAAAAAAAAAAUCUUUCUUCUUUAGAAGUCUUUCUUUGCAAAAAUGCUGAAGAAAAAUCAAAAUACAAAAAUAUUCCCUUUCUUCUUUAUAAGUCUUUCUUUCGAAAAAAUAAAAUAAAAAAUUCAAAAAAAAAAUUAGUUUAUUUACUUUAUUCAUGAUCUUCCCGAACUACGUAAGAUUCGAUUCUUGUUCCCACAUGAUUCGUAGGCAACCCACAUCAGGUUCGAUCACCAUUAAAAAGAAAUGAAAAAAAAAUGAAGAAAUGAGAAAUAUUGAUAAUAAUAAGGACCGACUGAGUCCAUUCUAACAUGUUUUGUUUUGAAUUGUGAAAAAGGUUGACGUAGUCGGUUUGUGGUAAGCUGGAAACACAAGAUACAAAGAAAAAUGAUAACUGACAUCGAAGCUGUUACAAGUGCUCAAGAGACUCAGGGUCAGAGGGUUCAACAAGAGUCUACUGUGUUUGAGAAAAAUAGAAUACUGAAACAGCAAAUGACCGAAAUGUGUCAAGCAUGGGCCAGUGGUCAAGGACAGCAUCGUCAUGAGUCACAAUUUGCUACACAACAAGAGAAAUACCACUCUUCUGAGUUUCACUCGUACUCGUUUGAUCUUCCUGCAAACAUUGAGAAGCCUGCCCGAAAGAUGGUACAGGAAGAAAUUACCCAAAGAGUGAAAAACUUAGAACAACGGUUGAAAAACAUGCAAGGGUUGGCAGGUCAAAAGAGUGUUGCCUUCANNNNNNNNNNNNNNNNNNNNNNNNNUAAUCAACUGAGAGGUGCGGGAAGAAAUGAAGAAUUGUUGAUGGCUUAUAUUGGGUAAAGCCUUACGGGAGUAGCCUCUGAAUGGUUUAUGGAUCAAGACACGUCUUGCUGGUAUGUUUGGGAUGACAUGGCACAGGCCUUUGUCAAAUAGUUCCAAUACAAUAUUGACAUUGCCCCAGACCGCAAUUCCCUUCCAAACUUGAAGAAGAAACCAACUGAAAGUUUCAGGGAAUAUGCCAUUAAAUGGAGAGAGCAAGCGGCCAGAGUUAAGCCACUCAUGGAUGAGCACAAGUUAAUCACUGUCAUCCUUCAGGCUCAAGAGCCAGAUUAUUUUCAAAACAUGAUGUCCGCAGUGGAUAAAUCCUUCUCGGAAGCAAUCAAAAUGGGAGAAAUGAUUGAGAAUGGUCUUAAGACAGGCAAAAUUAUAAGUCAAGCAAUUCUCAAAGCCGCAACUCAGGUUGUCCCGAUUGAAUCCGAUAAUUUUAGUGACACGAAUGAGAAGCACGAAGAAAUCAUGAUGACAUCAGGGUCGAGAAGAGCUCCUAGGAGAGCAUCUCGAAGGUAUGAGCAACCUCAUCAGGUUUCUCAUGAUUCCCCUGAAUACUAUUAUCCACUUCAGAACCCUUAAUACUCUAUUGCUUCACCUCAAUGUGUUGCCCGGCCACCAAGACACCCCAGAAGGCGAGCACCAACACCGCAAAAUCUCCACCAGCCUCCACAAAAUUUUCAAAUGCCCUAUAACCCACAUCCAAGCCAGGGGUAUAGAAGGGAACAAAGGUUGCAAGAUAAUUUUACACAAAUAGAAGAGUCCUAUGCAAGCUUGUUUGAGAAAUUAAAGCAGUAUGACAUGAUUGCACCUAUUUCUCCAAAUCAUGUGGACCCCCGUGCAAGAAGCUUUGACCCUUCUAAAAGGUGUGAAUACCAUUCCAAUGCCUAGGGGCACAAUGUUGAAAGCUGUCGGGAUUUGAAAAGAGAAAUAGAAAGGAUGAUCCAGGAGAACCUGAUUGUGAUCCAAGACAGUGACACCCAGAAUAUUGUGCAGAAUCCUUUACCUGCACAUCAUGAUGCACACUUUGUGGGGAUGAUGCCGGGUGACAUGGAGUAUGAGAAUCCUCUCAGGAACUUGCUAACUGAAGUUAAUGAUGUUGAAAUUGGAGAAGGCUCUGCUGAUUCUGAUGAACAAAUUUGUGGCUAAAUGUCAAGCCUAGCAAUUGAAAAGUCAUUCCCUCCCUACUAGGAAGGAAUCUUGGUAGCUUGUUUUGAUGUUUUUUCUAUUAUCUGGGUUAUUUCAGGGUUGUGAUCUAGAUUUUAUUUGUUUUAUUGAGUUAAACCCUUCUAUCCCUCCAUUCUGUUUGCGUGAGUUUUGUCUUUCUGUUCUGUUGCUAUUUUCAUUAUUCGGGUUAUUUUAAGGUUGUAACUUGUAUUUUGUGUUGCUUGUUUAGUUGUAAAACCCGUUCAUCCUUUACUCAAUUAAAUACAGUCGGUCCUUUUGAGUCAUUCUGUUCCUAGUUCUUUUAUCGCUAGUUCUAAUGACAUGACAUGCAUGCAGAAAUUUUGGCCAGAUCUUAGGAACUGAUUUAAUCUGGAAUUGGAUAACUAAAAAUAAUACAUUUGAGGAUGAAGAAAGAGUUGGAAUACUUUGGAACUAAGGUCGAGUAAAAUUCACUUUCAAAUCAUUGUGAAGAUCGGGCUUGAGGAUGUUUAAUCAAUUGAAGUUUGUUGGAAAGUUUGUCACUAAGGGAUGAAAAAAUGUAUUGUGACCACGGCACACCAAGAAGACAGACAUGUUUGUCAAUGUUGUAAUCGCGAAAAGAUACCAUGUUUGACGUUCUCGAGGUUGGGAGGCCCUUUUUGUGCUACCCAAACACUUUAUAUCAUUCACUACCCCUUUUGAGCCUGUGUUAUUUUCUUUGACUACCCUCUUUUGGAAUUAAGUUUAGAGUCAAAAAAAGAAAAAGAAAAAAAAUCCAUGUCCCAAGAGUAAAAACUAGGGCAAUUCUUAGAAAGUUCAAAAAAAAAAAAAGAAGAAAAGAUUUGUCAACGGUCCAUGCCCUAAAAAAUAGGAAUUGGGGCAACUUGUUUUGAAAACAAAAGGAAAAUAAAGAAAAAAAAACAACAGAAAGAAAAAUAAAAAAAAUUAGUUAGGUCAGAUAUUUGAACUACGUUCGACCUGAUUCCUUAAAAAAAAGGAUACGUAGGCAGCCUCAUGGUUCGGUCCAACCAAAUAAGAAUUCAAAAGAAAAAAAAAAUCCCCAAUAGCUGAAACUGGGGAAAAAGUUUUAUUUCACUUUUGAAAGAGUCAAUUCCAAGAGUUGUAAGUCCAUAACCCCUCAUUUUUGAGUCUACUUUGAGCCUUCAUGUCGACCUUUCUUUCCAACCCUAUCCAAAAUCCUUCCCAAUAAGACCUCCCAAUAAGCCUUCAAGAAUGCCAAGAGAAGCAUGCAAAGAGCAACGGUUAUCACACCACAUAGAACACUGUCAAGUUACUCACACAAGAAGCAAAAAGAAAAAGAAAAUAAAAGAAAAAAUGAGAAAGUCUUACUAGUGAAAACCCUCACGGGCACUGUAAGUCGACGGUAAGCAGAGAUGAAUAAAUGAGAGAGACUUGUUGGUGAAAACCUCUCGGGCACUACUUGUCGAAAGUGAGUCGUGAAGCUGAUGCGAAAAAUUGGCAUAAACAAGCUCGACUUCAAAGGUCAUAAGAAUAGUAACAGGGAAGAUUGGAUUAGUUUGGUAGAUCGACCGUUAAGUCCAAAAUGCAUGUCAUGAUCAUUACGGCUAGUUAUUGAAAAAAAAGAAACAAAAAGAAAAAAAAAAGAAUUCUUCCUUCUGUCCUUCCGACAGGGGCAUUUCUUGUUAAUACUUAUUUUUUUGCAUCAUUGUGUCCUUCAUUCCGAGUCAGUCCUGUCGAAACAAGCAAGAAAAUAUUUCAAAAUCUGCUACCAGCUUUUCAGUUGCACAAAGUAAAUUUGGCCAACACGCUCAGUUGUUAUACUAUUAACAUGCCUUGAGGAUUCAUGCAAAGGCUUCCCCAAAAGACUUUUGUCAGCCUACUUGGCGCAAGCAAAGAUAACUGGUGAUUCUCUCUAAUACACAAAUUGCUCAAAAAGCAGGAAGUCAUUCAAAAUAUUGGAAAAGGUCACCUAAGCAAAGAUCUCCAGUUGGGAUAAGGCUGAUUGAGCCGCAAAUACAAAUGAUACUGGGUAUAAAACAAUCAGAGUUGGUGCAGAACAGAAGUCUCUUAAGACCGACUCAAGCUGAUCGAACAAAAGCCAAGUUGCUCAAGACUUAAGGUCACAAACUGACCACCAUUUUUAAAACUGAAAAUUUUUUCUUUGUGUGAAACAGGAACAAAGGAGUGCAAGGAAAAUGAUUCAAAAAAAAAGAAAAGAAGAGAAGAGCCGACAAAGGGAAGUUUCUCAAAAUUUUUGCCUUUAUUUAUCUUGCUAUUGUGCAUAAAAUCUUGCCGUUGAUCUUCAUAAUUUUUCUCCUAGGAUAAAAGGUCCUAGUCUGAUGGAUCUUCCUCCCGAUCAAAAUCUUAGUCUGAUGAAUCUUUCUCCUGAGAUAGAAGAUCUAGUCUGAUGAACUUUCUCCUAGGAUCAAAAUCUUAGUCUGAUGAAUCUUUCUCCUAAGAUAGAAAACCUAGUCUGACGAAUUUUCUCCUAGGAUAGAAAUCUUAGUCUGAUGAAUCUUUCUCCUAAGAUACCGAAAAAGAGACCUAGUCUGAUGAACUUUUCUCUUAGGAUCGAAAUCUUAGUCUGAUGAAUCUUUCUCUUAAGAUAGAAAACCUAGUCUGAUGAAUUUUCUCCUAGGAUAAACAUCUUAGUCUGAUGAAUCUUUCUCCUAAGAUAGGAAAUCUUAGUCUGAUGAAUUUUCUCCUAGGAUAGAAAUCUUAGUCUGAUGAACUUUCUCCUAAGAUAAGCAAACCUAGGCUGAUGAAUCUUUCUCCCAGGAUAAAUGUCUUAGUCUGAUGAAUCUUUCUCCUAAGAUAGAAAACCUAGUCUGAUGAACUUUCUCCUAGGAUAAAAAUCUUAGUCUGAUGAAUCUUUCUCCUAAGAUAACAAAAAAAAGACCUAGUCUGAUGAAUUUUCUCCUAGGAUCAAAAUCUUAGUCUGAUGAAUCUUUCUCCUAAGAUAGAAGACCUAGUAUGAUGAACUUUCUCCUAGGAUAGAAAUCUUAGUCCGAUGAACCUUUCUCCUAAGAUACCAAAAAAGAAGUAGAAAAGAGACCUAGUUUGAUGAUGACUGAGUAAGGCCGAGGGCCUAUGUUGUGAGGAAACAUUUGAUACUGAUUAUGAGGUCGAGGGCCUGAGAUAUGUAUGUCAUGAGGUGGCUUGAUUGAUAUGAGGUUGAGGACCUAGUGAUGAUGCCACGAGGUGUCUUGAUAUUGCACUUGGGCCGUAAGGGGCCCCUCCAGGAGUCUGUACACCCCUAGUGAGCGCGGGUACCCAUUGUGAUAUGAGAUUGAGCUCGAGGGUCUGGUACUGUUUUGAGAUUGAGCCCGAGGGGCUUGUACCGUUCUGAGAUUGAGCCCAAGGGGCUGGUAUUAUUCUAUGUAAUUGCCCGAGGAAGGGAUAUAGGUACACGUUCAAGAAUCUAUCAGCAGUGUCUGUAAUGCUCUCACCCAGGGAAAGCGCCUGCAGCACUAUCUCUUAGCUCCAUCCAUAAUAUCUCCUCACCAUCUCCAGAUGUUCCUCUCUUAUCAAAGACACAAUCUUCAGAGGGAACUCCCGCAGAUCCUGAAUGCUAGGCAUGGAACUCUCUCUGCCCUACCAGGCCGGCCCCGAAGUAGUUGCCAUCGCUAUGGUAGAGUCGACAAACUAAGGAAAAUACAUGCUCCAAUGCUUUUCGCGCCUGAAGAAAUGAAGAAACCUAUGCCAAGACGGAAGAGUAGCUAUAUAAAAUAGUGAGGCCUUUUGAAGAAGCCAAAGUCGCCCCACAUAUAUGCAGGAAACAACGACGAUUCACCUAUCCGGAGUGAGCCCUGGGAGGCCAACGACCUCGAUAUAUAUCGAUAGGGUAAUACCUGAUCCUAGAGGCAUCCUUCGACGAAGAAGACAGGCCUCAAGGAGUCGAUCCUAUUGUCUCCAGUUUCGAGGCAGCAUCCCACCUCGAGGAUCCCCGACAAAAAAUAAGUCGAAUUUCGGGAAGCUUUCAAUGCCAUCACUAGACCUAAGGCGAUGCCCGAUCUCAUGGUUUCCUUUUCUAAAAAAGGAAAUAUAAGCACGCGAAACUUUGAUCACGAUGGUUCGAAGCAGCGCGUGAGUACAGGCAAUACCUCAAUAGGAGUCCAUCCGCUACGCUUUAAAAGGCUAUCUGCGUCAAGUUCAAAAGAGACCCCCAGGUACCCAAAGCUAUCCUUCACUCAGAAUAUCAUCCUCGAAAGCUCCAAAACACAGCGUACUAUCUCCAUGCAACUCGGACAGCCCGACAGCCCGAACCUAUUAGAUCAAUUCAGGCUUGGUCCGAGGUACGAUGAUAGGCUAGAAAAAGAUCCAUGUCAAUCAACAAAGGAUCGGAGAGAAUGCUCAUAUCCGAGUUAGAUUAUCAGUGUUCAACAAUAAAGGAAAACAUUCAAAGGCCUCAAAGGGCAUGAGUGCAUGCAAUUAUAAGGCAAGAAUCGAAAGCAAAAGUCAAUGAAGUAUAUUCAUAUUCAUAAAAAUCCAUGUAUAACAGCCGUCAAGGGGCCCUUACAUACAGUUGCAAAAGCCUACAGAGGUUCUCUACACCAAAAAAUGGAGGAACGGAAGGAUGUACAUGUGAUCAAACCCAAAAGCCCGAUCCAUCCUCGAAAAUCCAUCUCCAGCAUCAGCAUGCUCGAGCACGCAUCCUCGAGGGCGAUUCCUUUGACCGCCUCCUCCUCUAGGUUCCCAGCUCAAUCCCUCGGGGGGAUUCCUGUCGGAGAAGAUGAAGAAGAGGAAAAGGAGAGGAUGCAGAGGAGGCAGAGAAAGGAGACAUGGCCCGCCAAAGCCAAAGGUUGAAGAGUGAGCAGUGGUGCAUAGUCCGAAUGACUGUCUACAUAAGGGUAAAACCCACUCCCCACCCGUCAUCAUCUCGGGCCAACAACAAGAGCAAUGGCAGACAUAUCAACGACCACCGCAACGACAAGAUAGCAUGAUCAUGCUCGACAAAGGGAAGCCCCGACAAAAGUACACAACACAAUCUAUGGGAGCUCCACCAAACGGCCUUGAGGCCACGAGUCCCAAACAUGAUGUUCAGAGAUAAAAGAAGAUUAUAAGAAAUGGGCAAAUGAACCAACGAAGGUACCAGGAUAGAAAAAUCAGUGCCAAGGCACCCCCAUUUUUAAGGGGUAACGACACUAUCAUCAAGGCUUCGAGAGAUUGACCAGUGGAUGCAAUUACUGCGCUCUUGAAAAAUUGAAACGACAGUGGUACACUCACCUCAGAGAACUGGAAUAGGCAGCAUGUUAAAUGAUGUCAAAAUGCACAAGUCCAUAGGGCACCCCGGUUGUCACAAAAACUCACGCCACAGGUUGCAUCAUUGGUGCGACGUCACCAUAAUAAUUUCGAGGAGUCAAGUGUCAGAAUCAGUUCCCAUCACUUCAUUUCGGGAAACGCGGAGACUAUUUGUAUGCGGCAAAAUCAGAAAACUUAAUUUCUCGCUAUCGAGCCACUUAGGAAGAAUGCCUCGAUACCACGAGGAAGUGAAGCCACGACGGAGUUCCCUCCCUCGGGGCUCUUUGGGGCCAGACUCAAAGAAGAUAAAGGAUGAGGCUAGAACAAAAGGGGAAGUUCCCUAGGCACACGGCUAAGUCUGACAGGGCCAUCCUAACCAGAGCCUACGCUGAAGCGUCACGUCUAACCAUCACAUCUACAUACUUUAUAAUUAAUGCCCAUGUACUAUAGCCGGGUUCCCCUCCUAUAUAAAGGGAACCUACGCCACCUUGUAAAGGGUUGAUGUUACUCCAAUUUUCUCUCCACAAGAUCAAUAAUAUCUCUCUCUCUCCCUCUUCUUUCUAACUUGCUCAUUCUCACUGGCCCGUGGCCACUUUAAUAUUUAUCGCUUACUUACUUGUUCUUCAUUCUACCGCUUGGUAUUGGCCAUAAAGAGCCUUGUAUGAUCAUAUCUUAAUUGUUAUCCCAUCCCCGACUACCCCUGACACCUUGAACUCGAGCCAGAUAUCAGACCCCAAUAACUCGAGAUCAGGUCGGACAUCUACCCUAAGGCCCCUCAUCGACUAAUCCUACACUCAGGCAGCAGGUUUCUCGGUUCGUUCAACUCCCCGUUUUAGCCUGUAUCACCUUCGUAAACAAGCCCGAAUAGUAAGCCCUUAGGUUUGGUUAUCACUCCAUUUCUAGCUCAUAUUUUGCCAUAAACUUUUUAUUCAUAGCAUUAGCUGCUCUAAACAACUAGCUUGAGAAUAGAUCACGUAUUUUUAGAAUCUCAUUUACAAAUUUAAUUGUUGUUACCAUUUUUACGGUAAACAAGCCACUAUCGCCAGCCCACACAAAAGGUCGUACCGACCCAACGCGUAAGAGCCUAAGGGCCACCUAGAAAUUCAAAAACACGAGGGUCGAAUGAGCUCGAGCCGAUACCCAACUCAUAGACUAAACCCAAAACAAUUGACCAAACAUGCCUAAGAGCACAAGCAUAAGAGCUCGGACGCCAGCUUAUACUAAAAGGUCAUAUCGACCAAGCGUAUAAGCGCCUACGGGCCAACCUAAUGAGCACCAAGGCCAUACCACGAAUCUAAGGAUUCCUUUUAACUCAAAGACCAGUUCAUCUGGCUAAAAUAAAGGCAAAAAGAAAUGCAAGAGAAAUGAAACUGCGAGGUUUUCCUUUUAUACAUAAAUGCAAGAAAAUACAAGCUCCAUUUAUAACGUACUUUGAAAGUACUACGUAUGUAAACAGAAAAGGAAAUCUAUGUCCCCCUUGGGGAUUAUGGCCCAUCGACCUCAGCCUCGCUAUCCUCGGCGUCAGACUUAAGUGACUUAGUGCCGCGUUCGUCUGCCUUCGCCCUUUUCACCUCUUCUGAAAGGUCAAAACCCUUAGCAUAGACCUCCUAGAGGGUUUCACUUUGAGAUCUACACUGAGUAUACUCCUUGCUUUUUCCCUCGCAGUCAAAAGUCCUUUUCAGCUCAGCUGGAGCAUCGGUAGCGUCCUUUAGACAGAUCGCCAUUUUAUUGUUACACUUAGUUUAUCUUAUUACGGCUUUAACCCGGGCAUCCACAACCUCCGCCUUUAUCUUCAAAAGCUCAGACUCAAGCUUUGUAAUCAUAUCUCUUCGAGCCAAGCUAUUAACACGAGCUAAGCGAAGUGGAACCUCAAAGGCGGAAGCUUUAGCCAAAGCACCCUUCUCCGCUGAAGCCUGAACGUCCGCCCAAGCUUUCAACUCAUCAUACUCACGCUUGGAUCGACCAACUUCGCUCUGAAGGCAUUCCUGGUCCUCCAUCUUUUCUGCAACUGAAACAUACAUACCAAAUAUUAGCCUCAGGAGCUAGAAAAAGUAACACACACUCCCUCGGAACAAAACUACCUGCUCCUUCAGGUAGCUCUCAUCAUUCGAGCUUUGACUCGCCUCAUACCGUAAAUGUGCCAACUCAUCUUCCCUUUCAUCGUAAAAAGCCUAAGGGAUUUCUCCCCAUCAACAUAUUUUCGCAAUCCGGCCUCACGGCGAAGCAGUGCAGAUUUGACCUUAUUAAAGGCCUGUGGAAGAGAAACAUGGUAAGAAAGUGAAAAUUAUGAAACUAUAAAACCAGUAUGAACGGCCUGGAACUACCUCCGAGUAAAGCCGCUAAUCUUCCUCAAGCGUUGAUCGUAAAUCUAUUGGUCUGGCUUCAUCUACCCCGGUAGAACCACCCCGAUUUGGGACACGGUCACCCGAUAUACAUGCCCUUUGGCAUUGAACAUCCCUCAAAGUGCCUUCGAUAGGAGAAGAAGCCAACGGCAAAGAUCCCUCGCUCCUAGAAGCACCUUCGACGAUAAAGAAAGAUGGCAGUAGAGGAAGGACCGUUUCACUAGAGCCAGAGACCUCAGGUGCCAUAGGUUCGGCUUAUAUGCCCUCUCUAACCCUUUGGGCUGGACUCGUCUUGCUACAAUCACUGUCGUCCUGCAAAGGCCUCUCCUGCUUAUUGUUAUUAUUAUCAUCCCUUAGUCCUGAAGCCGACGGUCUUUCUCCCUCUCCUAAGGGCACGACCACGCUUUAAGGGACUCCCAAUGCCUACGAUGAAAGAGUUAGUACGUAGAAAGAAAAAGCGCCCUUCUGAGAGAAAGGGGGGAGCAAAUCACAUAGCAAGUACCGUGAUGUUUUACCCCCCACCUAUCCUUAGAUAAUGCUAGCCACUUACGCUCAUCGUAAGUCAAGUGGGUUGCCAACUUCUGAAUCCCAUCCGGCAGAUCGAGAUCCUCGCCCAGCAUCCACAAAAUUGUUGCAGAAAGGGAAAGGAAGGUGCAUUUACGGAGCCUGCUGUCACGAUACAAACUGGAGGGCCAUGACUAGCACCCAACCAUACUUGCCGAGCACCAACCUACAUUUUAUCUAACGUUCUUUAUUAUAUUUUAGGGAUGACGAGAUCAGUAUAAAUGGUAGACAUGGAUCAUGGACAACCAACAAUAAAAGAUGAUGGCAUGAACAUACAUAACAUGGGAUGACCAGACAAUCAAGAAACUACAUAUAAGGUACGAGCUACCACGCUGCCAUGAAAGACUAUACAACAAAAACUCAACCGACAAGGCAUACCAAACUAUACAUGAGUCGACACCUGUCUAUGAGCCUAUAAAGGAACAUAAGUGCUGCAACAUAACCGGAACAAGACCCCGACAUACCAAUCAUGUCUAUAGCAAAAAUGCAUACCAAGACCAUGGCAAGUCCGGAGAAGGGAUCUCUCCAAUAACAGCUGAACUAGGCAGCCUACUGUGGUGGGGGAGCUGCGUCUACCCGUCUAUCAGACCUGUAGCACAACAUACAGUGUCCAUAAAUUAAAAGGAUGUCAGUACGGUUAAAGUACUGAGUAUGCAAGGCAGAAAAGCAUAAGUAUGAAUAGUAUUGUGAAUAAGGAUAGAGAAUAUACAACCUGUAUCAUCUAUGUACCUUUGUGGGCUACUGACAUGAAAUGCUUGAUACAAACAUAUAUAUACCUAAACUUUUAAAACACACGCCACUGUGUGCAUCAUCAUCAUAUCGUACCCAGCCUCAGAGAGGACUUGGUAAAAUAGUACUCGGCCAUCAUAAGGCUCGAUAGAAUCGACCCAGCCACGUGGAGCUCAGUAAAACCUAACUUAUCAGUGGUUGCACAAUAGGUGUCGUACCUGGCCAUCUAUAGCACGGCUCGGUAGAGUAAAAUAUAUACAUAUAUACAAUGCAUGCUGGACUCAUUGGAAUAAUAUUUGAACCUUUCGGAGUGAUUAAAGUCGGUAUCCUUUGUACACGUUAUUAUGACCAACUCUUCAUCAUGAAUCUUAUAAGAAUCAGGAAGUACCAACAACAAUGAUAACAUAAGAAUAAUAGAAGCAACAUCAACAUCAAUCGCUCCAUAAGAAGGGAAACAAUGUAAGUACUACUAGCUUCUAAGAGCAGAGUAUCUUAGUUCAUUGCAUUAUGUACUAUCGGACUUGUGCAAAAGAAGGAAAGUCAUAGCCUCACAUACCUUGUAUAUUCUUCGCAACCUCAAGUUAUGCAAUUUUCAUGGCUCCUUAGUCUAGAAUAAGAGAAAUGAAACUAUCGUUAUCGUUUAGGUGUCGUAACUAUUAUGUAUUGAAUGCAACCUAUUUUACGAGGAAACGAACAUCAACUCACCUAUAUAUAUGACUUCACACAAGUCAAAACAAUCACCAAACAACCCAAACAACAUCAAUAAUAAUCAUAUUGAGCCUCCCAAAAUAGUCCGCACAACCUAAUCACUUCAUACAUAAGACGACCACCAUAGUAGUGUUAAACGACCCGGAAAUAUUAUAACGAACGACCAGCAAACCACCUUUCCAUUAUGUGGUGUUUCUUCACACCCUUUAUCUUCUCAACUCCAUAAAAAUAGUAGCAAAAGAUACAAUCCAAUAGCAACACGAACAGCCCACAAAACAGCCCCACAAGUUCAGCAACUCAAAAUUCAUUUUUCAGUUUAUUUAAACAUGUUUCGACUUGUCUUUUCUUUCAAAUUGAGAAACACAACCAAAAGUAUAUAAUUAAGCCUCUUAUCCAGUAAACCAGCCAUGAGUUUAACUUACAAAUAAGUUCACAACAUCCAACCAUGACGCAAGGCCAAACAACAUACCACUCUUUCGAAACUCGCUAGGUCUAGUUUUUAUGAUAGAGUUACAACUCGCAAACGCAUAGAUAAUGGAAGGAAGAUCAUAACCUUAACUUGUACUGAAUGUAACCCAUAAAACCUGGUCCUUAUUAAUCAAAAACUAGUUCCUCAACUCACUUACAAGAAGGAGGAAAAGAAACUAGCAAGUUGUCCGGACUUUUCAGCACAAGAAUCACGUCGUAACACUAGAAAUACCCUAGGGUUUGUGUUGGAUUUUUGGGGAGGAGUUGUAGGGAUUCAAUUUGGUUUUGAAGGUCUAAAAUAUGGGUGAAAUAAAUGAUUUGAUAAUCUCUUAAAUGUUCCCUCUUGGCCUACUUUGGGGCUUUUAAUUUUGUCCUCUCAUUUUGGCAAGUAGGUGAUACACCUACUUGUCACCUUACCAAUAUGCGCAGGCUUGCAAAAAUACAAAUAAUCUAUACUUUGAGAUCGUAUUGAUGAACUGUUUAAUACGUUGGAAACAAACUCAUAGAUAUUUAUUUUGGUGGGUAGAUCACCCCGUAAUUCUUAGUAAAUUGGGAGAAAAGUUUAGUAAUAUUCGACCUGACAGUUUAAGUAAAACUAUGAACCUAAGUUGCAACAACUUUUGUCGACUUUUGUUUCAUAACUCGUUUGACUUCAAGACUUAUGAUACGGAUAUUAUAUGAUCCAUGUACCUUAAAACACAACCUCUUGGGUAUAUUAAGCACCGCUAGGUUUACCCGAAAAUACGAGUUACAACAUCCUUGAUUCGUUUAACUUCUAAUACUUGUUAAUCACCCUUAUACACCCUUGUAUCACNNNNNNNNNNNNNNNNNNNNNNNNNNNNNNNNNNNNNNNNNNNNNNNNNNNNNNNNNNNNNNNNNNNNNNNNNNNNNNNNNNNNNNNNNNNNNNNNNNNNNNNNNNNNNNNNNNNNNNNNNNNNNNNNNNNNNNNNNNNNNNNNNNNNNNNNNNNNNNNNNNNNNNNNNNNNNNNNNNNNNNNNNNNNNNNNNNNNNNNNNNNNNNNNNNNNNNNNNNNNNNNNNNNNNNNNNNNNNNNNNNNNNNNNNNNNNNNNNNNNNNNNNNNNNNNNNNNNNNNNNNNNNNNNNNNNNNNNNNNNNNNNNNNNNNNNNNNNNNNNNNNNNNNNNNNNNNNNNNNNNNNNNNNNNNNNNNNNNNNNNNNNNNNNNNNNNNNNNNNNNNNNNNNNNNNNNNNNNNNNNNNNNNNNNNNNNNNNNNNNNNNNNNNNNNNNNNNNNNNNNNNNNNNNNNNNNNNNNNNNNNNNNNNNNNNNNNNNNNNNNNNNNNNNNNNNNNNNNNNNNNNNNNNNNNNNNNNNNNNNNNNNNNNNNNNNNNNNNNNNNNNNNNNNNNNNNNNNNNNNNNNNNNNNNNNNNNNNNNNNNNNNNNNNNNNNNNNNNNNNNNNNNNNNNNNNNNNNNNNNNNNNNNNNNNNNNNNNNNNNNNNNNNNNNNNNNNNNNNNNNNNNNNNNNNNNNNNNNNNNNNNNNNNNNNNNNNNNNNNNNNNNNNNNNNNNNNNNNNNNNNNNNNNNNNNNNNNNNNNNNNNNNNNNNNNNNNNNNNNNNNNNNNNNNNNNNNNNNNNNNNNNNNNNNNNNNNNNNNNNNNNNNNNNNNNNNNNNNNNNNNNNNNNNNNNNNNNNNNNNNNNNNNNNNNNNNNNNNNNNNNNNNNNNNNNNNNNNNNNNNNNNNNNNNNNNNNNNNNNNNNNNNNNNNNNNNNNNNNNNNNNNNNNNNNNNNNNNNNNNNNNNNNNNNNNNNNNNNNNNNNNNNNNNNNNNNNNNNNNNNNNNNNNNNNNNNNNNNNNNNNNNNNNNNNNNNNNNNNNNNNNNNNNNNNNNNNNNNNNNNNNNNNNNNNNNNNNNNNNNNNNNNNNNNNNNNNNNNNNNNNNNNNNNNNNNNNNNNNNNNNNNNNNNNNNNNNNNNNNNNNNNNNNNNNNNNNNNNNNNNNNNNNNNNNNNNNNNNNNNNNNNNNNNNNNNNNNNNNNNNNNNNUGAAAUGACCUGAAAAAGUUAGCCGUAAAUUGAGCUCCUUGGUCUGAUAUAAUAGAUAUUGGUACUUCAUAAAGCCUAACAAUCUUCUUGAUAUACAAUUUCGCAUAAUCUUCAACUGUGUAAGUUGUCUUAACUGGUAGAAAAUGGGAACAUUUUAUAUGUCGAUCAACUAUCACCAACAUGGAGUCAAACUUAUGAUAACAGCGAGGUAAUCCAAUAAUGAAGUCCAUAUUAAUCACUUCCCAUUUCCAGGUCGGAAUCUUUACAUUCUGAAGCAAUUGACUAGGUUUUUGAUGUUCGAUCUUUACUUGUUGACAAUUAGGACACUGGUCUACAUAUUGUGCAAUAGACUUCUUCAUGUUAUCCCACCAAUACUGCCUUAACGUCAUGAUACAUCUUUGUCAAGCCGGGAUAGAUGGAAUAUCGGGAUUGAUGAAUCUCAAUCAUAAUCUUCUCUCGCAACCCUGCCACAUUAGGCACACAUAGUCGACCCUGGUAUCUUAGUGCCCAAUCUCCUAUGAUCUAAAAAGCUAUAAUUUACACUGCUAAACGCUCUCUUUCAAUCGUACUGAGAUAGGAUCUUCAUAUUGUCGUGCUUUUACCUCGGCUACCAAAUAUGAUUCUAAUGUAUUCUGUACAGUAACACCUCCGUCAUCAGAGUCUAACAAUCUGAAUCUCAUAUUGGCUAGCUGAUGAAGAUCUUUAGUCAACCCCUGUCUACCUGCCUCAAUGCAUACUAAGCUUCCCAUUGACUUACUACCGAGAGCGUCUGCCACAACAUUGGCUCUACCGGGAUGGUACAAUAUCUCGACAUCGUAAUCUUUCAAUAAUCCAAGCCACCUACGCUGCCUCAAAUUCAACUCCCUCUGCUUGAAGAUGUAUUGUAAACUCUUGUGAUAUGUGUAGAUGUCAACAUGUACACCGUAUAAGUAGUGCGCCCUAUCAUCAAAGCAUAUAUUACUGUAGCCAAUUCCAAAUCAUGGGUUGGGUAAUUCUUUUCAUACUUCUUAAAUUGUCUUGAUGCACAAGCAAUCACCUUCCCACGUUGCAUUAAUACACACCCCAAACCUAUACCUGAGGCAUAACAAUAUACCACAUAACCUUCUAUUCCUUCUAGGAAAAUAAGCAUUGGCAUGGAUGUCAAUCGAUUCUUUAGCUCCUGAAAACUUCGUUCACAAGCAUCAGACCAUUGGAACUUGGUAGCUUUCUAUGUUAACUUAGUCAAUGGUGCUAAUAUAGAGGAAAACCCUUCUACAAGCCGCCUAUGAUAUCCGGCUAGCCCCAGGAAGCUACAGACUUCUGAUGGUGUUGUAGGUCUCGGCCAAUUAUUUACGGCAUCGAUCUUCUGAGUGUUGACCCUAAUACCCUCGUCAGAUAUCACAUGGCCAAGGAGUGCUACUGAGUUCAGCCAGAAUUUACAUUUAGAGAGCUUAGCAUAUAACUUAUGAUCCUGAAGUGUCUGUAAUACUAUCCGUAAGUGGCCCGCAUGUUCCAUCUCUGAACGAGAAUAUACCAGAAUGUCAUCAAUGAAUACGAUCCCAAACACAUCAACAAAGGGCCUGAAUACAGUAUUCAUUAGAUCCGUAAAAGCGACUGGGGCAUUUGUUAUCCUGAACGACAUCACCAUGAACUCAAAGUGCCCAUAUCUUGUCCGGAAGGCUGUCUUUGGAAUAUCUUUCUCCUUAACCCUCACCGGAUGAUAUCCCGAACGUAAGUCAAUCUUGGAGAAAUACUUGGCAACCCUGGAGUUGGUCAAAAAGGUCAUCAAUCCUUGGAAGUGGAUACUUGUUCUUUAUAGUAAACUUAUUCAACUGUCGAUAAUCGAUACACAUCCUUAACGACCCAUCUUUCUUUUGCACGAACAAAACUGGCACACCCCAAGGUGAAGUGUUAGGCCUAAUGAAGCCCAUAUCCAGCAAGUCUUUCAAUUGCACCUUCAACACUUGCAACUCUGCCGGGGCCAUCUUGAAUGGAGGAAUAGAUAUGGGCUGAGUGUCAGGCAACACAUCAAUGCUAAACUCAAUCUCCCUUUCAGGAGGAAGGCCUGUGAGUUCAUCUGGGAAAACAUCUGGAAAUUCAAUGACCACGGGGAUUGAUUAUAUAGUAGGCGGCUUCGCCUCCGCAUCCCUAACGCGAACGAGAUGAUAAAUGUAACCUUUUGGGAUCAUCUUCCUUUCCUUAAGAUAAGAAAUAAACCUACCUUUCGGCGUAGCAGUGUUCCCUUUCCAUUCAAUGACCGGUUGUCCAGGAAACUGAAACCUAACCAUCUUCGUACGACUGUCAACAUUUGCAUAGCAUGAGGCCAACCAAUCCAUUCCCAUUAUCAUAUCGAAAUCAACCAUUUCUAACUAAAAUAAAUUUGCCGAGGUUUGACGACUACAAAUCACCAUAGUGCAACCUUUAUAUACCCUUCUAGCAAUAACAGAAUCUCCUAUAGGAGUAGAUACCGCAAGGGGUUUACUUAUCAAUUUAGGUUCAACGCCAAACUUAUUAGCCACAAAGGGUGUAACAUAUGAUAAUGUAGAUCCCGGAUCAAUCAACGCAUAUACGUCAUAAGAAAACACAGACAAUAUACCUGUAACAACAUCUUGAGAUGACUCAAGACUCUAUCGACCUACUAGAGCAUAGGUUAGAUUUUGAGCGCCACUCGAACCCGGCAUUAUAUGUCUACCUCUACCAAGACCUGUCGACUGCUGAAAGCCCUAUGUUGGAGGUCGAACUGAUGAGGAAGAACCAGACAUAUAUCCAGUUAGCUGAGUCAUACCACCACCUCCUCUGUUAGGACAAUCACGCAUCAUGUGACCAGGCUGUCCACAAGAAUAGCAUGCAUUAGAACCUCGACGGCAUAGUCCAAAGUGGGCCUUGCCGCACUGAUCACAAUGUAGUGUUAGGGGUAUUGUCUGACUAGUAUCCCUAUGAUAUUGCGAGCCUGAUGCCCGCAAACUCUAAUAUGGACCAGAAUUGGUAAAUCGAUCAUAUCGAGGCCUCUAAAACUGUGGAGGAGCACUAGCUAUAGAUGGCGCCGAACUCCUCGAAGACUGGGGCCUGACACUGCCUCUAAAGUCAUCAGAAUACCCUAUAAAUCUCGCCCUCUUAUGAUGUCCCCUAUCCUGCUCCCAAUCUGCCCUUUGCUAGUGCUUUCGAUCUUUGAGGGUCUGGGCACAAGCCUGAAUACGGGAAAUAUCCAUGCCAUCCACCAAGAGGCUGUCGUGCACUCAUUUAUCAAAUGUGAUCCCAACCCGUUCGCAAACAAAUGCACCCUAUCGCUCAUCUCUGCUACCAUAUGGGGAGCAUACCUUGCUAAAGAAUCAAACUGCAUACUGUAUUCUUGCACACUCAUAUUACCUUGCCUAAGGUUCAAGAACUUAUCAGCUCUAGCUCAUCGUAUCUUAACUGGCAAGUAGUGACGAAGACAGGCCUCAGAAAAUUCCUUCCACACAGCUGGAGGAGCGUUCGAACCCCUAGAUCUCUCCCAACUAUCAUACUAGAAAAUAGCUAAAUCCUGUAGCCGAUAAGAAGCCAACUCUACUACCUCUGUAUCAAUAGCAUGCAUAACCCGCAGUGUACGAUGAACCUAAUCAAUAAAAGUCUGCAGUUCCUCCUUGGGUUGUGCUCCGGUAAACACUGGAGGGUCUAGAUUAAUAAAAUCAUGAACACUCAUACUAAUUGGUUUAUCAAUAACACCGGUAUUCUACCUCUAAGCCUGAGCAGCUAUCAAGCUAGUCAACAACUGCACCGCAUUUCGUAUAUCCUGGUCUGUAGUGCCAGACGGGGGAACGGGUGGUGCUGGGUGCCUCCUAAUUUCCUCUGGAUGAGACGGAGUAUGAGGUAUGAGACGACAUCUCACUCUAAGGCUCACUUUGGCCUGCUCUGGCUUGGGGCACCUGACUGGUACCCUCUCCCGCAGCUGUAUCAAGCCGUCUACUAAUUGUUUGCUUCUCAGUCGAAGGCAUCGCUGAAAGAAAACAAAGUGAAUAUUCGAUAUGAACACUUACGACUCAACUCUACGCACGAUCUAGAUUCAGGAAGAAGGUAACAACCCAAGAUGUCUUGUAGCCUCCUGAUUAUAAAUGUGGCGCGCUACACAUCCAUAUCAAGACUCUACUAGACACGGCUCAUAGACAACCGCUACGACAGACUUGCACUGAUAUCAAAUUUGUCACGACCCAAACUAAAGGGACAUGACUAGCACCCGGCCAUACUUGCCGAGUACCAAUGUACAUUUUAUCUAACCUUCUUUAUUAUCUUUUAGAGCUGAUGAGAUUAGUAUAAAUGGUAGACAUGGAUCAUGGACAACUAACAAUAAAAGAUAAUGGCAUGAACAUGCAUAACAUGGGAUGACCAGACAAUCAAGAAACUAUAUAUAAGGUACGAGCUACCACGCAACCAUGAAAGACUAUACAGCAAAAUUUCAGCCGACAAUGCAUACCAAACUAUACAUGAGUGGACACCUGUCCAUGAUCCUCUAAUUGAACAUAAGUACUGCAAUAUUAUCGGAACAGGACCCCGACAUACCAAUAAUGUUUAUAACAAAAAUGCAUACCAAGACCACGACAAGUCCGGAGAAUGGAUCUCUCCAAUAACAGCUGAACUGGGCAGCCUACUGUGGUGGGGGAGCUACGUCUACCCAUCAAUCAUGACCUACAGCACGACAUGCAGCAUCCACUAAUAAAAAGGACGUCAGUAUGAAUAAAGUACUGAGUAUGCAAGGCAGAAAAGCAUAAGUAUGAAUAGUAAUGUGAAUAAUGAUAGAAAAUAUACAACCUGUAACAUCUGGGUACCUCUAUGGGCUACUGACAUUAAAUGCAUGAUACAAACAUAUAUAUACUUAAACUUUUAAAAGACACGCCUUUGUGGGCAUCAUCAUCAUAUCGUACCCGGCCUCAAAGAGGACUCAGUAAAAUCGUACCCGGCCAUCAUAUGGCUUGGUAGAAUCGUACCUGGCCAUGUGGAGCUCGAUAAAACCCAACUGAUCAGUGGUUGCACAAUAAGUGUUGUGUCCAGCCAUCUAUAGCGCGGCUCGGUAGAGUGAAAUAUAUACAUAUAUACAAUGCAUACUGGACACAUUGGUAUAAUAUUUUGAACCUUCUAGAGUGAUUAAGGCCGAUAUCCUCAGUACACGUUAUUAGGACUAACUCUUCAUCAUGAAUCUUUUAAGACUCAGAAAGUACCAACAACAUUGAUAACACAAUAAUAAGAGAAGCAACAUCAACAUCAAUCGCUCCAUAAGAUGGAAAACAAUUUAGGUACUGCUAGCUUCUAAGAGUAGAGUAUCUUUGGAAGCUCGUUCAUUAUAUUAUGUACAAUCGGAGUCGUGCAAAAGAAGGAAAGGGAUAGCCUCAUAUACCUUGUAUAUUCUUCCCAACCUCAAGCUAUGCAAUUUCACGGAACCUUAGUCUAUAAUAAGAGAAAUGAUACUGUCAUUAUUGUUUAGGCGUCGUAACUAUUAUGUAUCGAACACAACCUAUUUUAUGAGGAAACGGACAGCAACUCCCCUAUAUAUAUGACAUUACACAAGUCAAAACAAUCACCAAACAGCCCAAACAACAUCAAUAAUAAUCAUAUUGAGCCUCCAAAAAUAGUCCGCACAACCUAAUCACUUCAUACAUAAGAUUACCACCAUAGUAUUAUAAAACGACCCGGAAAGGUUACAAUGAAUGACCAGCAAACCACCCUUCCAUUAUGUGGUAUUUAUCCACACCCUUUCUCUUCUCAACUUCAUAAAAACAGUAGCAAAAUAUACAAUCAAUAGCAACACGAAAUAGCCCACAAACCGAGGGAGGCUUGUUAUCCGGGCCUCAGAUUUACCGAUAAAGGGCCUUGAGGUCGAUGCCUAGGUUUGAGUUCGAGCUAUUGGGGAUAACCGGGAAGGGACUAACAGUUAAGAUAUAAAUAAAGGAGGCUCUUUAUGGCCAAUAUCAAGCAAUAAAAGAAGAACAAGUAUGAAAGCAAUAAAUGAAAAGGUAGUAUCAAGCGUGUAUGUUAGAGAGAAAAGAGAGAGAGAGAUAUUAUUGAUCUUGUGUAGAGUGGUUGAAGCAACAACAUCCCUUUACAAAGAGGUGAGGAUCCCCGUUAUAUAGGAGGGGAAAUACAGCAUAGUACAGAAUGCAAUAAUUGUAAAGAUACGGAGAUGGGACGGCUAGACAUGAUAUUAGACUCUACUAGUGCUAUUUGAUCGCCUCGGGAAUUCCCCACCCUUGUGAUAAUUGUUGGGUCGAACAUGAAUAAACCGCGAGGGAGAGAACUUGACCGCAACCCCGUAGCCUCAAUAUAUUGAUAUGACUCCCCGAACAUACCUUAAUGGCGAGAAAUCAGACACUCCGAUUUCACCGUAUGCAUAUAGUCUCCACGUUUCCUAGAAUUAAGUAAUAGGAAACGAUUUUGAACUAUCAUCUUGAGGUCAUCAUUGCCGUGACAUCAACCGAUAAGAGCAUUAAAUGCUAUGUUCUAGAAAACCGUGCAAAGAUCGUUGUCAAAUGCGAUAAUUGAGGAACCCACGAACUGCCAUUGGCUUGUCCUUUUCCGCUGCCCAAGCGGUUCCUAUAAAUGCAUCGAGUAUUUGAUACUUCUUACUUUCACCCUAUCUCCAAAUUAAUGAGUCAGAACCCUUUGUCUUUUAUACUCUUUCAUCUUUUUCUAGAGAAAUUGUUACCAUUGAUAUGGCUAGUACUUCCAGAACAGUUCCUUGACGGAAUGAAGUUGCGCCAUCAUCUCGACUGUCCAAAGAGAAAACCAUAGCGAUUCCUUCCUUGAAAUAGUGUACCCCACCUGAUCUCGACAUGUCAAAAUAUUUUUACAUCGAUGCCACUUCAUCCACACCGGGCCGAUGUGAGCAUGUAUCUCGAUAUAUUAGCAUCUUGACCAACAUACAAAUGGUGAGGAAUGACUACCGAUGGAAUGAGGCAGUGGAGUUGGAGAUUCUCGGUCUUAAUGAGAAUAUAGUGGACCAUAAGGCCGGUUUUAUUUAAGUGUAUACCUACCCGUUCACCUUAGGUCCUGACAAAUCUUGUAAAUCCUCUCCCCCAGAGAUAGACCCAGUCAUCCUUAACUUCUGUGACAAGUACCAAGUGACACUUGGUUAGGUCUAUCCUUCUUUCUAGAGGAUAGUAUUGAUGCUCCUCCAUUUCACCGAAGGGGUUGGGGUGAGGCCUUCACCCUCAACCAUUUGAUCAGGAUGUAUAGCCCUCGAUUUUAUCGAGGUUUGAUCAGGCUCCAUCAUCGAUCCAAAAAAUCAUUCUUCUCGAGAAUCAACGAGGGGAAGGACCGAGGGUAGAUGAGUAGAUUUGUCUGGGUGAAGACCUCAGAUAUUAUCCCGGUUUGGAGGAUGCCUUUUUUGGAGAGAUGGAAUGCGCAACGUAAGCAACUUUCCCUUAACCCCCCUUUUUUACUACUUUUCUUUUUAAAUAAAGACCUCUCUGAACUUCUUGCAGCCGCUGCUUGGUACCCCGAGGAAGUUCCAGAUUUGUCAGGAUGGAUAAAGUGGUUGGACAAGGCAUUCCCAUGUCUUGCUCGGUCUUGGACCGACCUAGCGAAGGAGCGAUGGGUGGCCAAGAAUCAUGGUAGAGUUGUUUUACCGCCCACGCCUUGUAUUUGUGUUUCUUCCUGCGCCCUUAGUGAUAGAAUCUUGCGGUAACUUUGCUGGUUCAGGUCUUGGCGAGAAUAUGCAGAUGAGGCCACCCCCUAGCGGUGAAGUGGAGGCUUCGAGCCUGGCAAGGGCAAAAGGAGAAAAGGCAAGGCAACUGUCGCCCUUCCUAUGACAAAGAAACCUAGGUCGCUCGUACAUUGAGCCACUGCUGGGACUUCUACUUCAACUUUAGGGGAAACUUUUGGCAUCGAGGAAGAGUAUGACGAUGAAUGUCAACUAGCACGGAGAACGAGGAUGGAUGUGAGGGCCUUGCAGGUUCCUCAAUCUAAGCUUGCUGAGUCUAGAACAGCUGACUCUGGUCAGUCUCAAAAACCGGAGACCCUCAAAGAGGGUGUUAAUGCGGCUUCAAAUCACACAACUAGGUUCGAUGCAGUUUCUAUUUCGAGGAACGCUGCCAUAGAUCAUGAAGGCUCGGGGCCCUAAGCUUUUCGGGAGUAGGGAUUGCCUUCUAGAGAGGACGGUGACUUGAACAACUUCUUAUCAUGCUUCCAGGUCUCGUCGGGGGAACUGCGGGACGCUCAAGAAGUGGUCAGCAUCAAAGUGGUGAUUCCUCUCCAAGGGGGAGGCUCUAUUUCCAACAUAUUUGACGGUGUUAGUGAUUGCCGUUCUUGAAGUUUCCGGCGCCGUCAAAGUAACGGAGAAACUUAUGCAGUAGGUGAUAGCCAUUCUUCGUGCAUUUAUUUUAUCCUCGGACGUCAUUCUCCGUCUUUCUAUCUUUUUUGGUAUGCCAUAGUGCAAGGACAUGUACGAUCAUACCUUCCUUCGGCUCUGCGAUGAACUUUCUUACCAUGAAAAGGAGUGUAAGAAAGUUACCUUGAUGCUGCGGGAUUCUCAAGCUCGCUCUGCCCGAGGAGGGAAAGAACAAGGAGAGCUUCAAGCUGCUUUGGAAAUGGCGCUCCGGGAAAAAGCCGACCUUGCUGUGCAGGUAUUUUGCCUUGCUGGUACCCAACUUCUUGUCACAACCCAAACCGAUGGGCCGCGAUGGGCACCCGGUAUCUUACUCGACCGAGUACCAACAUAACGUAUCUUUCUUAUUACAUCAUCAUAUACACGUGACAUACGAGCCUAAUAGGCCAACAUAAUCAUUUAUAAACUCAAAACAUAGGCCGACAAGGCCGUACAAUCUUUUACGUAUACGACAUAUGUCUACAAGCCUCUAAGAGUACAUAAAUGUCAUAAAGUCUACAUCGCCACUCUGAUCGAUGUGGCUACCUUUACUCUGAACGGAGUAUGUGCCUUGAGUGGUAGAACAGCAACUUCAAACGGCGUGGGCGCAUUUGUCGAAGACACGAAUUCAACCUCAAUUGGCACUAGAGUCUUUGCAGAUGUCGUUGCUUCAAACUCAAUAGGCACAUACAUAUUUACCUCAGCGUCCCUGGAUGGUUAAAUCUGGACUAUGAUCGGAUUAAGAGUAAUUAUUGGCUUUUUUGGUUUAUCACCUUCUUUGGUUUAUCCCUCGGGAUCCCAGUCGUCCUCUAUUUCAAUCAUAUGGAUACCUCCACCCUUAUGGUCUGGUAGAGGGUUGUUGCGGGUAUUUGAGGCAGGUUCCUUUGCCACAAUGACAUUGUUAUCAAUUAAAGACUCGAUCUUGCCUUUUAAAGAACGACAUUCAUCAAUGGUGUGCCCUUUCAUGCCACAGUGGUAUGCAUAGGAUUUGUUUGGGUUAACCCACUGAGAAGGGAUUUCAAGAGUUGCAGCAGGGAUGGGGGUGACAUAACCAGCAAACUUGAGUCUUUCAUACAACUGGUUAAUGGGUUCAAUGAUGGCUGUGUAUUAUUUUGGAGGUCUGCGGUCAAAAUUUGGUUGAGGCCUAGGGAAGUUUUGGAGCGUAGGAGGUGAUUGAUAGUUGGAGGGCUGAGCAUUGUAGGUUUGGUAGGUGUGAGCGGGUUGGGAGUAUCUAGGUGAAGUAGGUUGAUAUGUGGGAGGUGGAGGUAAUUGAUAAGUUGGUGGCGGAGCUAGGUAUGAGGGUGAGGAUGCUUGGUAGUUCGGGGUUGGUUGAUAUGUGGAUGGAGGUGUUGGAUAUGUUUGGUAUUUGAUAAGAGAUUUGGUCCUUUGUGGAACCAUCACAGCUCCUAUGUCCCUUUUCUUGGACACACCACCGAAUUGUAAAGCCUUAUUUGUAGCUUGUAAGGCCUCGAAGUUUGUAACCAUACCGCUUUUGAUACCCUCUUUAAUUAUUUCACCCAGUUUGAUGAUGUCAGAAAAUUUGUGGCUUUUAAUUAUCACUAGUCAUUCAUAGUAUUGCGGGUCCUGGUCUCGGACAAAGAAUUUGUUCAUCUGUUCCUCCUCUAAGGCAGGUCUGACAUUAGCAGCUUCGGACUUCCAGUGAGUGGCAUACUCGCGAAAUAUUUCUAUAGGCUUCUUCUUUAGAUUUUGAAUAUAGAACACAUCUGGGGCAUUCUCUGUGUUUAACCUUAACCGGUCCAUAAAGUCGGACGCCAUGCUUACCCAGCUCGACCACUUUUUUGGAUCUUGACUGAUGUACCAAGACUGCGCAUCUCCUUUCAGACUCCUCAUGAACAACUUCAUGCAAAUUCUCUCAUCUUUCCCUACUCCAACCAGCAUGUCACAGUAUGUUCUCAAAUAGACCCUUGCAUCCCCUGUACCAUCAAACAUUUCGAGCUUUGGAGGUUUGUACCCUUCGGGUAGUUCGACAUCAGGUUGUAUGCAAUUAUCUUUAUAGUUUAGCACCUCAAUUCCCUUGCUUCCUUCAAUGCCUUGAACCCGGCUAGUCAACUUCUUAAGUUCCUCAGCUAGGUUCCUGAUGAGCAGGUCAUUUUCAUCAGACUCGGGUGUGCUUGAAAUAGGUUGGGUGAUGUGUGGCAUGGUCUCCACGUAGAUGGAGGUGUUAUGGUGGGUGUGAAAGUGGUCACUUGUGGAGUUUUGGGGUUCUGGGAUGAGUAGUGGAGUAUUGUUUGGGAUGUGGAAAGUGUUGCAUUGAGUCUUUGGUGGAACAGUGUGAUGGUAAGGAGCGGGAUGAUUCUGUUGCUUUGGGAUGUUUUGAGGCGGUGUAGGGUUCUGAGCGUUUAGGAAAUUGAUAUCUGAAGGGGUGAGGGAAAAUGACAGAUUUGCCAAGUUCCGAACCUGAUCAAGCUCUUCUUGGAAUUUCAGCAGUUUUUAUUCAAGUCGGGAUGCAUUUUCCUUAGGAACCUGAGUACCAUGACCAUGAGUGGCCUCUACCUGUUCAGUUGAAUUAUCCUUUCUGACAUUGUUGAAAUCUUCCAUCUUCCCUUUAUUCUUGUUUUUGACAGGACUAAGAGGGGGAGUGGGUGGAGGGCCCCUGGAUCUCGUGGAAUAGGAUGAUGUUGCCAGAGUGCACGAACUAACCUUUUGGGAGGGGAAUAAUAAAAACAAAAGGUAACCAAGGUAGUCAGGAUCAUAAAAAGUAUUGCAGUAUUUAAACACAUAGUGCAGGAAUUUAGAUUGUGUCCUAAUUUAGGGACCUCAUUAUGCCUGACGUGGGCCUAGCGAGAAAUUGAUUUGGAGAACUUAGGAUGCUAAAUGCCUCAUUUUAUUGAUAAAGAUAGACGAAUCCCAAAUUGACACUAAAUACACAGGAAAUGAAAAUCACUAAUGGCCAUUGGCCUUAUUACAUUUUAUAGAGCAAAAAGGAAAAACUCCUAUCUAUUUGGUCCCAGAAGGACCUUCCUCAGGUUGAAUGCUCUUGUUGAUCAGAUACUCUAGUUCGUGUAGGUUCACCAGUAAAAAUGCCUUUGCCAUGUGUUCUCUUUCGUUUCCCUCAGCAUUCUGGCAGUCGGUGACUCUCUUCCUCACUUUUCCUUCCAAUUCCAACAGAUUGUAUUCCAGAUAUUCCAACUUUUUGCUAGCUUUGGCGGCCCUGUCUUUCCACUCAUUGAUUUGGUCACUUGAUGGAAGACUCCUCCACCAGUAUUGCAAGAGUGGGGGCCUACUAAUCAUACCAAAACAAAAGGGUUAGAUCCUACCCCCACCAGACUCGACUAUUUAAUACCAACAAUUAGCAUGAAGCAUUUAGUUCUCCAAAUAAAUGCACAGGACGUGGUGAUGUCCGUUUGGGUUCAGGGAAACCCGGUGGACUUUGGACAAGUCUAUCUUAAAUGAUCAUUAUGUGGACAACAUAACUGACCGGCUAGGUUUGACCAUGAUGCAUGCACAAUUUGAACAGAGUAAUGUUUCUAUGGGGUUUUAGACUGGUACCCUUGAGCGGCCAACUCAAGGGGGAAGGCACGGAACCGUCGACUACACCGCUGAUCGACUGGUUUUACCGCAAAUAUGCCUUUCCGAAUUUAGGGGGUGAUAAUAUAAGAAGAGCGCAACCACUCAUUAUACGCGUUGUUAUGGUAUUUGUUUGGCACGAGUGGAGUAUGAUGUUGAGCAUGAUUAUGCAAUAAUUAAAGCAUGUAGGCACGUAUUUGCACGUUAACGAAGUAAUAAAUACAACAGUUUCAUAAUUUAAAGCGGCAAUAAAGGUAUGAAACGAAGAAGAUAAGUCAAUUUUGCUUUUGAAAAGAAAUUAAACGCUUAAAGGAAUUUAAACAAGUAAUUGCACAUAAGGGAGGGUACAAAUUCACAAUAACAGUUUGAAAUGGUAAAAGCCUAAAUAUCCCUACCAGAGUCGUCAUGCUGUUGCGCCCCCUUUUUUCCAUCUUUGCAUCGGGAGAUCGGGUUUAUGAUAUUUUUGGCUAUAGGACAACUCAUUCCUUUUGUAACUGGAUUUUUGCAUUUGAAGAGUCGCCACAUAAUGAUUUAAGGUGCAUUAGGACACCUAUAGGGUUCACUUCUAAGUUUGUUUGAUAACUAGAGAUUGGGUAAGGGCUUGAAAAUAUCCUAAGGGGAAGGUGUUAGGUACCCCUCAGGAUCCACUAGUGUGGUUCCUGGCAAGACAGUUUUUGUGAAUUUCUGCAAUUAAGCAAACAAACAGAUAUAGGCUCAAAUAGUAUGGGAUUUAAACACAUAAGAGUUUGAAAAACAAUUAGAAGGCGAAUUUCGAAAAGAAAGAGCUACAGUUCUACAAAUAAUUUAAAAUAUAAAAGAGGAAAAAGGGGUCCUAGGUUUAUUUAUAAUAUGGAUCACGUCAAUGCGAUACCCGAUAUGACACUCCUUAGAAGUGGGAUACACGAGGUUAGCGCACCGGUCAUCAUAUCCAUAUCUACUCUCCCCACCCCGUUAAAGUAUUAAAACGCGAAUUGGUCUCGACCACUAUUGCAUGUUAUUACCCGUCCCAUUCCUAUCAGCCCCAGAGGAACCUAGGACUACUAUUCCUAAAGGGGAGGGAUAUUAGGAUUACUAUAGGUUUCAAAAAAUGAAAAAUCUAAGGCGAAAUAAAAAACACAUAGUACUGCACAUUAGGGGAAGCAUGUAAACAAAUAAAAGGCUCAUGUGCACCUCCUCAAGCAAAACACAUAAAUAUCAUGACUUAAACAUACAUUUAGGGUCUGAAUUUAAAAAUACUAAAGGCAAGGGGAGUUUUAAUUAUUAAAGUAGAACAGUUUAUUACAUAACUCAGAUAAGAAGUCCGAGUAAGGCCUGCCUUUUGGUUGUAGUAAUUACCAAUUAACAAAGGCGGAUUCAAUCUUAUUGUUGUUAUCACCUAAGGCUUACCUAAGUGUUUGGGUGAGAUCCUAUAAACAUGGUAUUUAUUACUGAUUCAAAAUAUGGCAAAGCAGUAACCAUUUUUAAAACAAAUGAUUUCGGAUUCUGUAGGCAUGAUAUCUUAACUGUAUUAACAGAGCGUGAGAGAGUUGUUUAAAAACUAGUUGAGAACAGUAUGAAUUAGGCUGAUUUUAAACUAGACUAGUUUCAGAUCCUAUAGGCGUGAUAUCUAUUAUUGCUGAUUUAAUUCCUAUAGACAUGAUAUCUAGUUGAACGUGUAAUGAAGCAGGCAAAAUUUACUCGCAAUUCCUAUAGGCAUGAUUUCUAUAAAAUGUACUGAUUUUAAAACUACUGGACAUAAUGCUAGACGAUAACCAGUUAGAUCCUAAGAACAUGGUGUCUAGGUAUGGUAAUGCAAAAUCAAAGACAAGUCCUCUAGACAGGUUCUCUAAAUGCAGAGUUAAGAAUGCAGAAUUUAAGCGAGUCCUAUAGAUAGGUUCUCUAAAUGGAGAGUUAAGCAUGCAGAAUUUAAACGAGUCCUAUAGACAGGUUCUCUAAAUGCACAGUUAAGCAUGCAAAAUUUAAACGAGUCCUAUAGACAUAAUAUCUACCCUUAAGCAUGCACAAUUACCCAGCCCUUUCCACUAGCCAAACCCCAAGUUAUGGAAUAAACCACUGCAAAUGCAAUUUGUUUCAAAGCCUUUCUCAAACCUGGGUGUGUCAAAGUUCCCUAAGGGUCUCAAGGGACCCCGGGUAGUGCUUAUACCCAAGUUUGCAUAACCAGACAGGAAUGAGUGUAGUGUGGAAGGGCCGACCCUUAUGUGUCCAAGUUUAGAGGGAGCUCAUGGGUCCUAAGGCAAGGCUCACAUAAGAAGGGCAGAACCUAAGUCUAAGAGUAUAGUGGAUAUACAGGAGCAGAGAGUUGUUUACAACUGGGUUGAGAAUAGUAAGGGGGUAAGGAUAAUUUGAAAAUAGUAGUAAUAAAUUUAACACUCCAGAAUCAGUAUUUUGAUACAAAGGGGUCAGGGGUUUGGGAGUUCAUUACAGGGAGCAUAUGACCCUAGGAGGGGGGUCAGGUUUUGGAAAUACACAACAAUAGAUGAUGCUUGCAUACCCAUAAACCAUCCAGAGAAUACAACACAUAGAGGUUAUAUGAACGAUAUGACCCCAGGGAGGGUCAGGUUUGGGUCAUGCACCACAAUGUCUAAUGCUAACAUGCCCUCAAACCAACCAAAGAAUACAAACACAUAGGGGAUAUGGGGGUUUGGCAUUCAUAAAUCAUAAUAAGUGACUGACAGAAUUCAUACAUAAGGAAAAACAUUAAUUCAGAAGGGAAAGGGGCAGAUUACAACAUGCUUAAUAAUGGAACUUGAUUAAACACAAGCAAGAACAAGCAAGAGUGCAAGAAAUAGCAAAGAAACAUGUUGUCGUUGAUGCUGAAGAUUAAUUAGAACAUACCAGUAAAGAAGCAAAUGCAAAAAGAAAGUAACCAAAUUUCCCACAGCCUAGCCUUGGCUUUAAGCUUGUUAGGUAAGGCAGCAACACAAGUAGUAACAGAGAAAAGAGAGUUUUGAGUGAAGUGUGUGUUCUAAACUCAAUUGUUCGUGUUUUUGAAAGAAAAGGGGUGCAGGGUAUUUAUAAUUUUGAAAAUAUGAGAGAAAUAAGGUAAUAAGAAAAGUUUCAAUACAAAUAUGGAAACAACAAUAGUCAGAUCAAUUAACCAAGUGAUUCCCCUUUAAUCAAGAGAUCACUUGUUUAACGGGGGUAACAAAUUCAAAAAAUAAGGAAAGACGAAUCAGUUUGUAGGCAGACUGAUUAUUGCCAUAAAAGUGGUAGUAAAAACAUUAAGUAAUCAAUCAAAUCAAAGUACAAAAAUAUGAUUAUUUUGAGAAAGGAUUCAAUAAGGCAAAAUAUCAUAAUAAAGAAAAAGAAUCAAUUAACUUUAAAUAGGCGAGUGAAAUUAGAGUUCAUAAAAGAAAAGUUUUGAAAUUAGUCACAAGAUCGAGAUCAAUCAAGGAAGUAACAUGCUUUUGCACUUUAGUAUUUAAACAGAGUGAGCAGAGACACCAGACAUGUGAGGACAAACCCAUUGGCAAAAGAAACAGCAUACAGAAAUAGGCACAAGGUUCAGUACUAAAGCAAAAAAUUGAAGUAUAGUAAUCAAGUAGGUCAAGUCACAUUGAGUCAGCAAUGGAGAAAACAAAGUAUCAGAACCAUGCAAAAGUCUCACGGUAGCAAAUGAGAAAACAUUUUGAAAAGUUAGGGUUUCAAGCAUAGUCAAGUUUUAAAGAUAAUAAAACCCAGAAUCAGAGGAAUCACAUAAAGAAAAAGAGAUUAUGAAACAAGGAACUUCAAAUCGAGUCAGGUAUUCAAACGAAAAGUUUCAGACCCAAGACAUAGGUUUUUUUUUCAACAAUAGUCGAGCUUAAAAGAUAAUAAACAAAAAAAUCGAACAAAAACUUAACCAAGCAAGCACUCAUCUAACAAACAGCCAAAAGAAAUUAGGAUUUUUUAAAACAUGCUAACUCAGAUAGAAAAAAAACAUGAGCAAAACAUUUCAAGAUCAGAAACACGUAAAAAUCUGAGAAUAGAUUUUGAAAUAACUUAACAGGAGAACCCUAAUCGGAAAAGAUAAAGAGUCGUUUUUAGAGAAAAGUUAAAGAAACUACGAGAAAAUACUUAAAAGUUCAAGGUAAGCAAAGAUAUGAGGUAGAUCUGAAAGAAAUUGAAAAGAUCUUAGAGAUUAGGGUUUCAGAAAACCCAGAAAAGGUGAGAAAGGUCCUGAAAUUUACCGAUCUAACCAGGAGAGUCAAGGAUCUGACUCGAGCGGCCAUGGCUGGCCAGAGAAAGGUUAAGGAUGACCACAGAAGAGCCAUGAACUGAAAUCGAACAAGGAUUGGACCAGACUCCUUCAAGCUCUGGCCUUGAAACCAUAAGAACAAAUACAUAGAAGCCAUGGAAGGCUGGUAUAUGCCUCAAAUAACCACGGAAGGCCAUGGAUUAGGUAGGUAUUAGGGUGGGGUGAGAGGGCGACAGCUAGGAUUCAGGAGAGUUUCAGAGAGAGUUGAGAAAGGAGGGGGUUUCAAGGGCGGCGGUAGGUGGGAAGUGAAUUAGGUUAAGGGGUUGGUUUGGGUUAAAAAUGGUAAGGGCAGCCGUGGCCGUUGAUCUAAAUGAUCAACGGUUGGGAUUUAAAGGGUUAGGUGGGGAUCCAGGUCUAGGUCGAUUUAAUUUGAAAUUGGGUCGGGUAAAUUGGGUUNNNNNNNNNNNNNNNNNNNNUAANAAAUUAAAUUCUAGAAAUAAAUUGAAAGUACUAGAAUGAUUUAUAACAUAUAAUUAUCAAUUUAAAAUAGUGGACUUAAUUUUUAUAACCAUAAACACAAUUAAAUCUUAAAGGAGGUCAAUAUUGUAAUUAUAUGCAAUUUUGCUUUAAAAAUACUAAAUAAAUUUGUAAAAAAACAUGAAAAAAUUAGCUUAGCUAUAUUUUAGCAUAAAUAUUAGAAUCCAAUAAAUGAAUCAUCAAAAUGAUAAUUUUUGGGAAUUAUUAUUGGUUUUUUAUGAAUAAAAUAGGGAAAUAAAUUGGUUUAAAAAUCUUUAAAAAUUAAGAAAAAUAAUAAAAUAUUUGGACAUACUUAUAUAUGAAUACAGAUGAUAUUUUGAAGGUAUUUUGCAUAUUAAAAAAUAUAUAGGAAAAAAUUGGGUAUCAAUAAUGCUCGCAAUGAGGUUGCUACUUUUGCCUCGGCUAAGUCCGAGGUUGAACGAAAUGUUUCCACUUAUUGGGAGGAUGCAACCACGAUGCAUAAAAUAGCUCGUGACAUAUCAAUAGAAGCUGAGAAGAAGCUAACCCGAGCUAUUAUGCAUGAUAAGGUAGAGGCGAGGAUAGAGACCUUGGAGGAAAUUGAAGCCAGAGGUAUCGACCUAUCAACUGGUCUCGAGGAAGCCCGCAAAUUGGAGAGAGAACUGGCGCUGUUAAUUUCCCUCGGCGAGGGAGAAGAUAAUGGCGAUGAGGAGUAGUCUCCAAGUCAUUUUGUAUACCCUCCUUUUCCUUUUCUAUGCAGCCCCGGGGGGAUGGGUUGUGUAAAGAUGUUUUCUGUGAAUAUGUUUUUGGUAAUGUAAAAAAGGGAUUUUCCUCCAGUCAGCUUUUUCAGUCUCUUCUUUCUUUGCCCCUUUGCUUUUGUGAUUUAGCUUUUGACUCUCGACGUUGGCCUUUCGGAACCUGUUCUCGGAGCAACCGAGAUCCUCAAACUGGCCAUGCCCCGAGGUUAAAUCGAUAGCUUCUAUCGAACCGAUAGUCGUGAUAUCGGGGACCUCCCCGAGGCCUCGCAGUUUUUUGAGUUCCGUGGGAUAACAACUUUGUAUGAUCCGAUAAAAGGGGGCUCGGGGUGAUUUCACUAGAACGUUUCGCUAGGAGAGGGUGACGUUAACACAGCCAAUAUUAAUUGGCCCUUUUGGGUAGGCGGGCAGUUGCUGCUUUGCCCCUAUAUAUUAAUUCAUCCCCCUUUCCAAUGGUAAAUUUGCUGCUUUGAAAGGCUAUCUCUUCUGCAGAGCCUGGCGCUUUGUGCUAGUCCUUCCGCUCCCCUAAUUCAAAAAAAUAAUUCUUGCUUAGACCCUCAUAUUUCCCCUCCUAUUUUACCGUAACCAUGACUGCUAUGUCGAUGUCCGAUCAUCGAGUGGAGGGGAGUUCCUACUGUGUUCCACAUUCGGUUGGAGCUAGUGGCUUACCUCCGAUGCUAGGUAAGCGAGGCUCGGGGUGCCCUGCCUCGAGGAGAGUUGUCACGCCAGGAAAACCUCCCAUUGUUCUGGGUCACCGGGAGCAUGUGUCAAGGAUCAUUUCAUCAGUGGGAGAGGAAAACCUCAAAAAGAUCAGAAAAUAUUGCAGAUGGGGAGAAGGUGUGAUAUUACAAGUACCUUCCCUCGAGGAGAGCGUCAUGACAUAUGUUGAGGGAUUUUUGAGCAUAAACACACAUGUUUGCGCACCGGGUUCCCCCGACCGAGUCGUGCUUGAUUUCUGUCAGAGAUAUCAGGUCACACUAGUGCAGGCUUAUCCUUCCGUUUGGAAAAUAGUGCAGGCAAUGAGAUAUUUUGCCAAUAAGGCCGGGAUAGAGUUUACCCUUAGCCAUCUCGUGAGGUUAUAUCGGCCACUGCGUUACCGGGGCUUGAUUGAUCUUCAAUGUCGAUCUACCUGAGCUCUUGUCAUUGGCAGCGAGAAGGUCAAGGACCGAUAAUGGAUGAAUCAGUUCGUUUGUAUUUAAACGAUUGAUGUCAUUCCUAGUGAAUUUUUGCCAUUUCCUUAGAAAUGGAACUUCACACGUAAGUGUCUCAUAUGAAAUAUAAUCAUUUUGACCGGAGGCAGGCUCCGUAACGAUAUCUUUCUGUUCAAUAUUUGUAGCAACUCAUUGGUCACCAAGCAAGGUCCCUUAUUUGGCCGAGUGGUCUCGUACGCUAGCAGCUUGCUCGAUUUAUAAUAGGCGCCGGUGGCGAGAUCUGUCCAAAGGUAGAUGGGAGGCGAAGCAUCGUAGUAGGUGCCCAAUGCUUUGCUUCCUAGAAAAUGGCACUUUUCUUGCCGAUUUAUUUAACACAACUGUCGCAGGUGUCGGGGGUUCUUUCGAAAUGAGGUCGCAUCCUCCGGGGGAGGAGGAGAAAUUGCUGGCCUCGGGAUCAAGGAGCGAUGACAAAAGAAAAGGUGCUCUGGGGCAUGAAAAGGUUUGCAGUGAGGUGACUCCUUCUCAACGGUUAAGGAGAAGCAAUUCAGUCGAUCGACCACCUUCCAGAAGUUGUACGCCAUCGGAUGUUGCUUUGGCCUUUAGCGAGGCUCGGCGGUUUGGUCUCAUGGUGAGUUCUGACUGCUGUAAGAUUAUUCUGGCCCCUUGCCUUUCUUUCUCCCUUUCUUUUUCUUUAUUUAGCUUUCUUUCAUAGGCCUUUGACAGGCUUAAAUCCGAGCUGCUUCGUAGUGAGUCCCCGUUGCGGGAAGCUUUGGAUAGGGAGAAAUCCCUGAAGCUUCUUUGUGAGGCAAAGGAAAGCAAGCUGGUUUCCUUACGAUGCGAGGUGGACCAGAGCCGGAGCUGUGAGAUCCGCCUGGACAAACAGCUACCCAGUAUUUCAUGCUGGCUUGCGCUCCUUUUCUACCUCGGCGUCUUGAUGUUUUGAUAUUUUAAUUGGAGGACGAGGCGUAGGAGCUGGGAUAGCUCUGGGGCGAAGUUGGCCAAGCCAAACCCGAAUUCAACGAGCUGCAGGCGCAUGUAAGUGCCAAUUUUGUUGUAAAGCCCCAAAAAAAUUUGCUUCGUAAUUUAAGAUUUCGUGGUGCCAAGGUAGGCCAAAUAUUUUAUCUUGCGUGCAAAUGAGGAUUAAGGAGAUUAUGGAUAUCAAUUGGAUAUGUUAAUAAGUAUAUAAGUCAUAGUAGAAGAGAAUUGGGGUCUAAGGAGAGGCCUAAGUCUAAGCCAAGUUGGAAAAUUUUAUAAGAGACGAAAGUUGCAAAUGAGUGCGCACAAGACCUCACUUUGGACAAUCAUAUCUCCAGUUAUAUAUAGAUUUGUGUGAUGCACAACCUAUUAAAUAAAAUUUCUUUAAGUCUAGUUUCCAACGCUUCAAACCAUUCGUCAUUCGGACACUCCUACCAAAAGUUAUGACAAAAUUACCAAAAGCAGUAUAAAAUUUUACACUACCGCGCCACCCCAUGCGGCGCGGCUGUGUAAAUUAUUAGAGCACCUCCAUUUUCGUUUGGAAAGACAUUUUUCAUUACCAUGCUGCCCCAUGCGGCGCGGCUGUGCAAAAAUCGGGCUUUUGUUAUAAAACGACCUUAUUUCGUCAAAUAGAUUCAAGGGACCAUUUCUUGAGCAAAAAUCAGAUAUUUUUACAAUGAGAGAGUGCCCUAGAGUGAGAAAGUACCCCUCGUCAAUUCUUCUACAACUCUUGCUCAAAUCUUAAAGGAUUAACAAGGAAAACCACACUAGGCCUUCAUCCUUGAGGUAAGAUUCUAUACCCUAACCUUUAAUUUCGAAUUUAGCUAAAGAUGGGUAAUUAUAAAGAAUGUUUGUGGGUAUUGGAGUUGUUAUCUUGCUUGCAUGUGUUGUCAAAGGUUGUAGAAACAUUGUUGAGCUAAAGGUGGUAAAGUAUGGGUUGUGGGUUGAUGAAAUCCUCUAUAAAAGGACCAUAAAGAAUUAACGCACAUAUGGUGUUUGAUAAAAUGCUCAAAUGAGAUAGAAUUAUGAAUAUCUUCCUAAUUCAUGUUCAAUUUUGUUAUGUCUCGAAGUAGAUUGGCAUUACUAGAAUUUCUUGAACGUUGUAGUAACUUAAGGAAAAGCUCUUUGAGGUAUGUAUGGCUAACUUUAACCUUUGUAAAGUCACCUUGUUUGGUGUACAAGUAAUUGGUAUGUGUUAUUUAUGUGGGCCAUUUGUGAAUUCUUGUGUUUAAUAUGCCUUGUACGAGUAAUUGGUAUGUGUUAUUUAUGUGGACCAUUUGUGAAUUCUUGUGUUUAAUAUGCCUUGAACGAGUAAUUGGUAUGUGUUAUUUAUGUGGACCAUUUGUGAAUUCUUGUGUUUAAUAUGCCUUGAACGUUGUUGGUUAAGUUUCUUGAUAUAAUGGUGUAAGUAAAUGGCAACAAGCCAAGUGUGUGUGUGUGAAGGUGCUUAUGUGGUAAGAGUUGUGUAACAAAUGAUGGAAAGACAUCGUAAUUGAUGCAAUUGAAACAACUGUGGUAAUAUCAUACGUGACUUGUCGUGGCAAUUAUCGUUGUGACUUAAAUUGUAUACGGACUGUUGCAUAUGAUGGAAAUGGUAUUGAUGUCUAUGAAAAUUCUUUGUGAGUUGUUGUGUUGUCGUUUGAAAUGUAAUUGUCCGGUGGGAUCGGGUUGUGCGCCGCAACACGAAGUUAUAAGGUGUGGGUUGUGGUGAUAAGAGUUGCCGAGGUAAUAAGGGUGGCCGAGGUAAUAAGAGUGGAAAAGUGAUCNNNNNNNNNNNNNNNNNNNNNNNNNNNNNNNNNNNNNNNNNNNNNNNNNNNNNNNNNNNNNNNNNNNNNNNNNNNNNNNNNNNNNNNNNNNNNNNNNNNNNNNNNNNNNNNNNNNNNNNNNNNNNNNNNNNNNNNNNNNNNNNNNNNNNNNNNNNNNNNNNNNNNNNNNNNNNNNNNNNNNNNNNNNNNNNNNNNNNCUAUUACUGUUUGUUACCUGUGUAUUUCUUGAUUUUACUUGGGUUAAAGUUUGUUCAUACAUACCAGUACAAUUCAAAUGUACUGACAUCCCCUUUGCCGGGGGCGCUACAUUCGUGUUAUGAUUGUAGGUGGUUCUAUAGCAGGUACUCCAGUCCACCGACAAUAGCAAUUCUUCACUUUCCGUCAGCUGUAUUGGUGAGCCCCUUUUCCUCUCGGGGCCCUACGUGGCUCAUGCCGCUUUUCCUCCCGGAAAUCUUAUUUUGGUAUUUGCGUAAGGUAUAGCCGGAGCCUUUUACCGGCAAGUAUCGUAACACUCUUUUGUAUACCUAGAGGCUCCAUAGACAGGAAAUAUGGGUUAUGCACUUAUGUAUUUUGUAUUUGGGAAGUGUAACAUGUAAACCACGCUAAGUAACUAUGUAUGUUAUGUAAAUCUCGUAAGAAUAUGCUCAAAUUUAUAAAUGGCUAUUUCACUUGGUUAACGGAUAAAGGAAAACGCGGGGUAACACGUGGGAUAGGAAAGGAACCUAGGUCCGCUUGACUGGGGCUGCCAGGUCGAGCGCCGGUCGCGCCUCUCGGUUUUGGGGCGUGACAUUUGUGGCCAAAAAGAGGGCUCAAGCCAUGAAUUCUGCUCUUGAGGCACAAAUCCAGACCGUUCAUGUGAACGAUUUUGCUCGGGCGAAUAUGAUCGCAAGGCUUUCGUCCGAACAUUUGAAGGUGAAGACCUAAGUGGUGAAUGUCCGGGCCGAGGUUGUGAUGAGCAAUACCAGGGCAGGAUAGAAAGUUGCGGCCUAUUCGAAGAGUGUUGUCGUUGCUAAAGCUGAGCUGAAGAGAGCCCUUGAUCGUGUAAGCAAUAGCAAGGAGUAUGCGAGAUGCAUAUCCCGGAGGGAAGUCCUCGAGGAGAUUCAUGCCAGGGGCUUCGAUCUCUCGCGGGAGAUCGAGCAAGCCAAAGGGGAGGAAUAUGAUGCCAAGUUCCUUCUGUCUGAUGCUGAAGACGGCGAGGAGGGAGCCGCAGGGCCAUACUUGCUAAAAGGUGGAACAUUUAUUACCUACUUCCUUCUUGUGUACAUAGCUUUGAUAAUAUAUUGUAGAGAGAGCUUGCGUUUCACCGCCCGUAUGUAAAAAAAGGGGGGGGGACCCUGCAAUUUGUAUCUUCUAUACUUUUGUUCGCCAAGAUCUCAAUCGAUUCGAUUCGACCUUUGGAUUAGUAGGAAUCUCCAAACCUGUAAUAUGGACCUGAUGUUCAUCAGGCCGGUUUUUAUGUAUGUGGCCCUGGGGCUCGUGAAGCUAACAACGAUGGCUCUUACGCUAUGGCCUUAGGUGUAUAUAGUUAACUAUUUUGGAUCCGAUCUCCAAAUCGGGUUACGACUCGAGCUCAUUUUGAUCCUCAAGCUUUCAAAUUUUUAGGCUGGCGAUAGUGGCUCUUACGCUUGUGCUCGUUGCGACCUUUUAAUGUGUGGCCCUGAGGCUCGUUUGGGUAGCGACAAUGGCUCUUAUGCUUUUUCCCUUAGGCAUAUGUAGGCUUUAUUUUCCUCUCGUUAAGUUCUUUUUUUGAAAUAAUUUUGCCUGACCUGUCGUCGGUUCGGGAAGAACCUCGAUUUCAAGUCCUUAGCAGCAAUGUUCGAGCACCUCGGAAGGUUUGGCUAGUAGACUAAGUAGCUCAAGAUCUUUUUAUUUGGAUUUGACAUGGUUGAAGCUCAUUUGCCUAUCGAGGGCAGCCUGUUUUAACCGGUUCUUUUCGAAGUAGAUUCGAAGUAAUGGCCUGUGAUUUUGUUAGCGAUGGUCGGGUGUCCCCAAGUCGUGUUAAUUUGGCUGGUGCAGCCGUAUUGACCUUAGUCAUUUGCGUUUGGCCGGAGUCAUUUUUGAUCCCGAGUGUGGUAGUUUAGGCGUCUACAUCGAGGGUAUACCCUUUCGGGAGUAUUACAAAUGCGACAUAUAGCCUAAACUUCGGGAUUGAGUUUUAUGCCUGUAGUAAGGUCUUAAGAAAUUUUCAUGACUAUUGAGGUCUUACUGCUUAUUCAUACCUGUUGAGUUCUUACAGGUUUUCCAUUCCCGUUGAGGUCUUACAGUUUUUUCAUUAAUACUCGAUGCAAGUUUUCAUUUGAGACCGAGUCUGCCCACCUGGGGUCUUACAGUCCUGCAUUUGUUAACGAAUGGAGAUUGGUGACAGUCAUCGAGUUUGCUUAGGCUCAGGUGCCGUCACUCAUGAGCUCGGAGUUGCCUCCUUCUGAGCUUAUAUUUUUUGGAGAUUUCGACCCUGGGGUCAUGUGGGUGCCAAAUUGUUGAUGCUACUCUCCAAAUAUUUUGGGGCGUACUCGAUGGAGGGAUCCCUGUUGUGAACCUGCUAGAUUUUCUUUGGAGUACGAGAUGCUUUUGGCGAAAGACAUUCUUUGAUUGCUUGGCGUAAAUACAUUCUUAUGCGGACACGGUUCGUUCGACCGUUUGCCCCGGUACAUCAUUUCCUAUUGGAACAUCGUUUGUCAUUUCCUGGUGCAGGGUUGAUUGUGAAGAAAAUCCCGUAGGCUUGUUGAGUCCUUCAUAGGUAGCGCGUGGCUUGUCGAAGGAAAAGAGUGCAACGGACGCUUUGAAACCUCAGAGCCCUCGAGCCGGAGCACCGCCCCAGCUGCCUUGGUCACCGGCCUGUGAAAGAGUUACCGUGAAGUAAAAGAUAGAAAAAAGGAGAGGUGAUUAUACCUUAGUGGCGAUGGCGCUUUCGGGUUCCGGCGUUCAUUUAGCAGAUGCAAUAUGGUCCUUUAUUCAAAUACGGUCGAGGGCGAGCAUCAAAAAAUCAUGUGGAUGACGUGUUGGGGCUCGCGUGCUUUGGUCUUUUUGGUUUUUUCUCUUACUUGGGACUGGUUUUUGGCUCAGUUGAUGUGAAAUUCUUGAAGGUGCGCAUUAUCGAGUAGUCCGGCCACUUCCUCUCGGAGUUGCCUGCAAUCCUCAGUUUUGUGCCCGCUAGAGUUGUGAAACUCGCAUAUCAAGUUGUAGUUCCUUUGGGAAGGAUCCGAGUGUAUAGGCUUGGGCCAUCUGGCGUCCCUGAUUUUGCUGAUGGCCAACAUGAUAUCCGAUACAUCGACGUUGAAUGUGUAUUCUAAUAGGCGAGGUGCCCCCAUUGGCCCCGUGUCUCCGUCGAAGCCACCUCUGUUGAGGGGUCCCCGAGGGUUCUAUCCUCUUUUCACCAAUCGAUCGUUGCGAGUUGGAUUGUAUCUCGGAGCAUUCCUCCAAUCAUCGGGGUACGGUUGGUACCUCUCUUUAUUCGAUUUUGACUCCUUCGCCGUACCUCUCUUUACGGCGGGAUAUUUGAUCAGAUUCUCUUUCAGCUGCCUUGAGGCCAUUAAGCUCCGUUCAAUCAAGCCUUAAGUGAAGGCCUGCACUGCCUAGUGGUCGGAUACCAGGGGUAUUUACAUUCUUUCCAUUUCGAAAUGAGACACGAAUUCCCACAGUAUUUCGUUCUCCCUCUACUUAAUGUUCAAUACAUUGGACUUCCUUAUUGCUACCUUGAUGGUACCGACGUGCGCCUUUAUUAAGGAAUCUUCUAGCGUGGCAAAUGAAUUGUCGCACCCUUUUUUUCUAGAGCGAAAUCNNNNNNNNNNNNNNNNNNNNNNNNNNNNNNNNNNNNNNNNNNNNNNNNNNNNNNNNNNNNNNNNNNNNNNNNNNNNNNNNNNNNNNNNNNNNNNNNNNNNNNNNNNNNACCAAAAAAGUUUGAUUUUGAAUAACUAGAGAUUAGGGUAAGGGCUUGAAAUUAUUCCAAGGGGAAGGUAUUAGGAACCCCUCAGAAUCCACUAGUGUGGUUCCCGGCCAGACAAUUAUUGUGAAUUUGGGGUGCAAUUAACAUGCAGACAAAUAAGGCUCAAAUAAGAGGGGAUAAUGGUUUGCAAAUAAACAAAGUUUGGAAGAGUAAAGAAAGCUGAUUUUUUAAAGAAGGAGUUGAAAUGAUAAAAGAAAUAAGGGAAAGGGGGUCCUAGGUUUACUAACAAUAUGGAUCACCCCACACAAUGCCCGGUAAUCACUCCUCUAUGAAGGGCUACACGUGACAUUAUCGCGUGAUCAUCAUAUCCAUAUCUACCCUUCCCACCCUGUUAAGGUAUUCAAAGAGCAGAUUGGUCUCGUUUACUUAUUGCAUGCUAUUAUCAGUCCCAAUCCUAUUAGUCCCGGAGGCAUUUAGGACUACUAAUCCUAAAAGGGAGGGACAUUAGGCUUAUUUGUAGUUUCAAAGGAAAAAACUCUAAGGCGACAUACAAAACACGUAUUGAAAAUUGGGGAAAGCAUAUAACAAGCAGAGGCUCAGAUAUACCUCCUUGAUCAAAGAAACACGUAAUUAGCAUGACUUACACAUACUGUUUAGGUCUGAUUUAAAAGGUAUUAAAGACGAGUGAGAGGAAAUUGUUGAAACAGUUUCAGCUUAUCACAUAACUCAAAUAAGAUGUCUGAAUUAGGCCUGUCUGCUAGUUGUAUUUAUUAACAGAAGCAGAUUCAGUUUUUAUUACCCUAAGGCUUGCCUAAGUGUUUGAACAGGGGUCCUAUAGGCAUGGUAUCUACUGGAUUGAGAAAGUAAUGAAACAGUAAGGAUCGAAAUGAACUGUUUGAAAACAUACUCGUUAAACUUGCUAAGUGAUAGAAUCAGAUUAUUAAAAGAGAGGUAGGAUUUAAACGAAUUGAUUAAAAGUCAUAUGGGUGAUAGUAGCCAUUAUUACCGGUUAUGUCUAACACAGAGUGAAGUGAAUCAAAUUUUAUUAGAAAAUCCUAUAGGCAUGCUUUCUAUACGUUGCUGAUUUUAAAACUUUAUAGACGUGGUAUCUAAAUGCGGACCUUGUUUUAAACCUUAUGCAUAAUUGAACGUUUCUAUAGGCAUAAUUUCUAUAUGAAGUUAAAUAUGCAGAAUCCUAUAGACAUGAUUUCUAUAUGAAGUUAAAUUUGCUAAAUCCUAUAGACAUGAUUUCUAGAUGUAAUUGAAUAUACCAAAUCCUAUAGACAUGGUUUCUAUAUGAGGUUGAGUAUGUAGGAAUAUAGUAGUCCUAUAGUCAUGAUUUCUAAGUGAAGUUUGAAUAUGCAGAAUCCUAUAGACAUGAUUUCUAGAUGUAAUUGAAUAUGCAGAAUCCUAUAGACAUGAUUUCUAUAUGAUGUUGAGUAUGGAGUAAUAUAGUAGUCCUAUAGUCAUGAUUUCUACCCUUUGCAUACGUAGUUACCCACCCUUUUUCACUAACCAGCCCCAAAUGUUUGUUACAAAUUAUUACAAACAAGAAUAAAUAAAAUUACAUCCAAAUAUAAAUAAAUGUACAGCCAGAGGAAGCCUGAUUCUGACUUCCUCUCUGAGUUACAAGAUAAACCCAACUCAAAGACCAUUGAUCCAAAGCCUUUCUCCAAUUUGAGUGUGUCAGAGUUCCCUAAGAGCCUCAAUGGGACUUCGGGCAGUGCAUACACCUAAAUUGUAUUAUAAAAAUAGGGAUAAGUGCAGUGUGUAAGGGCCAGCCCCCAAGUGUCCAAGUUCAGAGGGAGCUCAAAGGGUCCCAAGGUAAGGCUCACAAAAGGGGGGCAGAACUUAAAAUCUAAGAGAGUGCAAGUGAAGAGCAGAGAUCUGGGGAAUAAAGGAAAGGAAAACAGCUACAAACAGGUACACAAAAGGGGUUCAGGGGAAUAAGGAAGUUGCAAAGUGUCCUUGUACUUAGACAUUUAGCUAAGUCUGGGCAUGCACAACAAUAGAGAGUGAUGUUAUACUUAUAAAUCAACAAGAAUACACAACAUACGAUAGUGACNNNNNNNNNNNNNNNNNNNNNNAGGAUACUAUAGCAUGCUAAAGUAAAUUCUGAACUAAACACAAGCAAUAGGCCGACAUGCAAGUGAAGGUAUUAAAUAAACACAUUGUUGUGGUUGCUGAAAACCUUAACCAGGACAUACCAGUUUCAAAGAAGCAAAACACAGCAGUAGCAGCACUUGAAAGAAAACAUCCCACAGUACAAGUAACAAGGAGAGUGCUUUUUGAAUGUGAGUGUGAGUUCAGAAAAAUAAGAAUGUUCGUGUGUGUUUGUGUCAAUGAAAGAGCAUAGUAUUUAUAGUUUGAAAACAGGCAGAGAAUAAGGCAAGAAAAUAACCAUGUACCAAUUAAAAUCUAUCAGUAGAAGAACUUCCUUUAGUUAAGGAGUUCGAACUUAAAUGGUAAUGAAUAGAAAUUAUUUAAGGAAAGAGAUCAAAUAAGCAUCUUGUGCAAAGUAGACAAUUAAGGGUAAAUACAUAUGAGUUUAAUUAAGGGAAGGAUCUUUGAAAUACACGGUUAAACAAAUAAGGUAAGAAUCAAUUAGUACAUAGUAAAUCAAGGAGUCAGAGAUUCGAAAUUACUGGUUCAUGAAUAAACCAAGUCAGAAAGGCUAAGGAAAAUUUUCAAAUCAAACCAAGAAACAGGGAAAUUAGUAAAACAAGGAAAGCAUCAAUCAGACUUACAUAAGGAGGUCUAAAAUCAGUCAAAAAUUUAGAGUCAUUUUAGAGGGGAAGCUCAGCAUAUAUAAAGGGCACACGAGUAUUAGGCAUGAGAGGCUGAAUUUAGGACAAAGAAAAGUGUCAUACAAUUGCAAAAUCAGUAAGUAGUGGAUUAUAGGAACAUAGUAGCCACAUAGGUCAGUUUCAGUAACUUAACAAUGGAGAAGGGAGAGAGUAUCAAAUAGCAUGCAAAAGGUCCAGUAGAAAGACCUUAGAAUAGUUUAGCAGGGAUUCAGAAUCAUAUAAAGAAACAAAAGAUUUUGAAAUUCAGUCGAGCAACAGAUGAAACAACUUAAGAAACCCAAAUAGGUCCAAAUAAAUUAGGGUUUCGAAACCAAACAAGUUCAGAGAUGAAGGACAUGCAAAUCACAUAGAAUAGCCUCAAAACUCGAGUGAACCCCUCAAAUUUAGGGUUUUCACCAUCAAUCGAGUAUAGAGAUGAAAGACAAAAGAAUCAGGCAAAAAUAUCAACAAAGAAAAUAAAAUAAGAAACCUUAAGAAAGGGCCUGGACUUUUAACAUAAUGAAACACAGUAGAAGAACAUCAUAAGAAACACAACAGAAGAAUCAACAUAAGAAACACAGUAGAAGAACAUCAUAAGAAACACAGUAGAAUAAUCAACAUAAGAAACACAGUAGAAGAACGACAUGUUUAAAAAAUCAGAAAAUCUUCGAAACAACUUAACAAAACCAUAAAUCGGAAAAGAUAAAGGUUUUGAAAGAAACUUUAAGAAAACUUUCAAAAAGUUUGAAGAGAACACAUAUCGACAAUGGAUCUGAAAGAAUCAGAAGAACCUCGAUGGUUAGGGUUUCAUAAGAAACCCAAAAGGGUGAGAAAGGCUUGGAAAUCAUCGAUCUAAGCAGGAGAGGUCGAGAUCAGGCUUGAAUAGCCAUAGCCAGCCGGAGCAAGGUCGAGGAUUGCCGGAGACAAACAUAGCACUGAAAACAUUCGAGGUCUAGACCAAAUUUCAAGGUCUGGCCUUGAGGCCAUGAUAAUCGAGUAUGCAGGAGUCGUAGGUGGUAGAUAUGGGCCAUCAAUGGCUUUGGAAGCCCUGGAUGUGGUCGAUUUUAGGUGGUGAUUGAAUGUGUAGGCUAGGGUUUCAAGGGAGGCUUCAGACAGGAAAUGAUUAGGGUUAAGGGGUAAUGGGGAAUUAAAAAAGGAAAGGGAAAUGGGGACCGUUGAUCUGGGAGAUCAACGAUUGAGAUUAGAGAGGGUAGGUGGGAAACGGGUCUGGGUCAGUUUGAAUGGGGUUUGGGUCAGGGUAAUUAGGUUUGAGAUUGGGUUUAAUUGAGGGUUGAUUUAGGGCCAUAAUUGAAAUAAACGGGGAUAGCAUUUAAAUGCCCAUUUUUCCUUUGUUUGAUUUUAUAAAAAUGGUAAAAUAAUUUUUGAAAAUAAAUUAAAGGCACUAAGAUUGUUAAUAAUACAUAACUUUAAAAUAAAAAAUACUGGAGCCAAUUUUAUAAGUAUAAUUACAAUUAAAUCUUAGGAGAGGCUAAUAUUGCAAUUAUAUGCAACUUAGCCUAAAAAUGCUAAAAAAAAUUGCAAAUAUAUGCAAAAAUUAUGAUAGCUAUAUUUUAGUAUAAAUAUGAGAAUCCUCUAAAUGAAUCACCAAAAAUGAUAAUUUUGGGGAUAAUUAUUGGUUUUUUUCUAGAUGAAAUAGGGCAAUAAAUUGAUUUAAAACCCCUUUAAAAAUUGGAAAAAAUAAUGAAACCUUGGGACAUACUUAUAUAUGCAUCUACAUGCUAUUUUGAAAGUAUUUUGUAUAUUAAAAAUAUACAGGGAAAAAUUGGGUAUCAACAGCUGCCCCUCUUUACUCGGGAAGGAUGAAAGAGUUGUCGGGUAAAGAUAUGAUGACCAAUUUUGACCGAACGAAAUGGUUCGAGGAGACUUAGGCCUUACUCUGGCUUCUGUGCUGCCUACAUAUCCCUGGUUUUAUAGGAAUCAGGCCGUAUGUAGUUCGGGAUCCGUCGGCGGAAUAUGACGAUGGAGACUUUUCAAGAACGGACGAAAUAGUCAGGUUGGGAUGAAUGGUUGAAGUCUGAAAGGGCUGCGGGAACUGGAGUGGGGUCUCUCCUACCGAGAUAGCCGUUGCUCGCCAGUUUACUUAUAAAUAAGCAACGCAAAUAUAUAUCGUGCGUUAAUUUAAACAUGAUGAAAAUUCCCGUCUGACCAUGAAUGUUUGUCUUUGGACGAUUAAGAUGACGUCCUUAGACCAUGAUGUCCUGGGCCAUGAAGAAUAUAAUAAAGGAUUCGCAGGCCAUGAAAUGAUGCUCUCAGGCUAUGAGAAUGAUGCCUCUAAACUAUAAUACCUUUGAAUAAUGAUAUGCAAAUGAUUAAAAGGGAUCCUCAGGCCAUGAUAUGGCGCUCUCGGGCUAUGAAAAUAGUGCCUCCGAACAAUGACGCCUUUGGACAAUUUGGCGAUCUUUCAGCCCAUGAGAUGCAGUAUUUGGCGAUCUUUCAGCCCAUACAAUGCAGUAAGUGGUAAUCUUUCAGCCAACGCAAAUGUAAAUAAGGUGGCGACCUUUCAGCCAUGCCAAUGUAAAUAAGGUGGCGAUCUUUCAGCCAAUGCAAAAAUAAAGUGGAGAUCUUUUAGCCAUGCAAAUGUAAACAAGGUGGCGAUCUUUUAGCCAUGAAAAUGUAAAGGUGGCGAUCUUUCAGCCGACGGAAAUGUAAAUAAGGUGGCAAUCUUUUAGCCAAUACAAAUUGAAGCAUAGCUUAACCUAAGAAGGCAGAAUGGUAGCCUUAUGCAAAGCAAGAAAUGCAAAUGGAGGUAGAGCUUAACCUCGGAAGGCAAAAUGGUAGCCUUAUGCAAUGAAAGAAAUGCAUAUGGGGACAGAGCUUAGUCUCGGAAGGUACAAUGGUAGCUUUAUGCAAUGCAAAAAAUGCAUAUAGAGGUAGGUUUUAACCUCGGAAGGAAGAAUGAUACCCUUAUGCAAUGUAGAAAUGCAGAUGGAGACAGAGCUUAGUCUCGGAAGGCAGAAUGAUAGCCUUAUGCAAGAAGUAAAAGGGAAAAUGAUAAUAGAAUUUUCUUAGCGUAUAGCGGAUUGCGAUAUUGCGACUACUGGGGAUACUAUGUCUACUGGGGACACUGCGUGCGGAUAGCAGCUGUGAAUAAGUGCAAUGGUUCUGAGAGUUGUAUUUCUGAGCAAUGUGAGUCUUGUGAGUAUAUAGUAUAUUUGAUGAUUUUGCAACUCAAGUGCCUGCAUCCAAAGAAAAAUUGUGAGUUUUGUAAAAAAGGGGGAGGUUAUUUCGUAUCCUCACUGGCUUUGCUUGACCUGCUCGGAUGGGAUCUGGUGAUACUGUACGUAUCAUUGGGGGUAACAUUGCUAAACAAGGCAAUUUUGGCAAUAAACAUGCAUGAUUUAGUAAAGAAAAUGUAACAAUAAAUACAUAAUUAAGAAUAGUUUUCUUUAGAUGACCCAACCACUGUGACAUGGUUUAAGACAUUGCAACCCUUCUUGUUACGGAAUUUUGAGGGUCCUCCACAAAAUUCUGCCCCAGUUUACUGGGUUGCUGUUUCUGACUACUGCUAGCGAUAAUUGGUUGAAAUCAUUUUCGGAAUUUUGAGGGUCCUCCUCAAAAUUCUGCCUCAGUUUCCAAUCGCAAAGGGGAAAUGAAAAUUUUAUUGAAUUGUGAACGAACCCAUAGAGCUGCCUACGUAUCCCCUCUUAGACGGGAAUCAGGUCAGGCGUAGCUCAAACUAUAUCAUUUGAGGAAAGCAUAAAGAUUAUACAUAGUAACGCUUGCUUGCAUCUGAAUUGAUCGGCUUCAGCCAGACUUCUCAGUCCAUUUCUGUGAGUAUGAGGGCUCCUCCUGUCAGAACCCGGUGAACCAUGUAUGGACCCUGCCAGUUGGGAUAGAAUUUCCCCUUGGCUUCAUCUUGAUGCAGAAAUUUCUUUAACACAAGCUACCCUAGUGUGAAUUGUCUCGGAUUGACUCUUUUGUUGAAGGCUCUGGAUAUUCUGUUCUGAUAAAGUUGACCAUGGCAAACUGCAUUCAUUCUCUUUCUAUUGAUAAGAGCCAGCUACUCGUAACGACUCUUCACCCACUAUGCAUCGUCAAGCUCAGCUUCCUAUAUGAUCCUUAGGGAGGGAAUUUCUACCUUAGUGGGAAUGCCGGCCUCUAUACCGUAAACUAGCAUAUAAGGGGUUGCCCCGGUUGAUGUGCAGACUGUGGUGCAAUAUCCUAGUAAAGCAAACGAUAACUUCUCGUGCCACGGUUUAUGCUUCUCUAUCAUGUUCCUCAAUAUCAUCUUGAUAUUCUUAUUGGCGGCUUCUACUGCUCCGUUCAUCUGAGGUCUGUAGGCUGUAGAAUUCUUGAGUCUAAUCUUGAAAGUUUCACAAAUGGAUUUCAUCAAGUCACUGUUGAGGUUGGAGCCAUUAUCGGUAAUGAUUGACUUUGGAAUCCCGAAUCGAUAAACGAUGCAGUUGCGGACAAAGUCUGCCACAACCUUCUUGGUUACUGCUUUGUAAGAUGCUGCAUCAAUCCAUUUGGUGAAAUAGUCAAUUGCUACCAAGAUAAACAUGUGCUCGUUGGAAGCAACAGGCUCAAUUGGUCCAAUAACAUCCAUUCCCCAAGCGGCGAACGGCCAUGGUGAGCUUGUUGCAUUAAGCUCGCUUGGAGGUACCUUUAUCAUGUCUGCAUGCAUUUGAUAGCGGUGGCAUUUCUGAACAUACUAGAUGCAGUCCAUCUCUAUAGUCAUCCAAAAGUAACCAGCUCGGAGUAUCUUCUUUGCUAAGACAAAGCCAUUCAUAUGCGGACCGCAGGUCCCAACGUGAAUUUCCUCUAGUAGCGUGGAUGCUUCCUUUGCGUUGACACAUCUCAGCAAUCCUAAGUCAGGAGUCCUCCUAUAUAGGAUUCCUCUGUUGUGAAAGAAAUUGUUGGACAACCUCCGAAGUGCGCGUUUCUGAGUAGGAUUUGCAAGUUCUGGGUAUUCUCCUUUCGUCAAAUAUUCCUUGAUAUCAUGAAACCAAGGUUUUCCGUCUGCUUUUUCCUCAGCAUGAGCACAAUAAGCUGGUUGAUCAUGGAUCUUUACCGAAAUGGGAUCAAUAAAGUUCUUGUCUGGAUGUUGUAUCAUAGAUGAUAUGGUAGCCAAUGCAUCGACGAACUCAUUCUGGACUCUAGGAACAUGUUGGAAUUCUCUCUUUAUGAACCUUUUCCUCAAUUCCUAUACAUAAUGUAGAUACGGGAGUAUCUUGGAGUUCUUGGUUGCCCAUUCUUCUCGGGCCUGAUGUAUAAGUAGGUUCGAAUCUCCGAUCACUAGCAACUCUUGAAUGUUCAUCUCAAUAGCCAUUUUGAGCCCUAAGAUGCAGGCUUCGUACUCGUCCAUAUUGUUGGUGCAUGGGAACCUGAGUUUGGUAGACACCGGAUAAUGCUGACCAUUUUCUGAUACCAGGAUAUGCCAACUCCUUUGAAAUUUGCUACUCCAUCAGAAAAUAAUCUCCAACCAUCAUAGGAUUCUGCAAUGUCUUCUCCUAUGAAUGACACCUCUUCGUCAGGAAAAUAUAUUUUCAGGGGUUCAUAUUCUCCAUCUACGGGAUUUUCAGCAAGGUGAUCUGCCAAUGCCUGACCCUUAAUUGCUUUCUGAAUCACGUAGACAAUGUCGAACUCACUCAACAGGAUUUGCCACUUGGCUAGCUUGCCAGUGGGCAUGGGCUUCUGGAAGAUGUACUUUAAAGGAUCCAUCCUUGAUAUGAGAUAUGUAGUAUAGGCAUGGAAGUAGUGCCUCAACUUCUGAGCUACACAAGUCAAAGCACAACAGGUGCACUCUAACAGAUAAUACCGGACCUCAUACGGGGUGAACUUCUUACUGAGGUAAUGAUGGUCUGAUCCUUCCUCCCCGUUUCAUCAUGCUGCCCCAGAAUGCAACCGAAUGCUCCAUGUAAUACUGCAAGGUAGAGUAAUAAGGGUCUACCUAGCUAAGGCGGAACUAAGACUGGUGGUGUUGAUAGGUAUUACUUGAUUCUAUCGAAAGCUUUUCGGCAAUCGUCAGUCCAUUUGGUAGCGGCAUCCUUUUUCAACAUCUUAAAGAUCGGCUGACAAAUGAUUGUAGAUUGUGCUAUGAACUGGCUGAUAUAGUUAAGUCUUCCUAAGAAACUCAUCGCGUCCUUCUUGUUCUUUGGCGGUGGCAACUCUUGAAUAGCUUUGACCUUUGACAGAUCCAGUUCUAUGCCUCGGCGACUCACAAUAAACCCAAGUAGUUUUCCAGCAGGAACCCCAAAUGCACAUUUUAUGGGAUUCAGUUUCAGAUUGUACCUUCGCAGUCUAUUGAAAAACUUCCUCAAAUCUUCCAUGUGAUCAGUGGCUUUCUUGGACCUGAUAAUAACAUCAUCUACGUACACCUCUAUCUCCUUGUGUAUCAUAUAAUGGAAAAUGGUAGUCAUGGCCCUCAUAUAGGUGGCCCUCGCAUUCUUUAGCCCAAACGACAUCAUUUUGUAACAGUACAUUCCCUACGGCGUAGUGAAAGCCGUUUUCUCAGCAUCUUCUUCAUCCAUCCAGAUCUGAUGAUACCCAGCGAAACAAUCUACGAAUGAUUGCAACUCAUGCUUGGCGUAAUUGUCAAUUAGGAUGUGUAUGUUUGGCAAGGGGAAGUCGUCUUUUGGACUGGCCCGAUUGAGAUCUCGGUAGUAAACACAGACUCUGACCUUCCCAUCCUUCUUUGGUACUGGCACGAUGUUGGCUAACCAGGUUGGAUAUUCUACUACCCUGAGAACCAUAGCUUUGACCUGCUUGGUGACUUCUUCCUUGAUUUUCAGGCUCAUGUCAGGCUUAAACUUUCUGAGCUUUUGCUUUAUCGGUGGACAUGUUGGAUCGGUUAGCAGUUUGUGAGCCACAAUAGAUAUACUUAGACCAGUCAUGUCAUCAUACGACCAAGCGAAUAUGUCUUCACAUUCCCUUAGAAAUUUUGUGUACUCCCUCUUUUUUGAUGGCGAUAAGUGGAUGAUGAUUCGUGUUUCUUUGAGGUUUUCUGCAUCUCCCAAGUUAGCAAUCUCGGUUUCGUCCAAGUUGGACUUAGGUUUGUUUUCAAAGUUCUCAACUUCCUUAGCAAUCUCUUCUGGUAUCUCAUCUUCCUCUGAAUCUAUGUCUAUUUAUUGCGUUGUCUCAUUGCAUGUCACAGUCAUUGGUUGAAUUAAUGAGAGAAAAAAUAGUAAGAAGUGUCGAUUUAUAAGAAAAGUCAAAAUGCUUGGAUAAAUUGCAUAAUAAUUAUUUUGAACAUUGGAGAUCUUAUGGAAGGAAUUGAAAACAUGCGAAAAAUAAAAAAUCUUUUAGUAAUUUAAAACAGUGCUUGCUUUAGCCUUGCUACCUCGAGGCUCGUCGGGCCCUGGUUGUCCUGAUGGUCCAGUUAUUGAGGCGAACCCCUAUGCUUAUAGCUUGUAUGGAAGGGCUUUCCUCCCCUCCUCCUCGAGAAUGACACAACAGUCCAUAUCACUGACUUCUAAGAAGAAGUUCUUCACCGCUGCGAAUGCUUCCUCUUCUUCUGACCCAUAGAUAACAUUGGCCGGUUGGAAAGUCUGCACCAAGUGAGGUAUAGACUGCUCCUAUGGAUAGUAAGGACCGUGCCAUGGUGGCAACCAGCUGUUGAAGUCUUCCCAAGUAUACUCAUAUCCCAGACUGAAAGUAGUGCCAUGCUUCUUGAGUUUUAUAGGCUUAGCAAUUCCUUGGAGAUUCUUGCCAAGACCUUUGCCAUGUUCGUACCCACACCAAUUCAGUAUAUCCUCGAUCUUGUUGUCCUACCAUUUGUCUUUGUCAACAGCAUUCACUCAUUCAAUGCGAUGGUAAGUCUCCCCACCUAGCUUCUUUCUCCCAUCGAUUGACAGAAUGGUUUGGCGACUGUAUAUGGGGUUGCUAUCGUCUCCGUGAAUGAUCACUUCCUGGUGGUUCCAUUCAAUCUUUACUGCCUAAUGCAGUGUUGAUGCUACGGCCCCAUUGGCAUGAAUCCAUGGCCGUCCCAACAACAAAUUGUAAGAUGCCGGCACGUCUAUCACCUGAAAAUCAACAUCGAACCAAGUUGGCCCCAUUUGCAAAUACAAACUAAUCUCCCAGAUGGUGGACCUUCGGAAACCAUCGAAAGCUUUCACGUUGAUGGCUCCAUCCUUUAUCUCGUGUAAUCCCUUGCCCAAUUUCUUGAGUGUUACCAGUGGGCAGAUGUUGAGACUGGAACCCCCAUCAAUCAGGAUCCUAGUGAUAAAUUAGUAUUCGCAUUGCACAGUGAUGUGCAGUGCCUUAUUGUGACCCAACCCUUCAGGCGGUAGCUCAUCCUCUUGAAAAGUAAUUUUGUGACUUUCUAAUACUUGUCCAACCAUGUUAGCCAUUUCUCCACCCGUAAUGUUGCUUGGCACAUAUGCUUCACUUAGCACCCUCAACAGAGCAUUCUUAUGUGCCUCAGAAUUUUGUAGCAAAGCAAGUAUGGAGAUCUGCGCCGGUGUUUUGUUCAACUGGUCGAUGACCGAGUAUUCUUUGCCCUGUAUCUUUCUCCAAAGAACAUCCGGACCCAUCUGAAUGAUGGGCGGCCGAUUAGAGGCCUGCUUGCUUGACUUAGCUAGGUGUUCCGGGGUAUAAACCCUACCAGUCCUCGUCAUACCUUGUGCAGCAAUAGUUUCCUCGAACCUAACCUUGCCUUUCCUUAUUUCCUCAACUGUAUUGUCUCAUGGUAAAUCCUUGGUAUGGAAUGGUGUCAUGGUGUACAUCACCACUGGGAUCGGCGUGGACAUCUUCACUUCGAACGGAGCAUGUGCUUUGGGAGGUAAAACUGCAACUUCAAAUGGUGGAGGUGCAUUUGCUGGAGACGCGAACUCAACCUCAAUUGGUGAUGGUGUCUUUGUAGAUUACGUUGUUUCAACUCAAGCGGCAUGGACAUGUUUACCUCAGUGUCCCCAGAUGGUUGAAUCUGGACUAUGAUUGGAUUAAGAGUAACUAUUGGUUUCUUUGGAUCAUCACCUUCUGUGAUCAACCCAAUCGACCCCUCGGGAUCCCAGUCAUCCUCUAUUUUGAUCAUGUGAACGCCUCCACCCUUAUGGUCUGGUAGAGGGUUAUUGAGGACAUUUGAAGCAGGUUCCUUUGCCACAAUAAUUUUGUUGUCAAUCAGAGCCUGGAUCUUGUCUUUCAGACAACGACAUUCGUCGAUGAUGUAUCCCUUCAUGCCGGAAUGGUAUGCAUAGGAUUUGUUUGGAUUAACCCACUGAGAAGGGUUUUUAGGGGUUAUAGUAGGGAUAGGGGUGACAUAACCAGCGGCUUUGAGUCUCUCGUACAACUGGUCAAUGGGUUUGGCAAUGGCUGUAUAUUGUUUAGGAAGUCUGCGGUCAAAAUUUGGUCGAGGUCUAGGGAAGUUUUGGCAUGUAGGAGGUGAUUGAUGGUGGGAUGGUUGAGUUGUAGGCUUGGUAAACAUGUGCGGGUUGGGAAUAUCUGGGUGAAGUAGGUUGAUAUAUAGGUGGUGGAGAUGAUUGAUAAGUGGGUGGUAGAGUUUGGUAAGAUGGUGAGGGUGCUUGGUAGUUUGGAGUAGGCUGAUAUGUGAGUGGAGGCAUUAGAUAGGUUUGGUAUUUGAUGGGAGAUUUGUUUAUCUAUGCCACUAUUACGGCUCCUACGUCCCUUUUCUUGACACACCACCGGACCGUAAGGUCGUAUUUGUAGCUUGCAAGGCCUCGAGGUUCGUAACCAUACCACUUUUGAUGCAUUCUUCAAUCCUUUCACCCAGCUUAAUAGUGUGGAAAAUUUGUGGCUCUAAAUUAUCAUCAGCCUUUCAUAAUACUACGGGUCCUGAGCCUGGACAAAGAAUUUGUUCAUCUGUUCCUCUUCUAAGGCAGGUCUAACCUUAGCAGCUUCGGACCUCCAGCGAGUAGCAUACUCGCGAAAAGUUUCUGUAGGUUUCUUCUUUAGAUUCUAAAUGUAGAACACAUCCGGCGCAUUCUCUGUGUUGAACCUGAACCUAUCCAUAAAAUCGGAUGCCAUGCUUACCCAACUUGACGACUUCUUCGGAUCUUGGCUAAUGUGCCAUGAUAGAGCAUCUCCUUUCAGACUCCUCAUGAAAAGCUUUAUGUGGAUUCUCUCGUCUUUCCCUACUCCAACCAGUUUGUCACAGUAUGUUCUCAAAUGUACUCUUGGAUACCUUGUACCAUCAAAUAUCUCUAACUUAGGAGGUUUAUACCCCUCGGGCAGUUCGACAUCGGGAUGUAUGCAAAGGUCCUCAUAGUUCAGCCCCUCAAUUCCCUUGCUUCCUUCAACACCUUGAAUCCGGCUAGUCAAUUUCUUAAGUUCCUCAGCCAGGUUCCUGAUGAGCAAGUCUUUAUCAUCAGACUUAGGUGUGCUUGAUAUGGGUUGGGUGGAGUGUGGCAUGGUCUCCACGUAGAUGGUGGUGUUAUGAUGGGUGUGGAAGUGGUCAUUUGUGGAAUUUUGGGGUUCUGGGAUAAGUAGUGGAGUAUUGUUAGAAGUAUGGCAGGUGUUGCAGUGGUUGUGAGGAGCAGGAUGGUUUUGUGGCUUUGGGAUAUUUUGUGGAGGUGUGGGGUUCUAAGCAUUUGGGAAAUUGACAUCUGGAGUGGUGAGGGAAAACGACAUAUUUGCCAGAUUCUGAACCUGAUCAAGUUCUUCUUGGAAUUUUAGCAGCUUUUGUUCGAGUUGGGAUGCAUUUUCUUUGGAAACCUGAGUACCAUGACCAUGAGCAACCUCUACCCGUUCAGUUGAGUUUUCCUUUCUGGAGUUGUUCACAUUUCCAUCUUUCCUUUGUUCUUAUGUUUGACUAGAUUAAGAUGAGGAGUGGGUGGAGGGCCCCUGGAUCUCGUGGAAUAAGAUGUUGUUGCCAGAGUGCACAAACUAACCUUUGGGGAGGGGAAUAAAUAAACAAAAAGUAAAAACAAAAAGUUAACAAGUUAGUGAGGAUUAUAAGAAAAUGUCGCGAUAUUUAAACACAUAGUGCAAGAAUGUAAAUCGUGUCCUAAUUUGGGAACCUCUUUGUGCCCGAGGUAGGCCUAGCGACAAGUUGAUUUGGAGAACUUAGAAUUCUAAAUGCCUCAUUUUAUUGAUAAAAAGUAGACGAAUCCCAAAUCGACACUAAAUAACAUGAAAUAAAUUAUCACUAGUGGUCAUCGGUCUUAUUACAUUCAUAAAUCGAAAAAGUAAAUUCCUAUCUACUUGGUCCCAGAAGGACCUUCCCCAGACUCAGCAUCUUUGGCUCCGUCGAAUAACUUUCCCAACUAGUGAAGUCCUAGCAAUAGGUAGGCUCUGGCUAGAUAUCCGCCCUCAUUUCCCUCGGCAUUCUGGCAAUCCUCGAUUCUUUUGAGAAAUUUCCUUUCCAGCUCUACUACGCCCCGCUCCAAAUAUCCUAGUUGCUUAUUGGCACUAACAGCCAUAUCUUUCCACUCUUUAAUCAGCCUUUGUUUGGCUUCUUGUAACUCACGGUGCUCGCUUUCACAUUCCCGGAUUCUCUUACGCAGUUGAUUGUAUUUGACAUGUGCCUCGGCCCUUUCAUAUAUAAUCCUGUGGCCCCUAGAAAAUCCUGGCUGACCCAGACCAUCGUGAUUAUCUUCCAACCAGCCUGAAUAGUAAGGAGCGCAACCGGUGUGGUACCUGUCUGGAUCGAUGAUAUCUCUCCUCAUGACGAUCUUGCAGUGCCAUAUAUGCUGAGCUUGGCACUUGUAAGGACUGUCAUUAUCCUAGAAGUCAGCCCGGAAGUGACUCAUCUUAUCAACCCUUGGUAUAACCUGCUUCCUACUAGCUUGUCUCAUAACUCGGAGAGGGACAUAAGGGUAGGUUCCUCUUAGACCGAUUAGUAUUAGAAAUGGUGCAUCCCUGGAUCGGGCGAUGAAUUCCUCGGUAGGGAACCAUUCGAACAUCCAUUUUAUUUUAUCCCCAGUUAGAUUAUCAAAUAACUCUACCCAUCCUCUGGCAUAUUCUGUCUGGUCGAACAUGUUGGGCAUGUAAUUCAUUCACUUCGAAUGAUGGAAAGCGAUAUGAUCAUCCCAGUCUCUUCGCUGAAUCUCAUGUCGAUACUCACCCCUUUUGAGAUGCUCCAUAAGCCAGAGCUGAAGUAGCAAAUUGCAGCCUUCGAAGUGUUUGGCUCCUCGUUGACACUUCUCCAAGGCCCGGUAUAUCUCUGCAAUGAUCAUGGGCAUAAUGCUGAAAGGUUGCCCACCAAUGCCCUCCAUCAGAGUUUUAGUUACCAUAGCCAGCCGGGUAUGGACCCUCGCUUACUUCAUUGAAAACACUAUCAACCCCAGGAAACAAAACAUAAAUACAAAGACCCUUCGGUGAAUAUGCCCUAAUGAUGUGAUGGCAAAUUCGUCAUGAUAGGUACAGUAGGACUUACUGUGACCGUACCUUUCAUACAAAUAAUCAAAAGGGAUAUAGGACUCUUUCAGGCAUGUCAGUUCUGGAUUCUUCUUCAGACCCAUCAUUUUGAGGAAGCCCCGACCUUUGUGGUUCUCAUGCAUUAACAAACCCGGAGUUUCCCAUGGUAUGCCAUCCAAUCCUCCUAUUUUUUCUAGCAAGGGUGUCAUUUCAAUGUCCCCGAAGCAGAUCACAGACCUAUCACAAUCCCAGAAUAGAGUAGCAGCUUCUAUUAUCUUGUUGUUGGGUUGGAUUUCUAGGAGGGAAGGUAGGUUUCCCAGAUAUUUCCGGACAAGAGUCUGAUCACUGGAGUGAAGAUCCUCCCACCAGCUUAGCAAUUUUAGAUGGAUGUUGGUGACCAUGCCGAAUCUGGGGACUUCAUGCCUCAUAUUUCUCAAGACAAAAGAGUUAGGCCCUUACCCCCACUGGACUCGACUAUUUAAAUAUCAAUAAUUGGCAUAAAAGCAUUUAGUUCUCCAAAUAAAUGCACAGAACGUGAUAGUGUCCGUUUGCAUUUUAGGGAAACCCAGUGGACUUUGGACAAGGCUAUCUUAAAGAGUUAUUAUGCGAACAACAUAACUGACUCGGCUAGGUUUGACCAUGAUGCAUGCACAGUUAAACAGGGUAAGGUUUCUAUGGGGUUUUCGACUGGUACCAUUGAGCAGACAAAUCAAGGGGGAAAGCCACGGAACCAUCGACUACAAUGUUGAUCGACUGGUUUUACCGUAAAUACACCUUUUUCGGAUUUAGGAGGUGAUAAUAUCGGAAGAGCGCAACCUAUCAUUAUAAGCGUUCCUAUGGUAUUUUGUUUGGCACGAGUGGAAUAUGAUGUUGAGCAUGAUUAUGCAACAGUUAAAGUAGGUUGUCACGUAUUUGCACGUUAAGAAAGCAAUAAAUACAACAGUUCUUCAUAAUUUAAAGCAGUAAUAAGGGAAAGCAGUAAAGGAAAGAAACAAAAAGACAAGUCAGUUUUGUAGUUGAAGAGGGAAUUAAAUACUUACAGGCAUUAAACAAAUAAAGACAUAUAAAGAAGUGUAAAGUCACAAUAAUAGUCUGAAAUGGUAAAAGUCUACAAUAUCCCCAGCGGAGUCGCCACACUGUCACGCAACUUUUUCUAGAGCGAAAUAGGGUUUAUAACAUUUGGAGGGACAACUNNNNNNNNNNNNNNNNNNNNNNNNNNNNNNNNNNNNNNNNNNNNNNNNNNNNNNNNNNNNNNNNNNNNNNNNNNNNNNNNNNNNNNNNNNNNNNNNNNNNNNNNNNNNNNNNNNNNNNNNNNNNNNNNNNNNNNNNNNNNNNNNNNNNNNNNNNNNNNNNNNNNNNNNNNNNNNNNNNNNNNNNNNNNNNNNNNNNNNNNNNNNNNNNNNNNNNNNNNNNNNNNNNNNNNNNNNNNNNNNNNNNNNNNNNNNNNNNNNNNNNNNNNNNNNNNNNNNNNNNNNNNNNNNNNNNNNNNNNNNNNNNNNNNNNNNNNNNNNNNNNNNNNNNNNNNNNNNNNNNNNNNNNNNNNNNNNNNNNNNNNNNNNNNNNNNNNNNNNNNNNNNNNNNNNNNNNNNNNNNNNNNNNNNNNNNNNNNNNNNNNNNNNNNNNNNNNNNNNNNNNNNNNNNNNNNNNNNNNNNNNNNNNNNNNNNNNNNNNNNNNNNNNNNNNNNNNNNNNNNNNNNNNNNNNNNNNNNNNNNNNNNNNNNNNNNNNNNNNNNNNNNNNNNNNNNNNNNNNNNNNNNNNNNNNNNNNNNNNNNNNNNNNNNNNNNNNNNNNNNNNNNNNNNNNNNNNNNNNNNNNNNNNNNNNNNNNNNNNNNNNNNNNNNNNNNNNNNNNNNNNNNNNNNNNNNNNNNNNNNNNNNNNNNNNNNNNNNNNNNNNNNNNNNNNNNNNNNNNNNNNNNNNNNNNNNNNNNNNNNNNNNNNNNNNNNNNNNNNNNNNNNNNNNNNNNNNNNNNNNNNNNNNNNNNNNNNNNNNNNNNNNNNNNNNNNNNNNNNNNNNNNNNNNNNNNNNNNNNNNNNNNNNNNNNNNNNNNNNNNNNNNNNNNNNNNNNNNNNNNNNNNNNNNNNNNNNNNNNNNNNNNNNNNNNNNNNNNNNNNNNNNNNNNNNNNNNNNNNNNNNNNNNNNNNNNNNNNNNNNNNNNNNNNNNNNNNNNNNNNNNNNNNNNNNNNNNNGGAUUGAAAAUAUUCUAAGGGGAAGGUGUUAGGCACCCCUUAGAAUCCACUAGUGUUGUUCCCGGCCAGACAAUUAUUGUGAAUUUGGGGUGCAAUUAACAUGUAGACAAAUAAGGCUCAAAUAAGAGGGGAUAAUGGUUUGCAAAUAAACAAAGUUUGGAAGAGUAAAGAAAGCUAAUUUUUUAAAAGAAGGAGUUGAAAUGAUAAAAGAAAUAAAGAAAUAAGGGAAAGGUGGUCCUAGGUUUAUUAACAAUAUGGAUCACCCUACACAAUGCCCGGUAAUCACUCCUCAAUGCGAGGCUACACUUGACAUUAUCGCGUGGUCAUCAUAUCCAUAUCUACCCUUCCCACCUUGUUAAGGUAUUUAAAGCACGGAUUGGCCUCGUUUACUUGUUGCAUGCUAUUAUCCGUCCCAAUCCUAUCAGUCCCGGAGGCAUUUAGGACUACUAAUCCUAAAAGGGAGGGAUAUUAGGCUUAUUUGUAGUUUCAAAGGAAAAAACUCUAAGGCGACCUACAAAACACGUACUGCAAAUUGGGGAAAGCAUAUAACAAGUAGAGGCUCAGAUAUACCUCCUUGAAAAAAGAAGCAUAUAAUUAGCAUAACUUACACAUACUGUUUAGGUCUGAUUUAAAAGGUAUUAAAGACGAGUGAGAGGAAAUUGUUGAGACAAUUUCAGCUUAUCACAUAACUUAGAUAAGAAGUCUGAAUCAGGCCUGCCUGCUGGUUGUAAUUAUUAACAGAAGCAGAUUCAGUUUUUAUAACCCUAAGGCUUGCCUAAGUGUUUGAACAGGGGUCCUAUAGGCAUGGCAUCUACUGGAUUUAGAAAGAAAUGAAACAGUAAGGCUCGAAAUGAAUUGCUUGAAUGCAUACUCGUUAAACUUGCUAAGUGAUAGAAUCAGAUUAUUAAAAGAGAGGCAGGAUUUAAACGAAUUGAUUAAAAGUCUUGCGGCUGAUAGUAGCCAUUAUUACCGGUUAUGUCUAACAUGGAGUGAAGCGAAUAAUAUUUUAUUAGAAAAUCCUAUAGGCAUGCUUUCUAUACGUUGCUGAUUUUAAAACCUUAUAGAUGUGGUAUCUAAAUGCAGACCUUGUUUUAAACCUUAUGCAGAAUUGAACAUUUCUAUAGGCAUAAUUUCUAUAUGAAGUUAAAUAUGCAGAAUCCUAUAGACAUGAUUUCUAUAUGAAGUUGAAUAUGCAGAAUCCUAUAGGCAUGAUUUCUAGAUGUAAUUGAAUAUGAAGAAUCCUAUAGACAUGCUUUCUAUAUGAGGUUGAGUAUAUAGGAAUAUAGUAGUCUUAUUGUCCUGAUUUCUAAGUGAAGUUUGAAUAUGCAGAAUCCUGUAGACAUGGUUUCUAUAUGAGGUUGAGUAUGUAGGAAUAUAGUAGUCUUAUAGUCCUGAUUUCUAAGUGAAGUUUGAAUAUGCAGAAUCCUGUAGACAUGAUUUCUAGUUGUAAUUGAAUAUGCAGAAUCCUAUAAACAUGGUUUCUAUAAGAGGUUGAAUAUGUAGGAAUAUAGUAGUCCGACAGUCAUGAUUUCUAAGUGACGUUUGAAUAUGUAGAAUCCUAUAGACAUGAUUUCUAGAUGUAAUUGAAUAUGCAGAAUCCUAUAGACAUGAUUUCUAUAUGAGGUUGAGUAUGCAGGAAUAUAGUAGUCCUAUAGUCAUGAUUCCUACCAUAUGCAUACGUAGUUACCCACCUUCUUUCACUAACCAGCCCCAAAUAUUUGUUACAAAUUAUUACAAAUCAGAAUAAAUAAAAUUACAUCCAAAUACAAAUAAAAGUACAACUAGAGGAAGCCUGAUUCUGACUUUCUCUCUGAGUUACAAGAUAAACCCAACUCAAAGACCAUUGAUCCAAAGCCUUUCUCCAAUUUGAUUGUGUCAGAGUUUCCUAAAAGCCUCAAUCGGACUUCGGGCAGUGCAUACACCCAAAUUGUAUUAUCAGAAUAGGGAUAAGUGCAGUAUGGAUGGGCCAGCCCUUAAGUGUCCAAGUUCAGAGGGAGCUCAAAGGGUCCCAAAGCAAGGCUCACAAGAGGGGGUAGAACAUAAAGUCUAAGAGAGUGUGCAAGUGAAGAGCAGAGUUCUGGGGAAUAAAGCAGAGGGAAAUAGCUACAAACAGGUACACAAAAGGGGUUCAAGGGAAUAGGGAAUUUGCAAAGAGCCCAUGUACUUAGAUAUUUAGCUAAUUCUGGGCAUGCACAACAAUAGAGAGUGUUGUUAUGCUUAUAAAUCAACAAGAAAACACAACAUAGGAUAGUGACAUGGAGGUUAUGAUUCCAGGGGAAUCUAGUUUGAGCCAUAGACAAUAAUACUUGGUACUGUCAUGCCUCAAACAAACUAUUAGCAUCAAACACAUUGGAGUAGGGGAUUUGGGAUUCAUAAUAGGAAGGAAACUACAUCAUGCUAAAGUAAAUUCUGAACUAAACACAAGCAAUAGGCCGACAUGCAAGUGAAGGUAUUAAAUAAACACAUUGUUGUGGUUGCUGAAAACCUUAAUCAGGAUAUACCAAUUUCAAAGAAGCAAAACACAACAGUAGUAGCACUUGAAAGAAAACAGGCCACAAUACAAGUAAUAAGAGAGAGUGGUUUUUGAAUGUGAGUGUGAGUUUAGAAAGCUAAGAAUGUUCAUGUGUGUUUGUGCCAAUGAAAGAGCAUGUUAUUAAUAGUUUGAAAACAGGCAGAGAAUGAGGCAAGAAAAUAACCAUGUACUAAUUAAAAUCAAUCAAUAGAAGAACUUCCUUUAAUUAAGGAGUUCGAACUUAAAUGGCAAUGAACAGAAAUCAUUUAAGGAAAGAGAUCAAAUAAGCAUCUUGUGCGAAGUAGACAAUUAGGGGUAAAUACAUAGGAGUUUAAUUAAGGGAAAGAUCUUUGAAAUACACGGUUAAACAAAUAAGGUAAGAAUCAAUCAGUACAUAGUAAAUCAAGGAGUUAGAGAUUCAAAAUUACUGGUUCAUGAAUAAACCAAGUCAGAAAGGCUAAGGAAAGUUUUCAAAUCAAACCAAGAAAUAGGGAAAUUAGUAACACAGGGAAAGCAUCAAUCAGACUUACACAGGGAAGUCUAAAAUCAGUCAAAAAUUGAGAGUCAUUUUAGUGGGGAAGCUCAGCAUAUAUAAAUGGCACACGAGUAUUAGGCAUGCGAGGCUGAAUUUAGGACAAAGAAAAGUGUCAUGCAAUUGCAAAAUCAGUAACUAGUGGGCUUUAGGAACAUGAUAGCCACGUAGGUUAGUUUCAGUAACUCAACAAUGGAGAAGGGAGAGAGUAUCAAAUAGCAUGCAAAGGGUCCAGUAGAAAGACCUUAGAAGAGUUUAGUAUGGAUUCAAAAUCAUAUAAAGAAACAAAAGAUUUUGAAAUUCAGUCGAGCAACAGAUGAAACAACUUCAGAAACCCAAAUAGGUCCAAAGAAAUUAGGGUUUCGAAACCAAACAAGUUCAGAUAUGAAGGACAAGCAAAUCACAUAGCAAAUAGCCUCAAAACUCGAGUGAACCCCCCAAAUGUAGGGUUUUCACCAUCAAUCGAAUAUAGAGAUGAAAGACAAAAGAAUCAGGCAAAAAUACCAAUGAAGAAAAUAAAAUCAGAAACCUUAAGAAAGGGCCAGGACUUUUAACAUAAAGAAAUACAGUAGAAGAACAUCAUAAGAAACAAAGUAGGAGAAUCUACAUAAGAAACACAGUAGAAGAACAUUAUAAGAAACAUAGUAGAAGAAUCAACAUAAGAAACAUAGUAGAAGAAUGACAUAUUUAAAAAAAAUAAAAAAUCUUCGAAAUAACUUAACAAAACCCUAAAUCGGAAAAGAUAAAGGUUUUGAAGGUAAGGUUUUGAAAAAAAACUUUAAGAAAACUUUCAAAAAGUUUGGAGAGAACAUAGAUCGACAACGGAUCUGAAAGAAUCAGAAGAACCUCGAAGGUUAGGGUUUCAGAAGAAACCCAAAGGGUGAGAAAGGCUUGGAAAUCAUCGAUCUAAGUAGGAGAGGUCGAGAUCAGGCUUGAAUAACCAUAGCCGGCCGGAGCAAGGUCGAGGAUGGCCAGAGAUAGCCAUAGCACUAAACAACAUCCGAGGUCUGGACCAAAUUUCUUCAAGGUCUGGCCUUGAGGCCAUGAUAAUCGAGCAUGCAGGAGUCGUAGGAGGUAGAUACAAGCCAUCAAUGGCUUUGGAAGCCCUAGAUAUGGUUGAUUUUAGGUGGUGUUUGAAGGUGGCGGCUAGGGUUUCUGAAAGAGAUUGAGAGAGAAUUGGGAGAGGGGAAUUCAAGGGUGGCUUCAGACGGGAAAUGAUUAGGGUUAGGGGGUAAUGGGGAAUUAAAAAAAGGAAAGGGAAAUGGGGACCAUUGAUCUGGGAGAUCAACGGUUGAGAUUAGAGAGGGUAGGUGAAAAUGGGUCUGGGUCGGUUUGAACGGGGUUUGGGUCAGGGUAAUUGGGUUUGAGAUUGAGUUUAAUUGAGGGUUGAUUUAGGGCAAAAAUUGAAAUAAACGGGCCUAGCAUAUAAUUGGCCACUUUUCCCUUGUUUGAUUUUAUAAAUAUGGUAAAUAAUUUCUGAAAAUAAAUUAAAGGCACUAAGAUGAUUAAAAAUACAUAAUUAUCAAAUAAAAAAUACUGGAGCCAAUUAUAUAAAUAUAAUUACAAUUAAAUCUUAGAAGAGGCUAAUAAUGCAAUUAUAUGCAAUUUAGCCUAAAAGAUGCUAAAUACAUUUGCAAAAAUAUGCAAAAAUUAUGUUAGCUAUAUUUUAGUAUAAAUAUGAGAAUCCACUAAAUGAAUCACAAAAAAUGAUUAUUUUGGGGAAAAUUAUUGGUUUUUUUCUUGAUGAAUAGCGCAAUAAAUUGAUUUAAAAACCCUUUAAAAUUUGGGAAAAAUAAUGAAACCUUGGGACAUACUUAUAUAUGCAUAUACUGCUAUUUUGAAAGUAUAUUGUAUAUUAAAAAUAUAAAGGGAAAAAUUGGGUAUCAACAUGAAUCUAUGGAGUUGGGAGCUAGGUUGUGGUACCACAUCAUGGCCCCCUUCAAGAGCGUUUCUCCGAACUUAUUCAGUGAGACGGACUCGAUCUCAUCGUCUUUUAGGUCAUUGCCUUUCACUGCGCACGUAUAGGCAAUGAUGUGUUCGUUGGGAUCUGAGGUCCCAUUGUAUUUUGGGAGUUCUGGCAUUCUGAACUUCUUUGGAAUGGGUUUCGGAGCCGCUUCCUCUCGGAACGGCCAUUGUAUGAACUUCUUCGAAUCUACACCCUUCAGGACCGGGGGCGCGCCCGGGAUAUGGUCGACUCUGAAGUUAUAAGUUUCUACCUUCUUAUCAUUGGCUUCUAUCAUUUUCUCGCCUGACUCAAUCCUUUUGGUGAGGACCUCCAACAUUUUCACGAUGGCAGGAUCGGCUACUGAUCCGUUGUUGCUCGACCUCUACGGUACCUGUACGGCUAGGUGAGUAGUUUCCGGAGCUACUGUGUUGGGAGUCUUCGGGUUGCUUCGCAACUGAGCGAUAGCCAACUGUUGUGCCUGUAACAUUUCAAAAAUAACAUGAAGACUAACUUCAUGUUCUUCCCGGGCUGGGGUUUUUUGGGCUUCCUGUUUGUCGUCAUGCCGUAUGCUCUUGUCGGUGUGUGAGGUUUUUUCGACCUACUGUGCGUCCUGCGAAUACGAGUCCGCUAAAAUUGGUCUGGGUGCGUUAUUAGGAUUUUGCGAUAAUGGGCCGACAACUGGAACAGCCACACCGUUUCCCCGUGGUUUCCGAGGUUGUCGUUAUUGACUCUAUUUACUAAGCCAUACAUUUUGACCUAAAAUCAAAAGAUCUUGGACAAGAAAAAGCUUGAAAGAUAACUUGUGUUGCGCAACAAAACCAGCAAGAAAAUAAUCACUAUUAUUUUUAGCCCAAUAGUGGGCGCCAAACUGUUUACUGUGAAAAUGGUAAUAACAAUUAAAUUUGUUAAUGGGACUCUAAAAAUACGUGAUCUAUUUGUAUGCUAGUUGUUAGAGACAUUGAUGCUAGGUGUAUGUAGAUGAGAGAUGAAAUGCGAGCUAAAGCAAAGUUAUAAUUAAACCGAGGGGCUUGUUAUCCGGGCCUCGGACUGACCGAUGAGCGGCCUUGAGCUAGAUGCCUAGGCUCGAGUUCGAGCUAUAGGGGUAACCAGGAAGGGACUAACAGUUAGGAUAUAAAUAAAGGAGGCUCUUUAUGGCCAAUAUCAAGCAAUAGAAGAAGAACAAGUAUGAAAGCAAUAAAUGAAAGGUAGUCUCGAGCAUGUGAGUUAGAGAGAAAAGAGAGAGAGAGAGAUAUUAUUGAUCUGUGUAGAGUGUUUGAAGCAACAACAUCCCUUUACAAAGAGGUGAGGAUCCCCUUUAUAUAGGAGGGGAAAUACAACAUAGUACAGAAUGCAUUAAUUGUAAAGAUACGGAGAUGGGACGGCUAGACAUGAUAUUAGACUCUAUUGGUGCUAUUUGCCCGCCUUAGGCAUUCCCCAUCCUUGGGAUCAUUGUUGGGUCGAACGUGAAUGAACCUCAAGGGAGAGAACUUGACCGCAACCCCGCAGCCUCGAGAUAUUGAUAUGACUCCCCGGACAUACCUUAAUGGCGAGAAAUCGGACCCUCCGAUUUCACCGUAUACAAGGCUCACAGCUCGUGGUAUGCCAUUCAUCCAGGCGCCACCAAGAUGUAUCAGGACUUGAGGUAGCACUAUUCGUGGAGGAGAAUGAAGAAGGUCAUAGUGGAAUAUAUAGCCCGGUGCCUAAUUGGUCAACAGUUGAAGUAUGAGCAUCAAAGGCUAGGUGGAUUGCUUAAGAAACUAGAAAUUCCAAAGUGAAAUAUGAGAGAGUUACUAUGGAUUUUGUUGUUGGGCUACCACGGACUCAGAGGAAGUUCGAUGUAGUUUGGGUUAUUGGGGAUAGGUUGACCAAUUCGGCUCAUUUCAUUCUAGUGGUGACUACUUAUUCCUUAUAGCAACUGGCUAAUGUUUAUAUUCGCGAGAUUGUCAGGCUUCAUGGCAUGCCAUUAUCCAUCAUCUCUGAUCGGGGCACAUAGUUUACAUCACUUUUUAGAGAGCCAUACAACAUUAUUUAGGCAUGCGAGUUGCGUUAAGUACGACAUUCCACCCUCAUAUGGACGGACAGUUCGAGCGCACUAUUCAGAUAUUAGAGGAUAUGCUAUGUUCAUGUGUGAUGGAAUUUGGGGGUUCUUAGGAUUAGUUUUUGUCGCUCGCAGACUUUGCCUACAACAACAGCUACCAGUCAAGCAUUCAUAUUGCUCCGUAUGAAUCCUUGUAUGGGAGGCGGUGUCGGUCUCUAGUGGGUUGGUUUCAGCCUUGAGAGGCUAGGCUAUUGGACACACACUUGGUUCAGGAUGCUUUGGAAAAGGUUAAAUUGAUUGAAGACUGACCUCGUACAACCCAAUCUAGACAGAAGUGUUAUGCGGAUCAGAAGGUUUAUGAUGUUGCAUUCAUGGUUGGGGAGCGGUUCUUGCUCUAGGUUUCACCCAUGAAGGGUGGUAUGAGAUUCGGGAAGAAAGGCAAGUUGAGCCCUAGGUAUAUCGGACCAUUUGAGAUUCUUGAGAUGAUUAGAGAGGUGGACUACAAGCUUGCACUACCACCCUAUCUAGCUGCAGUUCAUCCAGUAUUCCAUGUUUCUAUGCUCCGGAAGUAUCACGGCGAUCCAUCUCAUGGGUUAGACUUUAGCUCAAUCAAAAUGGACAAGGAUUUGUCUUAUAUUAAGGAAUCGGUAGACAUUUUGGACAUGCAAGUUUGAAUGUUGAGGUCGAAAAACAUUGCUUUAGUGAAGGUUCGGUGGAGGGGUUAAUGUCGAAGAGGCGACUUGGGAGAUCAAGCAUGAUAUACGUAGCAGUUAUCCUCAUCUCUUCACCAUUCCAGGUAUGUCUCUAUACUCAUUUAGGCAUGUAACGUCUCGGCUGAUAGUUCUUAGUGUUUUGGACUUAUCCCCUAUUUAUUGCCUCCUUUAUGCUAUAUUGUGGUUAUGUAACUUGUCGGGUAUUUGGUUUGUUCGAGUGAGUUUCGAAGUGAAAUGGGACACAUAGUCCCUAAGUUGGAGGUUUAAGUUGUAAAAUUUGACCGUAUUUUGACUUCUGUGAAGACAACUUUGGAAUGGAGUUUUGAAGGUUCCAAUAGCUUUGUAUGGUGAUUUUGUCUUAGGACAUGUCCAGACGUUAUUUUAGAGGUCCGUAGGUCAUUUCGGCAUGAAUUGGCGAAAGUUAGAAAUGGAAGAUUUUGGAAAGUUUGACUGGGAGUUGGCUUUAUUGUUACGUUGAACUACUAAAAAUUAAAAUCUUGGAAUGAAGAUAAAAAUAUGAAGAAAGACUAAAAUUAUAGAAGGAAACUGAUAAACUAAUUUAUAGGAGCCUUUGAUUAAGUGAUACAGUGCAUUUGGACUGAUGUUCCAUCUUACCUGUAGAGCAAAUAAGUUGGAUUUUUAAAUUCCCAUAAUUAGUUAAAUUUAACUACUUUAUGUUGGUCUAUUUCCAUCUCUCUGUAAUUUGUUUUGCUUCUUCAAGUUUGCCCACAAGUUUAAUUGGUACAAAUCCUUGACAAGUCUCACUUACCUUAAAUCAUCCAAAGUUUUGUCCUCUCAUGAAUCUGCAUACUUUUUCUUCAAGUUUUUCCCGAAAGAAAUUUAAAGAAAGAAAUUUCAGAAGACGUGAUAUUAUAGUUGGUGAUAAUUUAGAAACAUACAAUAAAGGAAAACGAAGCAAAAGUUUAGCACUUAAUGAAAUGCACCUGUUGAAACCUUUUUAACUACUUUAUAUUGGAGAAAUUCUUUUACAUGGUGAUUUCAACCAAACUCAUCUUUAAUUAUUGAAACGAAUAAGUGUCGGUUCCCGAAUUCGGAAGGUGAAAUAGGUCUGUAAUGUCAUUUAUGACUUGUGUGCAAAAUCUGGAGUCAAUCAGAGUUGUUUGGGUAUGAAUCGGCAUUGGUUUCAGUAUUAGGAUGUUCAUAAUUGCAUACGCUUUAAUUUGGGUUGCGAUCCGCAUAAUCAAUGUUGUUUUAUGUGAAUUUUUGCCUCGAGUGGGUUUUUUAUGCAUUAUGGAACUUGUUGGUAUAUUCAAACGGGGUCCCGGGGACCCUGGGUGUGAUUUAGAUCGUAUUCGGACAAAUAUCGGACUUAGUUUCAUUGCUGAAGUCCCAGACGUGCUGGUAUCAUUGUACCUACGGAAGGAUUUACUGCGGGUGCAGAAUUGCGGGUGCGGAAAGUGAAGCGCAGAAGCGAAAAGGAGAGCCUAGGGCUGGGCUCGCAGGUGCGCCUUCGCAAGCGUGGCCAUUUCCUUUGCAAAAGCGGAAUUGGAGGAGGGUUUCACGAACCCAGUUUUCCUCCGUACGAUGUCGUGACGGCGCCUAUUCUCUACGACUAGGUAAGCCUAACACUUACUAAAUAAAUUGAUAGAAAUUAACCAACAUAAUUAUUAAGCAAAAAAACAGAUAUUUCUAAGUGAAUACAACAUUUACAACAUGAAAUAACAUCCCAAAAUUGGUAGUGCAAGUCAUAAUCUCUACUGAGUUCACUAUAAAAUCUCUAAAUACAACUGUUCCGGAAUAGAAAUAAACUGUCCAAAAAUAACUUCAAAUGGUGACUCCGAGGCCUGCGAACCUGACAACAAGUAUACCUUAAGUCUCCACAGCAAUAUUUGAUCCGCUAUGUAACAAUCAACAGACUCCGGAGUACCUGGAUCUACAGAAAAAAUGUGCAGAAGUGUAAUAUGAGCACACCAGGGUUAGUACCCAGUAAGUAUCAAGACUAACCUCGAUGAAAUAGUGACGCGGUGCAAGUCAAGAUACUCACUAGACAACAUGACAUGUGCAGUAUAGGAGUAUAAAACUAAUAAUGGAAAGCGGAAAUCAGCAAUGGAAACAAAACCAACAAGUGAUAUAGACAGUAAUACAAUAAGAACACCGUGUAGUAUCAUUAAAGCCAAAUAAGGAAACAAAAGGAUAAUCAAUUAAUCAAGCCGUUCAAAUGCAAGUUUCACAACGAAAACUCUGUGUGGUACUUCAUCUCAUAUUCACAAGUCAUGCAUCUCAACCCACCAUCAUAUACUCAUGGCACUUCUUACCCACAUUGUCAUGACCCAAACUGAUGGGCUGCAACGGGUGCCUGAGUCCUACCUAUCAAACACACUUAAGCAUGUGUCUUAGAUGUAAACCUGAAUAACAUCUGCUGAAUUACGAGAAUAAUGUACAUGAAGGAAAUCUGCAGAAAAAAGGCAUACAUACAUAUACGUGAAACAUACGUAGGGCGAGCCGACAAGGCUGCUAUAGACAACUAUAUAACUCAGAACUGGAAGUCAGCAAGGCCACAUACUAUCCAACUAGACACACUGUCUAGAGACCUAUAAUAGAAAAAUAAUUGUACAAAAAUAGGACUAAGCCACGUCAUACCCAUAUAUAUAUAUAUAUAUAUAUAUAUACACACAACAUAUCGUACAAAAAUCAAAAGCAGCUCCAGAUCAAGUGGAGCAUGCUAACUCUCACUGAUCAAGGAUCCUAAGAAGGGGGACCAUCAGCUUGCCUACAUGCACCUGCGGGCAUGAAACAUAGGCCCCGUGUAAUAGGGCGUCAGUACGAAAAAUGUACUGAUUAUGUGAGGCAUGAAAAUCAGUACGUAAAUGACAUAGAUGAAGCAUGGAAUAAAGAAAUCCAUCUGUAAAUCUGAAUAAAUUUGUAAAUUCUGAAACAUUUAUAAUGUCAUGCACGUUCGUACAAAUGUUGUGUCAUGCAUAGGUAUGGAUGUACAUAAUAUCAUCAAGCCACUGAGGGCAUCCCAUCAUAUCAUGUCGGCCACUAUGGGCAACAUCAUCAGCAUGUAUCAAUAUACCUCCUUGAUAUCAUGAUACAUCUUUCUUGCUCCUAAAUGGAUAGAAUAAUGAGAAUGAUAUCAUGAUACAUCUUUCUUUCUCCUAGAUGGAUAGAAUAAUGAUAAUAGUGAGUUUCUCCCAUAACCUACCGACGGAACCCUGAAACAUUAGGAACACAUAAUCGUCCUUGAUAUUUGAGGACCCCAUCUUCUAUAAUUUCAAACUGUGUCUUCUCCUUUUGAGGGAUGGUAUCCCUAUAAUAAACUAACACAGGAUCCUCGUACUGACAUUCCUUUACUCGAGUUACUAACGAGGAUGUUGCCGUAUCCUAAAUAGAAAUUCCAAUAUGACCCGAGUCUAGUAACCGAACUCCAAGACUAGCUAGCUGGUGAACCUCAUAGGCUAUUCUCCCUCUUCUUCUAGCUGUAAAUAUGAAAAGCUACCCAUAUAUCUACGGCUGAGGGCAUCAGGUACUAUGUUUGCUUUUCCCGGAUGGCAUGAAAUAUCAACAUCAUAAACUUUAAGUAGCUCCAACCAUCUUCUUUGACGUAAAUUCAAUUCUUUUUUUCUUGAAGAUAUACUGGAGGCUCUUAUGAUCCACAUAGAUAUCAACAUGAAUGCCAUACAAGUAGUGUCUUUACAUCUUUAGUGUAUGAAUCACAAAGACUAACUCUAAAUCAUGGGUCGGGUAGUUUUUCUCGUGCUUUCUUAGUUGUCUAGAAGCAUAAGCUACAAACUUACCAUGCUGCAUCAGCACACGACCCAAUCCAACGCCUGAAGCAUCACAAUAGAUAACAUAACCAUCGGUCCCUUCUGGGAGCGGUAGAACUGGUGCUGAAGUUAAUCUGUCCUUUAAUGACCGAAAACUCCGUUCGCAAGGAUUGGUCCAUUGAAACUUAGUUCCCUUCUGAGUUAACUUACUGGGUAUAAUAAUCUUUUACAAUUCAGGAUAUUCCCCUCUUCGGAGGCCCAAACUUCAUCCUUUAUCCAUCACAAUUACGCAUUUAUCCCACUAUUAGGGCAGUAUUUCAUCUACUAUAAAUGUUACUAGUCUUAGACUCCUUUGAGUUCAUUCGGGCUAUACUGAGCCUUCUAUAACAUAGAGAAACCAUUAGCUCUCUUAUGAACUUAUUCCUAAGGACUUAUCCAUUCUCGUUACCUUUUCACUCAUCUUUUCUUAUCCUUCCUCCAGUCUUCCUAAAACCUUGACGCCUUACCAUACUUUAGCUUGCGACCUACACAUAUCUAUUUAUACUUAUUCGCAACCUUUAUUCAACUUACUUGCAUCAUAGAUUUCCUUAUGUUAUUUCGGAAGAUUAAGCGAGACAUCACAUACCACUUUGGUCGAAGGUGCUUAUAAGAGAAGAAAAUUCCGUUACAAAUUUCCUGUAAUAACCUGCCAAACAGAGAAUCUAAGAACCUUCGUCGGUGUUGUUGGUCUAGGAAAAGUCUUCAAUGCCUCAAUCUUUUGUAUAUCCACCCGGAUGCCUUCACCCGAAAUGAUAUGCCCAAGGAAAGCUAUAUAGUUCAAUCAAAAUUCAUAUUUAGAGAAUUUUGCAUACAACUUCCCUUUUUGUAGAACUCUUAGAACGGUACGCAAGUGAUUUGCAUGCUCAGCCUCUGAACAAGAAUAUACCAAUAUAUAUCGUCAACAAAUAGAAUUACGAAUAGAUCUUAAAAAGGGCCUGAACACACGGUUCAUCGAAUCCAUGAAUACUGCUGGGGCAUUGGUCAAACUGAACGACAUAACAUAAAACUCAAAGUGCUUGUAUCUGGUCCUGAAUGCUGUCUUUAGAAUAUCUUCCUCCUUAACCCUUACUUGAUGGUACUCGAACCUCAAGUCUAUCUUUGAAAAAUAGUUGGCACCUUGUAACUUAUCAAAUAAAUCAUCAAUCCUCGGGAGCAGGUACUUAUUCUUGAUCAUCACCUUAUUCAACUGCCUAUAAUCAAUACACAUUCGUAAGGAACCAUCCUUCUUUCUCACAAACAAUACAGGUGCUCCCCACGGUGAUGUACUAAGUCUGAUAAAACCUUUUUCGAGCAAGCCCCUUAGUUGUUCCUUUAACUCUUUCGGCUCUGCAGGGGCCAUUCUAUAAGGGGAAUAGAUAUUGGAUGAGUAUUUGGCAGUAGGUCAAUGACAAACUCAAUUUCUUGCUCUGGCGGAAGACCCGGAAGCUCAUUGUGAAACUCAUUAACUACAGGAAAUGGUUACUAACUCUACUUCCACAUCCCAAACCUGAACUCAGUGAUAAAUAUAGUCCUUUCUUAUUAUCUUCCUUGCCUUGCCUUGUGAUAGGAGAUAAAUUUACGUCUUGGCGAUGCCGUAUUACCUUUACAUUCUAAAAUAGGCUCUCCUGGAAACUGAAAUCAAACCAUCUUUGAUCUAUACUUGAUGUUAGCAUAACAAAAAUCCAAUCAAUCCAUACCUAUUAUAAUAUCAAGUUAUACCCAACUGAAUACCACGUAUCUUAUCCUUGAUUAUUAUCAAAUCUAUCACGAGCCAUUUCGGGCCACAUCUAUAUAUAUAGGUAACAAUAUUAAAACAUCACUAGCAUAACUAAUUUACAAAAAGUUUUAUAUACAUAGGGGUUGACUAGGCUAUAGAUCUGUCAUACCCAAAACUAUAUACAGGAUAAUAUCUACAAAACCUCUAAGUAGGCAGAACCAUUAUAUAUACAAGUCGGGACGGCGCUCCCUGCGUUCUCAUAAAACAACCUAACAUAUUUAGAACCUUGACUUGGUAAUAUUCCAAGAAGAGGUGGAACUCACCAACCAAAAAUUGACACUUGGAGGAAGUCUACAGUAGAGGGUCCUUGCCUCGUCCUAUAUAAGAACCUCGAUCAGACACACAUUGAAGAGGAACCUUCAUAUCCUUAUAGGUUACCUUCCUCCUCUUGGCCCGACUACUAUCCUCUUCCUCUGUAUAUCCCAUAACAUACACAGGCGAACCUUGAUUGAUGGACUCCCAAGACUGUGGACUAUCUGGAACCUCAGAAGAGCUGGUGUCCGCAAAUUCCUUGACAUAGUUUUGAGCCUAAGGGAAACCCGGUUAUGCCAAUCCAUGUACUACUCCCCUCAUACCCUGAUCAACGAGUUAUGAUAAUGAAACUAAGGGCCUUGGCGAGGUCGGAACUCCUCUCACCCCAUCUGCUGCCGGAGUGGUCGAAAUAGCUCGAACGGAUGACUCAUAUGGAUCCUCAGAUGGAUCCUCCUUAAUAGAAAUCAUGAUCUCUGAUGGGUCUGACUCCAUAUUAUAACUUAUAUCUCUUUCUAACACCUUCAUAGACUUCUGACUCGUGCUAGCAGCUAGAGUCUUCGGAGGCAUCGAUGAGAACGUACACAUCGUCAGGAACAUGAAUGCUUAUAUCGCACGAUCUAAGAUAAGAAGAGAGGAUAACAUCCUAUAUGUCCUGUAGCCUCCUGUCUAUAAGUGUGGUGCACAACACACCCAUAAACAAGACUGUAAUAGACACAGUCUGUAGACAACCCUAGGACAGAACAGCUCUGAUACCACUUUUUGUCACGACCCAAACCGAUGGGCCGCGACGGGUGCCCGAGUCCUACAUGUCAAACACCCUCAAGCAUGCGUCUUAGAUGUAAACCUGAAUAACAUCUGCCAAAUUACAAGAAUAAUAUACAUGAAGGAAAUCUGCCCAAAAAGGCAUACAUACAUAUAUGUGCAACAUACGUAGGGUGAGCCGACAAGGCAGCUAUAGACAACUAUAUAACUCAAAACUAGAAGCCAGCAAGGCCACAUGCCAUCCAACUAGUAAAAUCAAUACAAAUAUACUGUACAAAUACAGUACUGAGCCACGUCAUACCCAUAUAUAUAUAUAUAUAUAUAUAUAUAUAUCGUAGUAAAAUCAAAAGUAGCUCCGGAUGAAGUAGAGCACGCUAACUCUCGUUGUUCAAGGAUCCUAAGAAGGGGUCCGUCAGCUUGCCUACCUGCACCCGCGAGCAUGAAUUCAUCCAUUCCGAUACAAGUUCAACCGUACUAAAAUUACCAAAUUUCGAUAUCAAUUCAUCCAUCAAAUCAUCAUUUUACAUUUAUAAAAGUUUUUCUCAAAAUCCUCAUUUUCCCCAACUCAAAUAACUAAUGAAAAGAUAAAAAUAAAGAUGGAAUCAUGAAAUAUAAUAAAUUCUGGGUGAAGAACACUUACCGCAAUGAUUUGCUUAAGAACCCCACGAAACAUCGCUCAAAUUCAAGGUCUGCAACCCAAGAUAUGAUAAAAAUGGCUAAACCCUCGAUUUGGAAAAUAUGUUAUGUUGCCCAGGUAUUUGCACAUCGGGAUUGCGGAAAUACACAUGCGAUCAUGAAGAAAAAACAUUGAGUGCCUCAAAAAUGCACUACACGAUCGCGAAUGAAUCCAUGCGAUCGCGCAGAAGAAAUGACACAACCCCACGAAAAGGCACUAUGAGAACGAGGAAGAAGAAAUGGGAACAUAUGUUCAUCACUGCCUCAAAGUACGUGAUCCCGUACAUAGCUAUGCGAAUGCAAAGAACCAAGUGUCGUUCUAGCAGGUUCAACACUACGUUAACGCGGAAGGACUAAUGUGAACGCAAAGAAGUAAUCAUUCACACGCACGUGAUCACGGACCGAUCCUUGCAAACACUACACCUACCCAAUCGCAGAGAAGGACACCAAACAACAGAAAUUUAGCAUUCCAAAACAUAAGAAAAUGGCCCUUAGCAAAUCCGAAACACGCUCGGGGCCCCCGGGACCCCGUCCAAACAAACCGUCUAGUUUCAUUAAAUAACGCGGUCCAACUCGAGGCCUCAAAUAACAUCAAACAACGUUGAAACCAUGAAUCGCACCUGAAAUCGAACUUAUGAAAUUUCAAAACUUCCAACUUCCUAAACUCGUACCAAAACAUAUCAAAUCAACCUGGAAUGACGUCGAAUUUUGCAUGCAAGUCCCAAAUGACAUAAUAGAGCUAAUCCAACUCUUAAAAUCACAACCUUAGCCUGUUAUCAACCACGUCAACUCUCGAUCAAACCUCUCAACCUUCUAGAACUUCAAUUUCUAAUUUUUGCCAAAUGCUUCAAAUUAUUCUACGGACCUCCAAAACCAAAUCCGAACACACGCCUAGAUCUAAAAUCGCCAUACGAAGAUAUUGGAAUAAUCAAAAUGCCAUUUCGGAGUAUUCUACACAAAAGUCAAAACUCAGGUCAACUCUUACCGCUUAAGCUUCUAAAAGAAGAAUCCUUCUUCCAAAUUGACCCCGAAUCAUCAAAAAAUCAAACUUGACCAUUCACGCAAGUCAUAACACACAAUACGAAGUUUCUCGAAACUUUCAGCUGCUGAACGGGAUGCUAAUUCUCAAAAUAACCAGUCAGGUCGUUAGAGAGGGACUAUGAGCAGGACCGUAUGCGCGGUCUCCUUCUCCGUAAGCAAAACUUAUGGAUUCAUGUAUAAUCCCCACUUGCAAUGGUUUUUUCGUAGGUGUAGUGUCGCAGAAGCGACAAAAAGGCCUCAGAAGUGGAAGUUACCGGGCAGAAAUAAGAAAUUCGAGGGUUUUGAUUCAUAAUUCAUUUCUGGACAUAAAGUGCUCGAUGGGAGGUCAUUUCUUAAUGUUCAUUAGAGAGAUCAUUGGGUUAAGGAAUUCUAACUCGAUUUUGGUUAAUUUACAAGAAUUUAUUAUUAAUUUCUUCAUUAAAUUAGUGGUUAUAGUUUGAAAAUUGGGGGAAAAUGGUAGAACUUCUUAGACUAAAUUUUUUAGUUUUCAAAAGCAAAUUGAGGUCGGAUUUCAAUAAUGAUUGUAUGUUUGGACUAAAUAUCGAAUGGGUGUUUGGAUUUUGUAAUUUUUUUCGGGUUCCGAGGCACGGACCCGAUUUGACUUUUUAAUUCUUUGCAAAGAUCGUAAUUUAAUUGUUGGAAUUAGUCUUCUAUAGUUAUAUAUAUAGUAUAAAAGUGUUUUGGCUAUAUUCGAGUCGUUAAGAGUUGGAUAAUUGAGGGAAAGGCGUACUAGUGGAUUGAUUUAGCAUGAUUUGAUGUAAGUGACUUGCCUAACCUUAUUUAGGUAAAUUACCCCUUAAGAUUGGUGUUGUUUGUGACAAUUGUGAUAUGUGAAAUCCGUGUACGCAAGGUGAUGAGUGUGUACACAUGCUAAAUGUGGAAAUUUCUUAUUUUAUCUAUGAAGAUCCUGUUACACCCUAUGUUUUCGUACGUGAAAGUAUUCCAUAUGUAAAUUGAUGUAAGCUCAAAAAGGGAUGAAAUCGUUCUACACGGCUAAGAAGGUUUAUCAAAGUAUUAGGUAAAUUAGGAUGAAUGAGACUUUUCAAUCAUGAUUUAAAUGCGUUUAAAGUCGUGAUAUGGCUAUAUAUGUUGUUUGGAUUUAAAAUAUCAUAUUUAAGUUGUAGAAAAACCGACUAAGGAUUUGCUUUGUAAUGAAGCGUUUUGAGAAAUACAUUUCAUGUCUUAUAUAAGGUCUUUUUUUGACAUAUUAUAUACCAAAAUUAAGGUCUUGGAACCUAGUUUCCAACGGUCCGAACCAUUCAUUAAUACGAUAGUGGGGCAGAGAAAUAUGGAUUUUUAAAGUAGGGUCACCAAGUUACGUUGCCGCACUUCGGAGAAACUGGUAGGUUUAUAGGCCAUGUUGCGACGCCAGUUUCUCCCAAUAUGUUGAGAUUUACUUGGAAAUAUUUUAUAUGAAAUUAAAUUCCUAUGUGUCUAGUUUCCAUCUCUACAACCCGUUUGUUAAUACGAUAUUGGAGUAGAGAAAUACAAGGGUCCGAAGUGGCACUGCUCAAGCUGGCAAGCAGGCAGCUUACCCACCUGCUUGGAGAAUUGAGGUAAUGGUCUUAUCCCCUUAUAUCUCGUGAACAAUACAGAUUUUACUCACUCAAAACCACUCUCAAGAUAUCCAAAAUAAUGCCUAACAUAUCUCAAGAUCAGAAGAACCAAACUCAAGGAAACAACAACUCAAAUCAUCAUCAAAGAUGUUAAAUACUACAAGAGAAUGCUUCUAUGAUGUUGUGGUGUGAUUGAGGGCUGUUGUGAGAUAAGUUAAGAUAGGGUUUUGGGUUGUAGCUGCUGUACAAAGUAUGUAUAACAUCUUCUUGAUUGUACCUAAGGUUAAUCUUGUGUCGGUUGUGUUGUUUGAGUGAAAAACAAUAAGAUAGCACUUGAAAGAACAUGGGAUAUGGUUGUCUUUUUGGGUGGACUGUUUUGUGGCUAAAUAUAUGAUUUGUGGUGGCUAAAAAUUGUGAGAAAUAAUUUGAUGGUGUUGUGGCUGAUGUUGUUCAUAUUUUCUAGGUGAUAAUUAAGUUGAUUGAAGAAGAAACGAUGAAAAUAAGUGAAUGACGAUAAAACUUAAGGUGCUAGAUGUAUGGGGCCGUUUUGGAAGGUAUUUUGUCGAUGUUUUAAACUAGAAAUAAUAUGGUACAUAUAAGUAUGAUGUUCUGAAAGUUGUAAACUAAUUUAUGGAAUAAUAGUUGGAUUCAAUUUAUAUCUUGUUAUGAGUAAAAGCGAGCAUGCCGCUCACUAUGAUUGUUAAGAUAAUAGGAGAAACUCAUACUGGAUUAUAUUGUUGUUGUUUCUAUUGUUGGUUAUAGUUGUUGUUGUUGGGCGUUGAUGACCUUUAGUGGACUUUGGUAUGUAUUUAAAAGUAGGGGAGUUGCUGCCCGAUUUUCCUUAAGUCAUACGACUAGCCAAAUACAUGGUACGACAUUAUAUGUUAACGGCAAUAUCAUAUUAAUUGUUGUAGAUGCAAGAAGUUGUAUUGAGCUUUGUUGAGUAAUAAGGAAGAGAUCAUACAGGUAUGUUAAGGCUAAUCCUUCUUUCUUUUGGCAUGAUCCAAGUAACGAUACGUAAUGUUAUUCCAUAAGUG